rnacentral:lncRNA from 1 species
CUCUCCCUUAGGUGGUUUGCCAACUGGGGUUGGUGGCUUGUGUUCUGGGAGUGGCUUCUCCCCCUUGGGAGGUUUUUCCAAUGGGGUUGGUUUGUGUUCAGGAGGUGGCUUCUCCACUGGAGGCUUGUGUUCAGGAGGUGGCUUCUCCACCGGAGGCUUGUGUUCAGGAGGUGGCUUCUCCACCGGAGGCUUAUGCUCUGGUGGUGGCUUCUCCACCGGAGGCUUAUGCUCUGGUGGUGGCUUCUCGAAUGGGGGAUGCUUAGGGUAAUCAGCAAGUGAGGGGGCGGUGAGAACCACCAGGCCAAGCAAGACCACUAGCAAGUAUGUAGGAGACAUCUUUGGGUUUAGACUCAGAUGGUGCAAAACUAGGAGAAUUGUCUUUUAUAGCGGAUCGCACCCAAUAAUGAAAUGACACGUGUCUUUAUGACCCAUGUGUAAUGGGGUCGAUUUGGGUCCUACAGUGUUGAAAACUUCGACAUCCACUUUUGGCCUUUUGCUUUCUCUACAGCCGCCUUGCUUUUUCCCUCUUUCCUUUUGUUUUCCUCCUGCCCCAUUCUAUCAACUAAACACAAUUAUGUAGUUGUUUAAUUCUUAAAUGAGAUAUUAUCCGUCAAUCGUAUCAUAUUUUAUCAACAGAGAACGGAGUGCAAUGUGGCAAUCCAAAGAAAGAAGAUCCAUAAUGCAGCUGUAAUUUUAUCGUUUACUUUUAUCUCUUGGACCACUGCAUUUUUGUUAAGAGGUGCAAUAAUACACGUCUUUAUCUGCCAUUCAAUGUUUACAGUAAAGAGAGGGCACAAAACUCUUCACUGCUCUGCAUGUGUCCCAAAAAUGCAAUUGGACAAAUUAUGAUUUGCAUGCUAAAAAGAGGCAAAUGAGGUUAAUUCGCACCAUAAUUAUUUUGUUUUCUGGACCCCGGGGCCCUUUGGUUGGUUUGGGGGUCAGAAAAUGAACAUCAUAGGGGGUUUUUCCCUUAUGUGCAUUUGUAUCUGAUGGCUUUAACUCGCCUUGUUACUACAAAGAAAUUGUCACAUAUAGGAACUUAUUCCAGGCUGAGUAUCUCCGCAUAGACCCUAUAAAAGAAGACAAGUCAUAAUGAACAUCUAACCUUUGUUCAAUUUGAUUCAAUGCCCCAUUGUGUCCACCUCACAAAUCUGAAUUAUUAUAUCCAUUGAAUACAUAAAUUAAUGAAGAAAAUAUGAAACCCAAGAUACAUCUCUGCACAACCUCAACCCUGGUUGCUAUGUUUCCCUUCUAUUCACAUGAGGAUAUUGAUUACGGAAUAGGGAAACCUAGCAAGGGUUUACUCGGCUCUGGUUUGAUGCUAAUUGCCAAACUUGCAACAAGCCCUGAGUUUGAAGCUCACAGAAGAUGUUAUACAGGCAGGGAAAAACCUUCAGAGUUCGCUGCCAAAGAUAAUUAUUAAGGAGAUAUCACCAAGAGAAUUCCAAGGAGUCUGAAUCAAAGACAAAUUGGUCGUUCGUGGAGGUUCUUACUUUCUUUUGGGUAUAACUCACUGAGGGCACUGUCUUUUUUAUUUUCAUUUCACAUUUAGAGUUCUGUUCUGGAAACAUAUAAAAGGAGCAUCAGUUUGUUCUUGGGUAACCCAUAGUCGUGAGUGGGUCCAUUUGCAUGCUACUUAGUUGAAAAGUUGGACCAUUUGCUCCGACGCCUACCUCCUGGAUUCCAUGCUCGGAUAAAACAAGAAUAAAAAAAUAUUUAUAAUUUACAAAUGGGGGAAAGAAAAAAAUGUCAACAACAAACUAGGAAAAAAGAGUAGUAAAAUUCAUGUCACAUGCUAGUGAGAGAAGGGGUUGUUACACUCACUCGAAGUUCUUUUCAAAAUAUCGCAUGGUAUUUUAUUUUAUGUGUGAGCGCAGUUGUGAAUGGAACGUGCAAAAGUCCAAAUUGGUGACCUUUAAUAAAUAUUUAAAACAAAAAACGAAAAAAAGGAGGGAAAAGGGAUCAGAAAAGAUAAAACAAUGUGUACAAAAGCUCAAUUAGUUUGCAAAUUACUGUUUGGAUUUUGAUAGUAUUUUAUUUGAUGUAAAAGAGAAUUUAAGAUAUUUCCGAAACAAAAGCAUUAGUUUGCUCCAUGUCAAUUUCGGCAUUUCUCAUAUGUUUCACACAUACACAGAAGAGCAUCGUUUUUUAAAGCAUGCAUUUAUGUUGGAUUAAUUUGGAUUUUGUGGGAACUGGGGCAAGGAUCACAUGGAAGAGAGGUUGACUUUUUUCAGUACUUCAAUGGUUGAGACAGGUGAAGGCCUGAUUGAUACUGAAGCCUGAAAUUGCGACUCCGUCAUUUGUCAAAACAUAUGACAGCUUCCAUGCUCUCGUUUGGUUGCAUUGUUCUGUGGUCAUGCAUACAUGCCACUUAGUGAUCAGUCUGUAACUGUCAAUCAUUGGGCUUUGACUGAACAACAUCAGCCAUGUAUAAAUACUUGCAAAUCAAACGGUCUUCUUCCUCCCAUAAGGAAUUUCGGUUUAAUUAUGAAGCAUGCAUUUGGCUGACCAUCAUAAACCACUUCUUUAAAUUGAUGAAUGAUAGUUUUUCAUUCAUUCUUUCAUUCGUUCAUAUACAGAGUAUAUAUAGAGGGUAAUCAUCAUUCUAAGAAUGGGAAAGAAUGAUACAAGGAAAUAAUGAUAUAAAGAAAUAACAACUAAUAUUCUAAUAUCUCAACUUUCCUAAUAUCUAAACAUUCCUAAUAUCUCAACACUAAAUGAUAUAAAGAAAGAAUGAUAUAAGGAAAGCAUUCCUAAUAUCUCAACACUCCUCCUCAAGUUGGUGCAUAGAUGUCAAACAUGUCCAACUUGUCUAAAAAUUUUGAGAACAGUUGACUUGAGACAUCUUUGGUGAGGAUAUCGGUCAAUUGAUCUUCUGAUCGAAUCUUAGGCAAUUCCACAAUCUUAUCAUCCAACUUUUCCUUAAUGAAAAAUCUAUCCAUCUCGACAUGCUUUGUACGAUCAUGUUGUACUAGAUUAUGAGCAAUGUCACAUGCUGCUUUAUUGUCACAAAACAAUCGGAUUGGUUGCCUAGAUAGGUAACCUAAAUCCUAUAAGAGGAGUCUUAGCCAUAAUGCCUCACAAAGUCCUAAAGUCAUACCUCUAAAUUCCGCUUCUGCACUUGAACGAGCGACGACAUUUUGCUUCUUACUUUUCCAUGUCACAAGAUUACCACCUACAAAGGUAAAGUAACCAGAUGUAGAUCGCCUAUCAUCCACUGCACCGACCCAAACAGCAUUAUACUUCUAUACUCUGAUGAUCAACAUUUUUAGCGAACAAAAUUCCCUUCCUAGGAGCAUUCUUCAAAUACCUCAAAAUACGCAUGACUACAUUCAUAUGUUGCUCUCCAGGAUUAUGCAUGUAUUGACUCACUACACUCAAUGUAUAAGCAAGAUCUAGUCUUGUAUGAGCUAAGUACAUUAAUCUCCCCACAAGUCUCUGGUAUCUUCCCUUAUCGAUUGAUACUUGAUUAGGCUCAACACACAAUUUCAGACCUUCUUCUAUUGGUGUAUUAAUAGGUUGACAUCCCGACAUUCCAGUUUCCUGUAGAAGAUCUAAGGCAUACUUUCUUUGAGACAGAAAAAUUCCUUCACUUGAUCGAGAAACUUCAAUCCCAAGAAAGUAUUUCAGACGACCAAGAUCUUUCAUUUCAAAUUCUCUAGAUAGAUACUUUUGCAAAGCUUUUCUUUCUUCAGGAUCAUUUCCUGUAACUACAUGUCAUCCACAUAUAUCAUAAGUGUCGUAAUCUUACCAUGUUGCUUUUUCAAGAACAAAGUGUGAUUUGAAUUACUUUGAUGAUAGCCAAAAGCUCUCAUUGAUUUUGUGAACCUUCCAAACCAUGCUCUCGGGGAUUGCUUCAACCCAUACAAUGACUUCUUCAAUUCGCACACCUUCUGACAUUGCUUUUCUGACACCAUGCAUCCUGGUGGAAGAUCCAUAUAUACUUCUUCAGAUAAAUCGCCAUGCAGAAAGACAUUUUUUACAUCGAACUAUUGUAAUGGCCAAUCUAGGUUUGCAGCUAAAGACAAUAAUACUCGAACUGUGUUGAUCUUAGCUACAGGUGCAAAUGUCUCUGUGUAGUCAAUUCCAUAAGUUUGAAUGUACCCACUAGUCUUGCUUUAAAUCGUUCAAUACUACCAUCUGCCUUGUACUUCACAGUAUAGAUCCAACGACACCCAACUAGCUUCUUUCCUGGUGGACAUUCUACGAGUUCCCAUGUUUCAUUUUUCUGCAAUGAUUUCAUCUCUUCAUUCAUGGUUGCUUUCCACUUUGGAUCAGCUAAAGCUUCCUGCACACUAUUAGGAAUAGCUACAGUAGAUAAUUGAUUUACAAAUGACUUAUUUGAUUCAGACAAACCAUGGUGUGGACCCGCAUUUUUCACGUGCGCCUCUACUCGAUCGGCGAGACUCGCUUUCUAUUUGUGAAAAAUUAAUUUUAGAAAAGUUGGAGUCGCCACCUAUUUUAUUUUUAUUUUGAAGGGAAAAUAAAACAAGAAAGAAAAACCCUAAAAAGUGACUCCAUAGUUUUGGAAAAAGCAUGUCUUUGGGAAACCUGAGUCUAGGUCCGGGGAUCAUGUUACUUAUUGGGAAGGUACCUCUAGGAGGUAGCACCCCUCUAAGCCUUAUGAAGGUCUCUACUAACUAAAUUAAGGGAAGUGUGGCAAUAAAUCGAUUGAUCAUAGAUACCUAAGUAGACUAGGUGAUUUUAAAGUGUGGCAUGUCAAACACAAUCAAAUUGCAAUAAAGGAGAGUUAGGGCGCGUACCUGAACCGCUUCUCAAGCGCUAUCAUAAAACAUCAAUGGUUAAUUUAAAUAAUAUAUCAUCCAGCAUGUAUUUUAUUAGAAAUAAUCAAACAAUGAAACAUGUAUAUCAGAACACUCAAGCAUUAUUAGACAUAAGCAUUAUUUCACUAUUCACAGAAUUCAGAAAGUAGGUGAUAGAGGACAUACCUGGAUAGCAUAGAUAAUUUGUAAUGUGCUUCCUCAAGUUGUAAGGGGUUAGAUAACAAAUAAUAAAAUAUAGAAAUCCUAGCAUGCUCGUUAUCUAAUUAGCAUAGCAAAAGUGAUCACAGUAUACAGAAUCAUCAAUUAUCACAUACAUCUUGUAUAUAAUUCCUAAAAAAAAUAGAUAGACAUGAUUUCAACAAGUGUCAAAUGUGGCAACAAAAAUAAAUUUUGAAAAGAUUUUCUUAUGUAGGGGUUUCACCAAUUCCCCAAAUUAAUAUACACGAAUUUAGCUUAGAAUUAUCCCAUUUAUUUGGGACUACAAGCUUUGAUUCGUGUUUUUGUUCAAAACCAAAAAUUUUUGUUGAAAAUCAAGAAGGAUGCGAACCGAACAAGAUAUGGUUGCAUAUUAUUUUUAAAUAAAUAAAUAAAUAAAUAAAGGAGAUUUUGAUCCUGAGGACUUUAAUGAGUUUUUUUUUUUAAAAUAGAUUUUUAAAAUGAUUUUUUUGAGAAAAGUAUUUUAUUUUAAAAUAAAAGGGAUUAAUUUGGGAAAAAAAUAAAAUAUAAGAAAUAAAAUACCAAACAAAACAAAAAUGAAACCUCAAAGUAAAAUUUUUUUAGUAAUUAACAAAAAUGAUAAUGGUGAUGGUAGAGGGCAAUCUUCAUGAUUUUCCAAUGGCCUCAGAAAGAAAAUCAAAUUAAAUGAAGGAUCACUAACAGGCAAGACAUUCUAAAUUAGACAAACUAACAAAGUAUCAAUUCAUGAACUAACCGCUAGGAUUUUGAAAGCAUAUAAGCUAAGAUAAGGGUGAUCAGGAACUAAUAUUAAUGAUUUUGAAAUAAAAACUAAAAAAAAGGAUCAAUUCGGGUAAGGAACUAAAAUUAUAAAAGUACCUAAACUAAUUAUGACGAGUUUGACUAAAUUAAACUAAAAACAUGAACUUUCAAACAUAGAAUUAAUUUUACUAAUGAACCAAAGCAAACUAAAAAUAUGUACUUUCAAGCAUAGAAUUAAUUUUAUUGAUGAACUAAACUAUAACAAAUAUCUAAACUAAAUAUAAUGAAUCAAAUUAAAUUAAAGCAACUUAAAAACGCAAACUUUCAAACAUAGAAUCAAUUUUAUCAAUGAAUUAAAACUAUAAAUGUAUUUGAACUAAAUAGAUGAAUCAAACUAAAUCAGAGCAAAAUUAAAAAAAAAAAAGAACUUUCUAACAUGAAAUCAAUUUUAUCAACAAAUAAAUGAAUGAAUAACAAGUAAUUAAAAGAAUAGCUACUACAUGAAUAACUGAAUGAAUAAAAUUCAAAUGUUUUCAAUCUGAAGCAAUCAAUCAAAAUUAAAUAGGGAUCAAAUCAAAAUAAUCGAAAUCGGAAAAACAAUAUGCAAUCUUUCUAAAGGUUUAACCAGACAAUUGAAUUAAAAUUAUGAAUAGAAUAAAUUAAUAAACCAAAUCGAAACCUAAAUUGUACCUAAAAAGAUUAAUUAAUUAAACUAAGAAAUCAAAAUCAAUAACAAAACUAAACUAAGGAGUAAAUUAAGACAAGACUAAUUAAAUUAAACUCACAAACACGUUUUAACUAUCAUAUGGAUUAAAACAAAAUUAGCAUGGACUUAUGAAUUACGAACAAAAAUAAUCAAAACUAUUUUAAAAAACUCACCUCUAUUAUAAGAAAAAAUCUGCCUUUGAUGCGUUGAGGUGGCUCCCCUCUCUGUGUGGAUCUCUCUGCUCCCCAGAAAAAAAAUGUCUCUUCCUCCGUUCUCUUUUGUUUCAGCAAAAUAAUAUAUCCCCUGCUGUGGAUCUCUCUACUCCCAGAAAAUAAUAUAUUCUCUCCGUGUCCUAAAGUGGACCUAGGGUGCCUAAGUGGACCUAGGGUGCCUAAAUGGGCCUAGGGUGCCUAAAUGGGCCAAGUGUAUCUAAAUAGGCUUAGGGUGCCUAAGUGGGCCUAAGUCUAAGUGAGCCUAAGUCUAAAUCAAGACUACCAAGGAUCAUAAUAAGGGGUUAGGCAAUCCCUUAACCAAAGUCUCCAAGGUGGCUAAAAAAAAGUAAGUAGUAUGAGUAGCUAUGGGUCACCAAGGAACUACUGUGGAGCAUUGAAAACGAAUUUAAAGACAUGUGCCAAAGGGACAAAAUUGAGGGUCUACAGAUGGUUAGACACAUAGUUGCUCAUGGGAUAUUUGACUUUGGUAAACAAUUCAGAUUCAUAUGUGGGUUUAGGAAUACCUUUAUUAUGACGGUGUGGUAAUCGUUUCAUGAAUGGAUCAGGUUGCAAAUUAAGAACACCCUCAGCAAACAACGAUUGGUUUGGUAUUUCAGUGAAGACAUCUUCGAACCCAAAUUGUUGACCACUCAUAUCCAACUCACCCGCUUCCUGGUUCACUAGUUCAGAUUGUCCAAAUUCAUCAUUCUCAUAGAUAUGAUAAUCAUAAUCGAGAGUCUGAAUUUCCUUAUGGUACUCCCCCUGAAGUUCAGACUUAGAUGAAAAAUACAUCGAAUAUUCAUGAAACAGCNNNNNNNNNNNNNNNNNNNNNNNNNNNNNNNNNNNNNNNNNNNNNNNNNNNNNNNNNNNNNNNNNNNNNNNNNNNNNNNNNNNNNNNNNNNNNNNNNNNNNNNNNNNNNNNNNNNNNNNNNNNNNNNNNNNNNNNNNNNNNNNNNNNNNNNNNNNNNNNNNNNNNNNNNNNNNNNNNNNNNNNNNNNNNNNNNNNNNNNNNNNNNNNNNNNNNNNNNNNNNNNNNNNNNNNNNNNNNNNNNNNNNNNNNNNNNNNNNNNNNNNNNNNNNNNNNNNNNNNNNNNNNNNNNNNNNNNNNNNNNNNNNNNNNNNNNNNNNNNNNNNNNNNNNNNNNNNNNNNNNNNNNNNNNNNNNNNNNNNNNNNNNNNNNNNNNNNNNNNNNNNNNNNNNNNNNNNNNNNNNNNNNNNNNNNNNNNNNNNNNNNNNNNNNNNNNNNNNNNNNNNNNNNNNNNNNNNNNNNNNNNNNNNNNNNNNNNNNNNNNNNNNNNNNNNNNNNNNNNNNNNNNNNNNNNNNNNNNNNNNNNNNNNNNNNNNNNNNNNNNNNNNNNNNNNNNNNNNNNNNNNNNNNNNNNNNNNNNNNNNNNNNNNNNNNNNNNNNNNNNNNNNNNNNNNNNNNNNNNNNNNNNNNNNNNNNNNNNNNNNNNNNNNNNNNNNNNNNNNNNNNNNNNNNNNNNNNNNNNNNNNNNNNNNNNNNNNNNNNNNNNNNNNNNNNNNNNNNNNNNNNNNNNNNNNNNNNNNNNNNNNNNNNNNNNNNNNNNNNNNNNNNNNNNNNNNNNNNNNNNNNNNNNNNNNNNNNNNNNNNNNNNNNNNNNNNNNNNNNNNNNNNNNNNNNNNNNNNNNNNNNNNNNNNNNNNNNNNNNNNNNNNNNNNNNNNNNNNNNNNNNNNNNNNNNNNNNNNNNNNNNNNNNNNNNNNNNNNNNNNNNNNNNNNNNNNNNNNNNNNNNNNNNNNNNNNNNNNNNNNNNNNNNNNNNNNNNNNNNNNNNNNNNNNNNNNNNNNNNNNNNNNNNNNNNNNNNNNNNNNNNNNNNNNNNNNNNNNNNNNNNNNNNNNNNNNNNNNNNNNNNNNNNNNNNNNNNNNNNNNNNNNNNNNNNNNNNNNNNNNNNNNNNNNNNNNNNNNNNNNNNNNNNNNNNNNNNNNNNNNNNNNNNNNNNNNNNNNNNNNNNNNNNNNNNNNNNNNNNNNNNNNNNNNNNNNNNNNNNNNNNNNNNNNNNNNNNNNNNNNNNNNNNNNNNNNNNNNNNNNNNNNNNNNNNNNNNNNNNNNNNNNNNNNNNNNNNNNNNNNNNNNNNNNNNNNNNNNNNNNNNNNNNNNNNNNNNNNNNNNNNNNNNNNNNNNNNNNNNNNNNNNNNNNNNNNNNNNNNNNNNNNNNNNNNNNNNNNNNNNNNNNNNNNNNNNNNNNNNNNNNNNNNNNNNNNNNNNNNNNNNNNNNNNNNNNNNNNNNNNNNNNNNNNNNNNNNNNNNNNNNNNNNNNNNNNNNNNNNNNNNNNNNNNNNNNNNNNNNNNNNNNNNNNNNNNNNNNAACCAAAGGAAGCAUGUUCCAGACGUCGAUGCCACAACCAAAUUUCAGACUUUUUCUUCUCCUCCUUAGAUCCAUCUGCCAUCAAGGCUUGUUGCAACUUAUUUGAAUCCUUUGAUUGCAAGUCCAAGUAUAGAGUUUCCCCCGCUUAAUACGACAACCAAUCGUCUGUCUUGUUUGAAUGUCCUUAAUCACACAAAAUUCAGGCCAAAAAAUGACAAUACAAGAUAAGGCUGCAGUGAUUUGAGAAACUAACAAAAGAUUGUAAUCUAAAGAUGGAACAACUAAAACAGAAUCCAAAUUCAAAGUAUCAGUAAGAGUUAAGGAUCCUUCCCCAAUGACUGGGGUUGUGUUACCAUUGGCUGUGGAAACAAUUUUUUGUGAGGAAGGUCUAAGGGGUGAAACCUGUCUAGAAUCAAAAGUCAUAUGAUCUGUAGCACCAGAAUCAAUUAUCCAUGCACUAUUAAUAACAGGUGUAAAAGUAUUUAAAAACUUACCACAAUGAUCUGUAGCGGCUACUAAUGCAGAGACUUUCUCAACAACAUUAGUCUUUGUUUUUAUUUCGGUAACAGUUGCAAUCAAGGUUUUCUUGGAAUUCUUCUUCCGUUGAUCACGAUUAUUAUCAUUAAUAACAAAGUGUUGAUAGCCUAAACAUGAUCUAAAGGUCCAUGGUGCAAACCCUCGGUUCCUCAUUGUUUUCCUGGUCAUACCAAGAGUUGUUGCUUUGAAAUUGUGGGAUAUCCAGACUGGUGGGAUCAGUUUUAUUGCAGUGAGUGCAUUUGAAUGUUGACUUAUCAAUAUUAGGGCUUGUCUUCGGAUGGUUGAUUGCUGUUGGACUACCAUAGCGACAAAAUAUCCAGGAUUUCAAUUCCAGGGCUCUGAUACCAUCUUCAAAUUGAUGAAUGAUAGUUUUUCAUUCAUUCUUUCAUGUACAGAGUAUAUAUAGAGGGUAAUCACCAUUCUAAGAAUGGGAAAGAAUGAUACGAGGAAAUAAUGAUAUAAGGAAAUAAUAACUAAUAUCCUAAUAUCUCAACUUUCCUAAUAUCUCAAUAUUCCUAAUAUCUCAACUUUCCUAAUAUCUAAACAUUCAUAAUAUCUCAACACUAAAUGAUACAAGGAAAGAAUGAUAUAAGGAAAACAUUCCUAAUAUCUCAACACCACUUCAUGAUAUAUAUAGUUUCUUACCCUUAAUCAAUGGUUUCUAAGUGAAUUUAUAUAGAAAGAAAUCCAAACUGUAGACAGCAGUAUUGGUAACACUCAAUAUUCUGUAUAUAAUAGAAUAAAUAGCGUCACAGUGAUCGUCGCCUACAAGCAAGGUACAAAUACCACAAAGAGUGACCCACAUAGACAUUCCCCAACAAGAUGUAGUAGUGACUGACACAUAGCCACAAUUAACACGUAGAAAAGGAUAAGACCGGUGCACAGUAGCUCUUAUUUUACAUACUACUUAUGCCAACCAAAGUCACUCAGUUGGGAUGGGAGGGAGAUGGAGGUUUGUGCGGUGGCUUGUGGGGCGGAGUUGAUGGCUUCUUUCCAGGAGCUUCUGGCUUUUUCAUCGGAGCUGAAGGAGGCUCAAUCUUAUGAGGCGGCUUGUACGAGUCUUCUUUGCUCUCGAAAGGAGGGUGGCCAGGGUUGUGACCAUAAUGUGGUGGUUUCUCUCCCUUGGGAGGUUUACCAAUUGGGGUUGGUGGCUUGUGUUCUGGGAGUGGUUUCUCUCCCUUGGGAGGUUUAGUGGGUGACUUGUGUUCUGGAGGUGGCUUCUCCACCGAAGGCUUGUGCUCCGGUGGUGGCUUUUUGGUUGGAGGGGGCUUGGGGUAAUCAGCAAGAGAUGGGGUGGUGAGAACCACCAGUCCAAGGAACAACACUAGCAAGUAUGUGGGAGACAUUUUUGAGUUUGGGCUGAUCAGAUGAUGCAAAACUAAAGCAUUACGUGACCUUUUAUAGCAAGUAGCUCCCAAUACCUACUUGACACGUGUUACUGUGACCCAUAAAUAUUAUGGGGUCUAUUUGUGCCCUACCGGGUUGAAAACUUGGACAAUUGGGCAAGGACCCGCCUGACUAUGGAGGACUACUGAGGUGUGAUCACAGCUUUAGGAUUUUUCUUCCUCUGCAGCCGUCUUGCCGUUGGCAUGAUUUUCUUAAUCUCAAAUAAAGGCAUAGUUAUAGAGUUGUUUAAUCUCUAAAUGGGAUUUUAUAUAUCUUCAGAUAGCCAUUAAUACAUUUGAUGAAGAAAGAAAGACAAGUGCAUACAACAUGUAUACGACUAGCUUUCAUGGAGUUCAUUUAUGAUCAGUUUUCCUGUACAUGUAAACCAAGAUCAUAUAUGUUUUUGUUCCACAACAAUUUUGGAAUCUUGUUUAUCCGUUUUUAUCAUUAUAAUGUCACAUAGGCUGCCAACUUGGGCGCUAAAUUAAAGAUCCAGUUGGGCAAGUUCGUUUCAGAAUUUCAAUGGUGGAUUCAGGAAUUGUUUUAUAAGAUAUGCAAAAUAGUAGAGGGAUGAAUAGUGUUUCAUUAAGAAAAGAGCCCUGUAAAAAUAUUGUUUAAAGGUGCCAUAGAAACUAUAAUCAAUAAAUAACUUUUUUUCCCCAUGGGUGGUGUUUCUUGUGGGGAUCAGUGACUGGUUUGAGUCAACGCCGUGUCUCUUUAGUCCAGAAAUCAACUAUUUUAUGCAUUGAAUACAUCAACAAAGAAAAUAUGAAAGCCAAAUGACACCUCCCCCGCAAAAACUAAACCCUGGUUGCUAACUUUCUAUGUUUCAGUUCCAUUCACACAAGAAUAUUAGUUCAAGUUUGAGAAAAAUGGCGACUUACCUAGUGAUAACUCGGUCUUGGUUUGCGAUUUGACUUUAACGUCAUGGGUUGAAGCCUCCUACAAUCAUCGUGUAUGCUAGUUCAAAGCUCGUGGAAGAAGUUAUACAGGGAGGGAGAAACCUCCACAGCAAGCUCCAAAAGAGAAUUAUCACAUUGAAAGCUCCAGUUGAACACUGGGUGAAAGCCAUAACAAGAUUGGUUUUCUAUCGCUCUUUUAAGUAAUGGAAGAUUAUUAUCUCUGCUUGUCACUACAACCGUGCAUGCUGCUAGAUCUUUCUAGACACUUCAAACAGUGAAACCAAGUAUGAUUCUUUUUCUCUUGAGUGGGUCCACUUGCAUGCCAAUGAACGAGUUGAAAAGUUGGACAAUUGGCCACAGCGCGCACUUACCUUCUGGAACCGAAGGUCAGUGAAGUGGGGUUCCUUUUGGCCCCUUGUGUUUCUGUUCCAACCUACUCCAGGAACCGAAGUUCAGUGAAGUGGGGCUACUUUUGGCCUCUUGUGUUUCUGUUCCAACCAAACAAAAAUGGGAGGGAAAAAUAGCAUUAUGCUUGUGCUAAAGAUCAACGCAUGAUAGCUGAAUAAGGGAGAAAAAGGCAUUGCUAUCUCAAUUUCAUAAACUUGAUAAGUAGUGACAUUAAUAGUCUUCCUCAUAGAUGGAUACAUGGUUUUAUUUUAUUUAUUUAUUUUUAUUUUUUUGUUUUAUGUCAAUGCUAAUGAAUGAAGUGCAUUAGCUUGUUUUGUGACUAGAACUACAAAUGUCCAAAUUGGAGCUUCUCCAAUAUAUUUCUCAGUGAGUUAUUGAUUAGAACUCUUGGAUUGAGUUCCAAGAUUUGAAUCAGACCCCUCUAGCAGCUUCAGGGGUACGUAGCAACCUAUAGCAUAUUAAUGAAGACUUAGGAUUUAGACUUAGGAAUACAAAUUAAUAUGUACCUCAUGCUCUGACUAGCUUCCCUGCGUAUGCACAAAAUGGAGAUGACUCCCAAAAAAAUAGCAGAAUCGCCUUAGUAUGUUUUUGUGGUUAAGAUGAUUCUCCACUUUAUAUAUCCACAUUGGUUCAUUAUGCAAAUUAAUCAACUAAGCUAUUUUUAUUUUUUCUUAAAUGUGAAAUAGGAGCUCCAAAUUAACCUAACCAUUGGCCUGAUUGAAUUGAUUUCACUUGCAUAAUGUUAUAGUAGAAGUCCGUAAUUUGAAUUUUAUUUUUGCAAAAGGUAACGUAAAUGAAGCAUUGUAAUUAAAUUUAUUUGUAAUUACAAACUAAUUUUAUUUUAUUAAGAAUUAAUUUAAUUACUCAUUUAAAAUAAAAAUCAGUUAUACUUUUACCAAGAUGAUAAUAUUCAUAUUUUUCUAGUUAACAUAUAUAAAAUAGUACACUUUUUCAUAUAAAAAAAUAAUUUAUGAUUUAUUAUAAUGUUACUAUUCACAUUUUACUAAAUUGAUGGUACAUGAUAGUGAGAGAAGGGGGUGUCACACUCAGCUAAAGUUCUUUUCAAAAUAUUGCAUGGUGUUUAAUUUUAUGUGUCGGCGCGCGUGUGAAUGGAACCUGCAAAAGUCCAAAUUGGCGUUUCUCCAUUUUCCACAUAGGAUGGUGACGUUAAUAGACAAAGAUACAAUAUCUGUAGACAUUGCUUAAAAAUCGAUGUGAAGUAUUAGAAAUUACAGGGCACUGUACUGGGGGAGCGGCUGCCCCGCCAAAGGAGGAAGAAUGUAGCAAUUUCUUCUGUUAGCCAGGCCUUAGGAUUUAUGCAUGGGAUGCCUAAUAACAAACAGAGAAAAUAUACUUUUGGGGAAGGUAUCCAACAACAGACACCAUCAUUCAGAUGGUGGGAAGGUAUCCAACAGAUGCCAUCAUUCAGAUGGUAACAUAUAUAUACAUUUAUUAGUGAGUUUUUUUAAUACCUAUAAAAAAAAAUAUACACUUUGAUAUUGUGGCUGAAUCCAUUACAUACUCAACUAACCUUGCUCAUUAGGGAUUUGACUUAACAAGGGCAACGUUGCAGUACAAGCUCAAAACUUUAUGCAGGUGACAUUACAUUUGGUAAAGAAGAGGAAAAUAACGAAAGCCAUCCAUAAAAGCAAAAUUCCACAUGGGAUGAAAUUCACAAGCUUCAUUUACGAUAGAGUCGCAUCCAGGCAAUUAAUUCCACAUUAGACCGCCUGUUGACAUGUGUACCAAUCUUUUUUCAAAAAAUAUUUAUAAAUAAUUGAUACUCACAAAAAUAAUUUAAUAUUUAUAAAGGAUAAAAAAAUAUUUUCAAAUCUAUAACAAUUUAUAAAAUAUUAAUAAAAAAUUAUCUCUUAAACUUAGUAUAGUUUUAUCAGAUUAAACUUUUAUUUUGAACAAAUAAUUUUAAUCUAAGUUUUAAAUUCUAAAAUUAUUUCCUUAAAAUAAAAUUUUAAAAUUCAACACUUCAAUUGAAAUUGUCUUUUUAAAAAAUAUCUUCUUAUUUUAAUCCUUAUAAACUAUAGUUGAUUGAAAAUACUAUUGAAGUUCUCUCUUAAAAAAAAGUCUUAUUUUAAUCUUCAUAAAUUGCCCUUGAUUUGAAAAUAAAUUUUCAGUUAUCAUAUUUUAAAUAAUAUCUAUAUUUAAAAUACUCUAUUUAAAAAAAAAUGAACUAAUUUUAAUUAUAUUAUAUUUUAUUUUUUUAUAUAUUUUUAAUGAUAAACCAAACAUAGAAAAUCAUUUUUCUAAAUAUUUUAAAAUUUCUAAGCAACCAAACAUAAUCUUCAAAAUAAAAGGAAAAUAAGGAGGGACAUUUGAGAAAUGGCGAUUAAAAAAAAGUGUACAAAAGCUCAAUUAAUUUUCUUCUAGUCUUUUAUAUAAAAAAGUAAAGGAAUUGAAAAGUAUUGAUAUGUAAAUUAAUAUUUGGAUUUUAAUAGUAUUUUAUUUGUCUUUCUCUAUCUCAUGUAAAAGAGAAUUUAAGAUAUUUCCUAAAGCAAAGCAUUAGUUAUCUGCAAUCAGUGGUGAUCAUGCCCCAUGUCAAUUUCGGACCCAUAUCUUAAAACUGUAUAAUUUGCAUUCAAACAUUACUGAUUUCUCAGAUGUUUCAUACUCCACAGAAGAGCAUUGUUUGUGAAAGCAUGCAUUUAUGUUGGAUUUUGGAUGAUGUGGGAACUGGGGCAAGGAUCAUAUGGAAGAGUGGUCGAUUUUGUUCUGUACUUUAACAUUUGAAAUAGGAGAAGCUCGGGCAUUUGUGGGGCUUAAUUGAUUUUGAAGCCUGAAAUUGCGUUUCUGUCAUUUUGUAAAAAAUAUGGCAGAUUCCAUGCUCUCAUAUGUUUGGUCUGUGGCCAUGUAUAGAUGCCCCUUAGUGACCAGUUUGUAACUGUCAAUCAUAGUGUUUUGACUCUGGCUCAACAACAUCAGCCAUUGACGGAUUUUCAUACUUGCAAAUCAAAUAGUCUUCUUCCUCCCUUAGGAAUUUCGGUUUAAAUGUUAUUAAGCAUACAUUUGGCUGACAAUUAUUAACCACUUCAUGAUAUGGUUUCUUACCCUUAAUCAAUGGUUUCUAAGUGAAUAUAUGCAGAAGGAAAUCUGAACUGUAGACAGCAGUAUUGAUAACUCUCAAUAUUCUUUAUAUAAGAGAAUAAACAACGUCAUAGUGAUCGUCGCCUACAAGAAAGGUACAUUUCCCAACAAGAUGUAGUUGUGACUGGUACAUGGACGCAAUUAACUCGUACAAAAGAAUAAGACCAGUGCACGGCAGCUCUUAUUUUACAUGCUAAUUAUGCUAACCAAAGUCACUCAGUUGGGAUGGGAGGGAGAUGGAGGUUUGUGCGGUGGCUUGUGGGGCGGAGUUGGUGGCUUCUUUUCAGGAGCUUGUGGCUUUUUCGGAGCUGAAGGAGGCUCAAUCUUAUGAGGCGGCUUGUACGAGUCUUCUUUACUCUCGACAGGAGGGUGGCCAGGGUUGUGACCAUAAUGUGGUGGCUUCUCUCCCUUAGGUGGCUUGCCAACUGGGGUUGGUGGCUUGUGUUCAGGAAGUGGUUUCUCUCCCUUGGGAGGUUUACCAAUUGGGGUUGGUGGCUUGUGUUCUGGGAGUGGUUUCUCUCCCUUGGGAGGUUUAGUGGGUGACUUGUGUUCUGGAGGUGGCUUCUCCACCGGAGGCUUGUGCUCCGGUGGUGGCUUCUCCACCGGAGGCUUGUGCUCCGGUGGUGGCUUCUUGAUUGGAGGGGGCUUGGGGUAAUCAGCAAGAGAUGGGAUGGUGAGAACCACCACUCCAAGGAACAACACUAGCAAGUAUGUGGGAGACAUUUCUGAGUUUGAGCUGAUCAGAUGAUGCAAAACUAGAAGAAUUACGGGACCUUUUAUAGCAAGUAUCUCCCAAUACCCACAUGACACGUGUUACUAUGACCAUAAAUAUUAUAGGGUCCAUUUGUGCCCUACCGGGUUGAAAACUUGGACGCUUGGCCGAGGACACACCUGACUAUGGAGGACUAUUGACGUGUGAUCACAGCUUUUGGAUUUUUCUUCCUGUGCAGCUGUCUAGCGGUUGGCAUUAUUUUCUUAAUCUUAAAUAAAGGCAUAGUUAUAGAGUUGUUUAAUCUCUAAAUGGGAUUUUAUAUAUCUUCAGAUAGCCAUUAAUAUAUUUGAUGAAGAAAGACAAGUGCAUACAACAUGUAUACGGCUUGCUUCAAUCGAGUACAUUUAUGAUCAGUUUUCCUGUGCAAGUAAACCAGUUUUUUGUUCCACAACUAUUUUGGAAUCUUGUUUAUCAGUUUCUAUCAUUAUAAUGUCACAUAGGCUGCAAACUUGGGCACCCAAAGAUCUAGGUGGGCAAAUUUGUUUCAGACUUUCAAUGGUGGAUUCAGUAAUUGUUAAAAGGUGUUUCUUCAUUAAGGAAAGAGUCCGGUAAAAAUAUUGUUAAAAGGUGUCAUAGAAACUAUAAUAAAUAAAUAACUUCUUUUCCCCAUGGGUGGUGUUUCUUCUGGGGAUCAGUGACUGGUUAGGGUCACCCAAAAUGAGUCCAGAUUAAAAUUGGUUCGAGUCAAAGCAGUCUCUUUUGUCCAGAAAUCAACUAUUUUGCGCAUUGAAUGAAUCGAUAAAGAAAAAAUGAAAGCCAAAUCACACCUCCCCUGCAAAACCUAAACCCCGGUUGCUAACUUUCUAUGUUUCAGUCCUAUUCAUAUAGGAAUAUUGGUUCAAGUUUGAGAAAAAUGGCAACUUACCUAGGGUUUACUUGGUUUUGGUUUGCGACUAUUUACGCAACCAACCAUGAGUUUGACUUUAACGUCAUGGGUUGAAGCCUCCUACAAUCAUGUAUGAUAGUUCAAAGCUCGUGGAAGAAAUUAUACAGGAAGGAAGAAACCUCCAAAGCUAGCUCCAAAAGAGAAUUAUCACAUCGAUAGCUCCAGAGAUUCCCAAGGGAACUGAAUCAAAGACAAGUUCCUCACUUUUUCUUCUUUUGAGGCCAAAUAUGAACCAAGGAUCACACGACCUCAUUCAACUUCAUAAGUUUGAUUUCAUGCAGUUGAACACUGGGUGAAGGCCAUGACAAGAAUUGAUUAAAAAAUUCUACCACUCUUUUAAGUAAUGGAAGAUUAUUAUCUCUGAUUGGCACCACAACAGCACAUGCUGCUAGAUCUUUCUAGACACUCCAUGCAAUGAAAGCACAAUGGAUCUUGUAAUGAUAGAAACUAAGCCAUGCUACAGUACUAGAUGAGGGGGUAAAACUAGUAGACAUCUUUCUAGACACUCCAUGCAAUGAAAGCACAAUGGAUCUUGUAAUGAUAGAAACUAAGCCAUGCUACAGUACUAGAUGAGGUGGUAAAACUAGUAGACAUGGCUGGCAGUUGAUUACUACUCAAAAAGUACUCUUUUAUAGCUUGAAACUAACUGUUUUAAACACUUUUGAGUAGUAGUUAAUACCUUUUAACUUAAUUGGCACAUUAAGGAACCUAGCAAGGGUUACUAAUCAACAUUUGGCAAGUUUUGAUGUUUUUGGUAGCUAUUUGAUCAUUGAAACAAGCCAAGAAUGAGGGGGAAUUUUGUGAAGUCCAUGGCAAUGCAAGUUAAAGCUCAAAUACAUGAAGAAUCCAAGCUUUGGAGCACUUCAUAGCCCUUUGCCAAGCCAAUCAAAGAUGCAAGGAAGAAAACCAAAGGAAGAAAUCCAACAAUCAGCAUUUUGGCAUGGCUAUGUGAAAUUUCGCACACCAUGCGAAACCACAAGAGGCAGCCAAAGAAUUUCGCAUGGUAUGCGAAAUCUUCUUGUGCACUGACUCUGUUAGAUUUUUAUCUUCAGAUAUUUUGUGUAAUUUCCUAGUUUCUCCUUGUAACCAACUUAGAUAUUUUCUUUUAUAUCUUUUUUUAUAUUUUUUAGGUAACAUCAUAUAUAAGAGGAGAGACAUAAGGAGGAUAUGGAUGUUUUUCAUAGAACACUUGUAAAUUUUUGGUAGUAAGAAAUAUACAAAGCUUUUUGCUCUGCCUUACCUUCUCAAGGGAUGAGUGGCUAGGUUUUCUUGGAGUGAGGGAAGCUAGGUGAAGGACCUGAAUGCAAAGGUGGGAGUUUUCCUUACUUUAAAUGAAAGUAGUUGUUAAACAUUAAUGGUUUUUAUUUUAAGGUUUAGCUUUAAAUCCCUGAAAAACACCUUGAAUGGCCAAUACUUGGUAAGCUUUUUAGAUUCUAUGGAUGCUUAUUGCUAGAUCCAUGGAUGUCUAUUAGUUAUCAUUUACGAGCCAUUGGAAGGUGAUUCAAGGUGAGGGUCUUUAGUGUUUGAAGCCAUUAAUGGGAAGCAAUUACCAUUUUUUCAUGAAUCCUUUGGAUCAAAUCUUAAUUGCUAAAUAUAAAACCGGUUUCGAGAGAUAACCACCAUCCUUUAUGUUAUUAUCCCCAACGCGAGGAGAAGAUCCGAAAUCUUCCUUUUUAUCUAAGGAACCCGAUCCUAGUGACCUAAAGCUCCAAGAUACCUUUUCUUUGUAGUUAACUUCAUUUAUUGUUUUUGCUUAACUUAAAAUCAAUCUUUGCAACCACAAUUCCAUUUUCUUUAAAAGCUAAUUUUUAUAAGGAAAAACACCAUUUUAUUUCCUUCACUAAGUCAACUGUACGAUGAAAACCCAUCCCUGUGGACGAUCCUAGAGCCACUAUACUAUGUUAGCUAUGCUACCCUAGUGUGAGGUGAUUUAGGUUUUAUAAAUUUUUUUGAUAACACCCAUCUGAGCCAGAAUCAAAUGGCACGACUGAACCAGGGACGAAUCAAAUGACGCCGCUACCAAGGAUGGUGCCAAAGUACAUUGACAUGACUUUUGGUGAACACUUGUGAUCUUCACCACAAGUUUGGUGAUUUUUCUUUUACUAAUUUUUUUUAUUUUAGCUUAUCUUUUAUUUAGUUUUUAGUUAACCUUAAAUUUUUCCUAGAAUUGUAUUUCUUUUGUUUUCUUUGUUUUUGUUUCAGUGAUCUUUAGUUGUGCAUGCCCUAUUGGAUAAGAGAUAUUGAGGGAAUACUUGUGAAGAUUGAAACUCCUCGAGAAACUGAGUUAGAAGUGUGCUUGAACAUCAUGGAUGUUCCACCUGAAGACCAGAAUAGCCAACAUGGUUAAGAGGAUAAUUUCAACACAUACCGAUCCAUGAGGAACCGCAUACAUCCACCUUGUAUGAGUGCACCGUCAGGCAUAAUGCCUCCCACUGAGCAGCUAGUAAUCUGACCUCACAUUGUGCCACUCCUACCUACUUUCCAUGGGAUGGAGAGUGAGAAUCCCUACUCGCAUAUUAAGGAAUUCGAGGAGGUUUGUAAUACAUUCCAAGAAGGAGGAGCUUCAAUUGACUUGAUGAGGCUCAAGCUAUUUCCUUUCACUUUGAAGGAUAAGGCCAAGAUUUGGCUUAAUUCUUUAAGGCCAAGAAGUAUCCAAACUUGGAUUGAUUUGUAAGCCGAGUUUCUUAAGAAGUUCUUCCCUACCCAUAGGACCAAUGGUUUGAAAAGGCAAAAUUUGAACUUCUCAGUUAAAGAGAAUGAGAAAUUCUAUGAGUGUUGGGAGAGCUACAUGGAAGCUAUUAACGUUUGUCCUCACCAUGGCUUUGACACAUGGCUCUUAGUGAGCUAUUUUUACAAUGGUAUGUCUUCUUCAAUGAAGCAACUCCUAGAAACUAUGUGUGGAGGAGACUUCAUGAGUAAGAAUCCGGAGGAAGCCAUGGACUUUUUGAGUUAUGUGGCUGAAGUUUCAAGAGGAUGGGAUGAACCAAAUGCUAGAGAGGUGGGAAGAAUGAAGUCUCAACCUAAUGCUAAGGGUGAGAUGUAUGUUUUGAAUGAAGACAUUGACAUGAAAGCAAAGGUUGCAGCUAUGGCAAGGAGAUUGGAAGAGCUAGAAAUGAAGAACAUACAAAAAGUGCAAGCCAUUUCUGAGACAUCAAUGAAAGCUAUGCCUUGUUCCAUUUGUCAAUCUUAUAAGCACCUAGUGGAGGAGUGUCCUACAAUUCCAGCAGUGAGAGAGAUGUUUGGUGAUCAAGCAAAUGUUAUUGAUCAAUUCAAGCCUAAUAACAAUGCUUCAUAUGGCAACACCUACAAUUCAAAUUGGAGGAACCAUUCAAAUUUCUCUUGGAAACGAAAGCCACCUCAAUACACACAACCUACUCAAGCACCUUAGCAAUCCUCGAAUCUUGAACAAGCUAUUGUGAACCUUAGCAAGGUUGUGGGAGACUUUGUGGGAGAUCAGAAGUCCAUCAAUGCUCAACUGAAUCGGAGAAUUGACAGUGUGGAGAGUACAUUGAACAAAAGGAUGGAUGAGAUGUAAAAUGAUCUGUCUCAAAAGAUAGACAAUGUCCAAUACGUAAUCUCAAGGCUUACCAACCUCAACACAGUGUAAGAGAAAGGAAAGUUUCCUUCUCAACCUCAUCAAAAUCCUAAGGGUAUCCAUGAAGUAGAGGCUCAAGAGGGAGAAUCUUCAAAGGUGAGGGAAGUCAAAGUAGUUAUCACCUUGAAGAGUGGUAAAGAGGUUGAUCAACCCACAUCCAAGCCAAAGCAUAAUGAAGAGAGUGUAGCAGAAAAAGAAAAGAGAGGAAAAUAAAGGAAUUAGAAUAGAGAAAAAUACAAAGAAAGAUGACCAUGAGUCUAGUGUGGAUGAAGAGCCCGAGAGGAUGGUGAUCAAGGAAGAUAUGAUGAAGAAACACAUGCCUCCACCUUUCCCCUAAGCUUUGCAUGACAAAAAAAGAACCAAUAAUACAUCAGAAAAUUUUGAAGUAUUGAGGCAAGUGAAGGUCAAUAUCCCUUUGCUAGACAUGAUCAAACAAGUGUCGACAUAUGAAAAAUUCUUGAAGGACUUGUGCACUGUAAAGAGAGGGUUGAAUGUGAACAAGAAAGCUUUAUUGACCGAGCAAGUGAGUUCCAUCAUACAGUGCAAGUCCUAGUGAAGUACAAAGAUCCGGGUUGCCGUACCAUCUCAGUGAGUAUUGGAAGGACUUGUGUGGAGAAAGCUUUGUUGGACUUGGGAGCAAGUGUGAAUUUGCUAUCCUACUCUGUCUAUAAGCAGUUGGGAUUUGGAGAGUUGAAGCCAAUAUCCAUCACUCUAUCUCUAGCGGAUAGAUCAAUGAAGAUUCCAAGAGGGAUGAUCGAAGAUGUCCUGGUUCAAGUUAACAAAUUCUACUAUCCAGUAGAUUUUGUUGUUCUUGAUAUGGAUCCGGUUGUCAAAUGAACUAAUUAUGUUCCUAUCAUACUUGGAAGACCCUUCCUAGCUACAUCAAAUGCAAUCAUCAAUUGUAGGAAUGGAGUCAUGCAACUCACAUUUGUCAACAUGACAUUAGAGCUCAACAUCUUCCAUUUGUACAAGAAGCAUAUCCAUCAGGAGGAAAAAGAAGGUCUAGAGGAAGUGUGAAUGAUUGACACUUUAGUGGAAGAGCAUUGUGAUCGAGAAUGCAAAAAGAUUUAGUUGAGAAUUUUGGGGAUCUUGAUGAAAGGUUACUUGAACCCUCAGAUUUGCUUGCUACCCUACUCCAUUGGAAGAGAAGAGAAGAAAUUCUACCCUUAUUCAAUGAGGAGGAGACGCAAAGAGCUGCAAAGGAGAAACCCCCAAAACUUAUUCUUAAGCCACUACCCACAGAGUUGAAGUAUGUAUACUUGGAAGAAGACAAGAAGUGCCCUAUUGUUAUAUCUUCAACUCUUACCAUUCAUCAGGAGGAUUGUCUACUUGAAGUCCUUAGAAGAUGUAAGAAGACAAUAAGGUGGCUAAUUUCUUAUUUGAAAGGGAUCAGCCCUUUAGUCUGCACCCAUCAUAUUUACAUGGAGGAUGAAGCUAAGCUAAUUCAUCAACCUCAGAGAAGGUUGAACCCUCACAUGCAAGAGGUGGUUCGAGCUGAAGUUCUGAAGCUACUUCAGACCAGUAUUAUUUACCCCAUAUCAAAUAGCCCAUGGGUGAGUCCUACUCAAGUUGCGCCAAAGAAGUCUGGGAUCAUGGUGGUGCAAAAUGAUAAGGGAGAAGAUGUCUCUACACGCCUCACUACAGGUUGGAGGGUGUGUAUCAAUUACAGGAGGUUGAAUGCAGUGAUAAGAAAGGACCAUUUCUCAUUGCCCUUUAUUGAUCAGGUGCUUGAGAGGGUCUCUGGGCUUUUUUUUUUAUUGUUUCUUGGAUGGCUACUCCGGGUACUUUCAGAUAGAAAUUGAUGUUGAAAACCAAGAUAAGACCAUUUUCACAUGCCCAUUUGGAACCUAUGCAUAAAGGAGAAUGCCUUUCGGCUUAUGCAAUGCACCCGCAACUUUCCAAAGAUGCAUGUUAAGCAUUUUCAGUGAUAUGGUGGAGCGUAUUAUGGAAGUCUUUAUGGAUGAUAUCACCAUUUAUGGAAGUGCAUUUGAUGAAUGCUUGGUCAACUUAGAAGCUGUUCUGAACCGAUACAUUGAGAAAGACUUAGUGCUUAACUGGGAGAAGUGCCAUUUCAUGGUACACCAAGGGAUUGUCCUUGGGCACAUUAUCUCCAAGCAAGGCAUUGAAGUUGACAAAGCAAAGGUUGAACUCAUUGUUAAGUUGCCAUCCUCAACAAAUGUCAAAGGAGUAAGGCAAUUCUUUGGCCAUGUCGGGUUCUAUAGGAGGUUUAUCAAGGAUUUCUCUAAGCUUGCAAGGCCUCUUUGUGAAAUAUUGGUGAAUGAUGUUAAAUUCAUAUGGGAUGAUGGAUUUGAAAGGAGUUUUGAAGAAUUGAAGCUAUUUUUGACAACCGUACCAAUAGUGAGGGCUCCCAACUGGCAACUGCCCUUUGAAGUAAUGUGUGAUGUCAAUGAUUUUGCUAUAGGAUUUUUUCUUGGGCAAAGAGAAAAUGGAAAACCUUAUGUGAUCUACUAUGCGAGGAAGGCAUUGAAUGAGGCACAAAGAAACUACACAACCACCGAGAAAGAAUUGUUAGCUGUAGUUUUUGCCUUGGAUAAGUUUCGCGCUUACUUGGUGGGGUCCUUCAUCAUGGUUUUUACUGAUCACUUUGCUUUGAAGUAUCUGUUGACUAAGCAAGAUGCUAAAGCAAGGCUGAUUAGAUGGAUUCUCUUACUUCAAGAGUUCAAUCUCCAUAUCAAAGAUAAGAAAGGAGUGGAGAAUGUGGUAGCAGACCACAUUUCAAGGCUAGCUAUCGCACAUAAUUCCCAUGCUUUGCCCAUUAAUGACGAUUUUCUAGAGGGGUCUCUCAUGUUGGUGGAAGUUGUCCCUUGGUACGCUCACAUUGCUAACUACCUGGUCACGGGAAAAGUUCCAAGUGAGUGGAAAGCACAAGAUAAGAAGCACUUCUUUGCAAAAAUUCAUGCCUACUAUUGGGAAGAGCCAUUUCUAUUCAAGUAUUGUAUGGAUCAGAUAAUAAGGAAGUGCGUUCCUGAAGAAGAGCAACAGGGGAUCCUUAGUCAUUACCAUGAAAAUGCAUGUGGAGGCCACUUUGCUUAUCAAAAGACAGCCAUGAGGGUGUUGCAAUCGGGUUUCUGUUGGCCAUCACUUUUCAAAGAUGCCCACACCAUGUGCAAGAGUUGUGAUCGAUGCCAGAGGCUUGGGAAGUUGACACGCAGGAACAUGAUGCCUUUGAACCCCACUUUAAUAGUUGAUAUUUUUUAUGUUUGGGGCACUAACUUCAUGGGACCUUUCCCUAUGUCUUUUGGCUACUCUUACAUCUUGGUAGGAGUAGAUUAUGUUUCUAAGUGGGUUGAGGCAGUCCCAUGCAAACACAAUGACCAUAGAGUGGUUCUCAAGUUUCUUAAAGAGAAUAUCUUCUCAAGAUUUGGGGUGCCCAAAGCCAUAAUUAGUGAUGGGGGUACUCAUUUUUGCAACAAGCCUUUUGAAACUCUCCUAGCCAAGUAUGGGGUGAAGCAUAAGGUAGCUACACCUUACCACCCUCAAACUCAUGGACAAGUUGAGUUAGCAAACAGGGAGAUUAAAAACAUAUUGAUGAAGGUGGUGAACACAAACAGAAAAGAUUGGUCAGUCAAGCUUCUUAAUUCACUAUGGGCAUAUAGAACAACUUACAAGACCAUUCUCGGGAUGUCUCCUUAUCGCCUAGUUUAUGGCAAAGCAUGCCAUCUCCCUGUGGAAUUGGAAUACAAAGCUUGGUGGGCAAUCAAGAAGCUCAACAUGGAUUUGAGCAGAGCUGGGUUGAAGAGGUUCUUAGACCUUAAUGAGAUGGAGAAAUUGAGAAAUGAUGCCUACAUCAAUUCAAAAAUUGCAAAAGAAAAAUUGAAGAGGUGGCAUGAUCAGUUGAUUUCCCGCAAGGAUUUUCAAAAUGGACAAAGAGUCUUACUUUAUGACUCUAAACUCCACAUCUUUCCGGGCAAGCUGAAAUCAAGGUGGAUAGGUCAUUUUACCAUUCACCAAGUGCAUUCAAAUGGAGUAGUGGAACUACUCAACUCCAACAAUAUCGAGAACUUCAAAGUGAAUGGCCACCGUCUCAAGCCCUUUGUGGAGUCUUUUUCUCACAACAAGGAGAAAUUCAUCCUCCUUGAUCCACAUCAAGCUUAACAAGACCAAUUUUCUUGAUGGACUUAGUCUUUCUAAAGACUAUCGAGUCCAUAACUUUUUGUUUUAUUUUUUAUUUGAGAUUUUUUCGGUAUUGUUACUUGUUUUGUUUUUUAUUUUUCGUUUUAAUUUUAUUUGGUUUGAUUUAACUUAGGUUUUUGAUGAUCAAUUACAGGGGGGAUUUCAAAUAGAGGAAAAACCAAGAUAAUUCGCACACCCUACGAAAAUUUCGCAAGGCAUGCGAAAUUUAUGGCUUAUUUUGCAUGGGGUGAAAAUUUUCGUACAUCUUACGAACCAAUUUCGAACACUUUGCGAAAAUAAACCAACCCUGCGAAAUCAUUUCGAUUACUCUACGAAAUUUUCGUAGAGCAUGCGAAAAAUUUAGCACACCAAACACCAUUUCGCAUACUAUGCAAAAACCUAAGGGGUCUGCGAAACCAUUUCGCACCUCCAAAUCCAUUUCGCACAUUGUGCGAAAACCAAGAGGCGCUGUGCGAAAAUGAAAAGUCGCCCUGUCAUCCCUUUUUAAACCCCUCGAGCCCUAAAAUCUCCAUUUCGCAAGCACCCCUGUCCUUGCGAAUCCCUCAUUUUCCUCUACUACCUUGCAACCUCGUCCCUUUCCAUUUGAUAUUGUGCCCCGCGCACAUCUCAUUUCAGAGACUCGCACUCCGCGCCCCCUCAAAGCAUGGACUCGAGACCCACCUUCCAUUUCCGACGUGGCACGGACCCAAGGAGCCCUUUCUGCCCCUUCACUAAGACACACACCAAGGCAGAAAGCCUCCUUUGCUCAAGUGCCUAGUGAUUCUCCAUCUUAGGCCUCAGAGGCCUCGGAGGCCCCGUGGAUUCCACCUUCCGAGGGUAGAGCAGCCAUUGGUCCUUCCUCUUCUACUCCUUAGCGUAGAUACGAGACGAGGAGACCACCUACUACACAAGGGGCGACUACUUCGAGCCUUGAGAAUUCAGUACGAUGCCUUCCUGCCAAGAGGGUCAAGACUUCAGGUCCAAGUGAGUCAUCCAGAGCUUCAUAGCCUAAGCCUCCUGUAGAUUCCAAGGUUCCUACUGACAUAUCACCGGAGUCUAUUAUCAGAAGCCCGAUGCUCAUAGCACCGCCCAUUGAGGGCAACUCAGAUUAUAGAGCGAGAUCUUUCCACUUGGAGCUAUAUUUUGAUCAGGAGGCCAUACGACAGCAGCCUGAGCUCCGAGACUCUUAUGGCUUACUGCAGAGGUACCAUCUUGAGGAACUUAUGACUCCUCGUGAGUUUUUUUAUCCCAGAGUAGCACUAAACUUUUACCAGUCCAUGACUACUCGUGGCGUCCCGAGUCCUACCACGAUUCACUUCACCAUUGAUAGACGUCAUGGUAUCCUCAAGGCCAGACAUAUUACAGAGGCUCUACAAAUUCCUUUCGAGCUAGAGGAUCCAUCUGUUUUUCGCUAAUGGUCCCCAGUAUCUCAGAGGGACAUGGUCCGUAUUUUAUCUAGGGGAACAUCUACAGAUUCGAUCUUUCUACGGAAGGAGCUUCGACCUGGGAUGCUCCUCUUAGAUGUGGUGCUAUGCUCCAACCUCUUUCCCUUACAACAUUCGGUACAUAGGUGAUGAGCUAUUUUGGACGCUUUAUUCCGUAUAUCAGAGGGCUUCUACUUUGGCCCGCACCACUUGAUCAUGGUCUCCCUCAUCCACUUUGAGGAGAAGGUUCAUAGGAAGAAGCUUCAGAGGGUGGACACCAUUCCAUUACUAUUCCUGAGGUUACUUUGCCAGGUCUUGGAGUACAUGGGCUUUCCUACUGAGCCUCGGCUCGAGCUUUGCCGCCUUUGUCGAGAGUGAUCCACUCUCGACAAAUGGAAUUAGUUGGCGGGCUAUUCUGCACCUCCAGGAGCCCCUCCCAUGGUAGCACCUCCAAUGUCCCCACAGGCAAAGUAGGGCGAGCUCCCGGCAAAGACUGUACCACCAAUGCCCACACUUGAGGCUAUUUCUGCUGCUCUGCCUAUGACUCCUACUGUUCCACCAGUUGGUCCUUUUACAUCCGAGCCUUCCAUCACCAUCUCGGCUUCGGAGUUUCGCGCCCUUGUGCAUACCUUUCAGACACUCACCACCACACAUACUCCUCUCUUCUAGCAAAUGGUUGAGAUGUGUGCCCAUCAGGACCGGAAGACUACUAUACUCUGCCAAAUUCAGCAGCACCUAAGACUUUUGCCUCAACCUCAACCUAACCAUCCCAUAUCAUCAGAGCCUCUAGCUCCAACUGAGGAUACUAUUCCACCUGAGAACACUACCACAGUAGAGGUCCGGUUUCCACCACCUUAAGAGGCCACCACAGCUACAUCAGAGGAUGUGUCAUCUCCACUUGAGGCUCCCACUACUUGAUCAUAGGACAUAUCUUUAUCUUAUUGUAUUUACAUAUUAUAUUACUAGAGAUUUGUCCUUGUUUUGAUACUUUAUAUUCUGGGAUUGGAUGUAUUGCCUGAUGAUAUCUCAAUUGUACUUUCUCAUAUUAAUAUAUAGACAUCAAUUUUUUUUAGUAUACUUAGCAUUUUUCUAUUUCCUCUACUCAUUACUCUUUUGUUUUUUUUUACUCAUGUGGUUUCUCUUAUACAACUCAGACUCCAUUUCACUCAGGAGGUACCACUUCCUCCCUUUAUUUUCAAUUGCUCUUGAAAUAUUGAGUGCAAUGUUGAUCUUGGUUGGGGGGAGAGUUGAGGAAGGAAGUUUUGUUAAUAAUGCUAGGUUAAUUUGUUAAUUUAGUUACUUUCUGCUUAAUUUUAAAAGUUUUCACUCUACUUUCCAUGGUUAUUAAGGAAAAAUUCUCAAAAUGAAAUGGGAGAAAUCGAAUUCUUGCAUUUUUACUUGAAUCUUAGAAUUUGUAUCAUGCUUAUUAAAGUUGAUGAAUUAUUGAAACUCCUAUUGAAUUCAACCUUAUUUUUUCCACUUUAAUCUUACCACACACGGUGCACAUUAGGUUCCAGUUAUAAGAUAAAAAACUAUCUCACCCCCUAAACUUAGAAAAAUUUACACUUGGUACCUUUGACAUCGUUUUAAUAGUGUUGGGACACCUUAUAAAAGGCCAAUGAGCCUUUAAAAAAAAAAAAAAAAAAAAAAAGAGAAAGAACAAAGUAUUGCACUUGCCUUGAAACCUGAGCAAGAUCCGAGGGGUAUACAGUGAAAGUCUUUAAAACCUGGUGCCCUAAGCCUUGAUUGGUUGGGAGUCACCGACCUCAAUGCUCGUUAUAAGGGUGAAUAGGUGGAGUUUAACAUAUUGUAGGUGCUUGGGUAUUGAAUUUCAAUCUCAAAAGUCCGGGAAAAAAUCUAAGGAGUUAGUGGUCAAAAGAUCCUUAAAGCUUGAUGCCCUAAACCUUGAUUGGUUGAGAGUCAUUGAUGGAUCCCCGCUACAUGGACAUUUUAGAAAACAAUACCUUUAGCAUUGCACGCCUACAAUGAAAAAAAAAUGUGAAAUAAAAGAGGUGCGUUCUUAGCCUAUUGGAGGUUGGUCAGUUUGCUAAAGUUUGAGAAAUCUAGGUUGGGGGGAGAGAAUAGUCCGACAUACUAUAAUAAAAAACUAAUAACCUUAACACUUAGAUUUUUGUGGAAGAGUAAGGAUUGGACCUUUAGGGGUGGAAAUUCUUUUGAUGCUUAAAUUUGCAUAAUGCCUACUCUUUAUAAAUUAUGAUUAGGCAAGAGAUUUGAUGACUCUUGUUCAAAGUUGGGUUUUUCCUCUUUGAUGUUCCAUGAGAGAGUAUAAUCCUCAUCAUGCCACUUGAAAUCUUUUUGGAGUGAUUAACAUGAUUUUGUAAAUUAUUUUACUGUCUAUUUUUCUUUAUCUCUCUUUUAUUGCUAAUGGACUAGCAAUAUGUCAGUUGGGGGGAGUGAUUACUACUCAAAAAGUACUCUUUUAUAGCUUGAAACUAACUGUUUUAAACACUUUUGAGUAGGUGUUAAUACAUUUUAACUCAAUUGGCACAUUAAGGAACCUAACAAGGGUUACUAAUAAGUUUUUGGCAAGUUUUGGUGUUUUUGGUAGCUAUUUGAUCAUUGAAACAAGCCAAGAAUGAGGGAGAAUUUUGUGAAGUCCAUAGCAAUGCAAGUUAAAGCUCAAAUACAUGAAGAAUCCAAGCUUUGAAGCACUUCAUAGCCCUUUGCGAAGCCAAUCAGAGAUGCAAGGAAGAAAACCAGAGGAAAAAAUCCAACAACCAGCAUUUUCGCAUGGCUGUGCGAAAUUUUGCACACCAUGCGAAACCACAAGAAGUAGCCAAAGAAUUUUGCACACCAUGCGAAAUUUCGCAUGGUAUACGAAAUCUUCCUAUGCACCAACUCCGUUAUAUUUUUAUCUUCAGAUAUUUUGUGUAAUUUCCUAGUUUCUCCUUGUAACCAACCUAGAUAUUUUCUUUUAUAUCUUUUUUUUAUAUUUUUUAGGUAACAUCAUAUAUAGGGGGAGAGACAUAAGGAGGAUAUGGAUGUUUUUCAUAAAACACUUUUAAUUUUCUGGUAGUAAGAAAUAUACAAAGUUUUUUGCUCUGCCUUACCUUCUCAUUUUGUUUUCACCUAUCUUUCUAGCCAAACAACCUCUGAGAAUGAUUUCUCAGGGGAUGAGUAGUUAGGUUUUACGUUUCUUGGAGUGAGAGAAGCUAGGUGAAAGACCCAAAUGCUAAGGUGGGAGUUGUCCUUGCUUUAAAUGAAAGUAGUUGUUAAAUAUUAAUGGUUUUUAUUUUAAGGUUUAGCUUUAAAUCCCUUAAAAACACCUUGAAUGGCCAAUACUUGGUAAGCUUUUCGGAUUCUAUGGAUGCUUAUUGCUAGAUCCAUGGAUGUCAUUAGUUAUCAUUUAUGAGCCAUUGGAAGGUGGUUCAAGAUGAGAGUCUUUAGUGUUUGAAGCCAUUAAUGGGAAACAAUUACCAUUUUUUCAUGAAUCCUUUGGAUAAAAUCUUAAUUGCUAAAUAUAAAACUGGUUCGGGAGAUAACCAUCCUUUAUGUUAUUAUGCCCAAUGCAAGGAGAAGAUUUCGAAUCUUCUCAUUUGUCUAAGGAACCCGAUCCUAGUGACCUAAAGCUCCUAGAGACCUUUUCUUUGUAGUUAACUUCAUUUAUUGUUUUUGCUUAACUUAAAAUCAAUCUUUGCAACCACAAUUCCAUUUUCUUUAAAAGCUAAUUUUUAUAAGGAAAAGCACCAUUUUAUUUCCUUCACUAAGUCAACUGUAUGAUGAAAACCCAUCCCUGUGGACGAUCUUAGAGCCACUAUACUAUGUUAUCUAUGCUAUCCUAGUGUGAGGUGAUUUAGGUUUUAUAAAUUUUGUUGAUAACACCCGUCUGAGCCAGAAUCAAAUGGAACCACUGAACCAGGGACAAAUCAACAGCCUAUAUGGGAGGGACACAAGUUUAAUUGAUUUGCAUUUCAGCGUUAUAGAUAAGUAUGUUUUGGAAGAUUUGUUCUGGAAAUACUGCACCAAGUACGAUUCUUUUUCUCUUGAGUGAGUCCAUUUGCAUGCCAAUUAACGAGUUGAAAAGUAGGAGCACCUACCUCGUGCUCAUGGAACCGAAUGUCAGUGAAGUGGGGCUCCUUUUAGCCUCUUGUGUUUCUGUUCCAACCAAGGCGGCGUAGGGAAAAACAACAAUAUGUCUGUGCUAAAUAUCAACGCAUGAUAGAUGUUUUUUUUUUUUUUUUUGGUAUGUCAAGGCUAACGAAUGAAAUGCAUUAGCUUGUUUUGUGACUAUAACUGCAAAUGUCCAAAUUGGAGUAUCUCCAUUUCUCACUUCGGAUGGUUAACUUUAUAAACAAGAUAUAGGAAACAUGUGAACAUCUUGAGGAACAAUUCAAAUUAUUCAUUAGAAGUCCUGGGUUAAGUUCCAAGAUUUAAAUCAGACCCUUCUAGCAGCUUCAAGGGUACUUAGCAACCUAUAACAUAUUAAUGAAGAUUUAGGAUUUAGACUCCGGAAUACAAAUAAAUAUGUAUCUCAUGCUUUGACUAGCUUCCCUACAUAUGCAUAAAAUGGAGAUGACCCAAAAAAAAUAGCAGAAUCUAGCUUCCCUACAUAUGCACAAAAUGGAGAUGACCCAAAAAAUAGCAUAAUCGCCUUAGUUUCUGUGGUUAAGGUGAUUCUCCGCUUAAUAUCCACAUUGACUCAUUAUGCAAAAUCAACUGAGCUAAUUUUAUUUAUUUAUUUAAUGUCAAAUAGGAACUCCUAAUUAACUGAUUACUGUCGAAAAGUGCUAUUUUGUAGACCUAAUUAUAAGGGUUUUAAGCACCUUUGAGUAGUAAUCAUAUUCAUUUAACCUAAUUAAUUCAUUAAGCUCCUUAGUAAUUAGUUCUAACCAUUUUUAGUGGCAAGUUUACAUGUUUUUCAUCAGCUUAUGAACCAAUUCAAGCAUGCCAAUUGAUGGAGGAGCUACUUGGGCGAGUUAAGCAAGGAUUUUGGACGUUUACAGGCUUGAAUUUCAAGUGGAAACACGAGCACAAGCAAUGGGAACACCAUUUCGCAAGGGGAGGCAAUUCACCUUGCCAAAUGACCAAUUUCGCAAGGGGAUUUUCCUCAUGGUGCAAAAUUUGGUCAUUUCGCACCAUGAAGAAACCACCUUGCAAAAUUUCGCAAGGUGGAUUUAGGCACCUUGCGAAAUGCCAAAUUUCACAAGGUGGCUUUUCACCUUGCGAAAUUUGGACCUUUCAUCUUCCCCCCUUGCGAAAUGCCUUUGAAAUCCCCUGUUUUGAGACGCUGUUGAUGAUAUUCCACUGCCGGUUCUCCAAGAUAUUUUGCUUGACUUUUAGCUUUAUAAAUACCUAUUUUACCCUUGUAAUCAACCAAUGAAAAGGUUGCUUUUGUAAUAGCUCUUGUAAUUUAGCUUUUUAUUGUCUUUAAAUAGAGGUGAAGAGCCUCAGACACGAUCAUCUUGUAACCUGUAACUUUAUAAGUUAUAAGAGCACUUUUGUUCAUACGCUUCUUUUCUCUUUUCUUUCUCAUUUUCUUAGUAGCCAAACAUCCUUGGAGGAUGAAAUCCCCAAGGAUGAGAGGCUAAAACCUUUUAGUUUCUUGAAGUAAUGGAUGCCAUGUGAAGCUCCCGUGUCAGGAUGGAGAUUUCCAAGCCAUAAAUGUAAGUAGCUGAGCGUCAUAAAUGUUUUCAUUCAAAGUAAAGCUUUUAAUCCCUCUGACUUGCUUUGAAUGGCCAAUACUUGAUAACCUUUUGGUCUCAAUGGAUUCUUAUUGUUAGAUCCACUGACGUUCAUUAGUUAUCUCCUACGAGCCAUUGUAUUGCAAGUCGAGGAGAUGACCUAUACCAAUAAAAGAGCAUUUAUGAGGUUCAACUACCCUUUUUGUAAGUUUUCAAGGACUAAAACUCAGUUGUUAAACUCAUACCGGUUCGAGAAGUAAGCAUCACCUUAGUUGCUUCCCCAACUCGAGGUGAAAAGUCCCAAAAUCUCCAUUUUUACACAGUGAGUUAAGCAUGGCUAUCCAAAGCUUUAAGAAACUUCUUUUUCCAUCUUUUAACCUAUUUUCAUGUUAGUUUAGUUUACAACACCUUCAUCUUUUUAUGUUUUCAUCUUAACCUAAUUUUUAUUAAGAAAAGUUCACUCCAUCCUCCGAACUUCACCAGUUAAAGUAAAAACCCUUCCCAGUGUUCGAUCCUAGAGCCACUAUGCUAUAGUAGCUUUGCUACUUUAGUGUAAGGACCUUAGGUAUAAAUUUUGUUGAUACCCUUACAUGCCAAGCUACCAAGAGUCGGGUUAUCAUUAACCUAACCAUUGGCCUGUGUAAAUUGAUUUCACAUGCACAAUGUUGUAGUAGAAGUCCAUAUUUUGAAUUUUAUUUUUGUAAAGGUAAGGAAAAUGAAGCAUUGUGUAAUUAUAAAAAUAACUUCAUUGGAAUUCACAAGGUUCACCCAAAAUGGAGCUACAUCUGUAUUCUAUCCUACAGUAGACUAUAUAGAUUGUACAAUAGUAAAUUGCAAAUACAAUUAAUAAGUCUUGUGCUUCCUUACUAAUAAUCCUUUGACAUGAACAUUGCAGCACUAAGGUCCUCUUGGGAAGACACCUUGCACCCAUGAGAGCACUAAGAGGAAGCAAGGCAGAGUCAUGGGUGCAAUGUCAUGACUUGUUGUUGCACCAAGAGAGGCUUGGUGAUGCCAUGGUGUUGCAGUAGCAAGAAUGUUGCCUUGGCAGGGACACGAUCUAGGGAUAGAUGCCAAGAAAGGCUUAGCACUCACAUGAGUUGCACAAAGAUGAAUGUAAUAGAGCAUCAGAGAGACGUCUUGGCAAGUAAAUGAAUGGAUCCAAGAGACAACAACAUGAGGAGUUUCAAAUGGAUAAGGAAUGACUCAAAGACAUUUGAAAGCUACAAGUUGGAUUCUAAUUACGAUUGCAAUUUGAGUUUGAGUAGGAGUUUAGAUUUUGAUUGUAAUUGUAGUAUGAGUUGGACUAGGAUUGCUUAUCCUUAGUCAAUAUAGGAGCGGUUCGUGUCACCCUAUGAAAAGAGUUUGAGUAGGGACUAGGAUUGCUUACUCCUAGUCAAAUAUGGAGUAGGUGGUGCCACACCUAUAAAAAAAAGGGACAACAUGAGAGAGAGAGAGAGAGAGAAAGAGAGAGUGAAUUCACUAAAGAUAUUGUGGGAGUUUUGCUUUGUUACGUCUUGUAUUAUUACUUAGAAUAGGAAUAAAAUACAAGUUGGGGCUAGAGCCCCAUAAUUAAUCUCGUGUGCCUUUGUGGUUAUUCUUUAUUUGUCAUCUCGUGUGGAUUGGAUUAGGUUGACUUAGAGGGCUUCUAAGCACCACCUUUGUGGGUUAUUAUUUAUUUUCCAUCUCUUGUGGAUUAGAUUAGGUUGACUUAGAGGGCUUCUGAGCACCACCUUUGUGGGUUAUUAUUUAUUUUCCAUCUAUUGUGGAUUAGAUUAGGUUGACUUAGAGGGCUUUUAAGCACCACAUUUGUGGGUUAUUCUUUAUUUUCCAUAUCGUGUGGGUUGGAUUAGGUUGACAAGGAGAAAAAUUAUGUGGGAAAUUUGUGUUGGGACACUUACCAUAACCAAGUAAAAUCUACCAAGUCCUUUGUAAUAUCUUCAACAAAUAUUUUAGACUAGUUCUUUCAGUUAGUGUAAAGGAGGAAGAAGUGGUAUUGAUUCUAGAAAUAGGGUGUGUGUAUUUGAACUACAAUCCUUAUGAUCCUUAGGUCUCUAAACCUUCGUGAUGGGCUCCCUGACAUUUCAUAGGUUGUGCUACACAUGCGUUUGAAAUUUAGAGUGCGUUUGACAGUGAUUCCGGGAAGUGUUUUUGGCCUUUCUUACACUUGAAAAUUUUUAUUUUUCAAGUAUUAGAAAUGCUACAAACACUUUUGAAAAUUACUGUCAAACACACUCUUAGGAGCGCACAUAUAUAGUAGAAAACUAGAAAUUGUGGUUUUUUUAGGAUUUACUGUAAUGUCAUUAGGAGGGUAGUAAGUUGAAAUUGAGUAUGAACAAAUAUUUCUUUCUUUGGGAUGUUCUUCUAGUAGGUGCUGAUGAAACUGUUCUUUCUACUGCCAAUGUCACAUAUCAGCCAGAAAUUGAAAAUUUCAGUCAAGGUGUCCUCUGUUUUAGUGGUGAGGAAAGCUAGAAAUUUUAAGGUGAAGUUUUGUUAAAAACCUUAAGUAGCUGGGAUAUCAGGCCUGUUUUGCUUGAAAAAAAAAGUUGCAAGAUAACUCAUAUGCCAAACAGGUUCUGAUAUUGUGAAUCUAUCGGCAGACAUCAGUAAUCUCAUCUUCUGAGAUGGAUGUUGGGGGUGCAUGUGGUGGUGGAGGGGCAAGGUUUCAUUUGGUUUAUUUUGUUGAUGGAUAUUGUCUAGCCACCUGCGCCAAGUUUGAGGGGUGGUGGGUUGUGAUGACCCUACAAUUACUAUUAAUUUCUUCAUCUUUUACCGAUUAAAGUGUCCGAACAGUCGAAGUUACCCUUAUGCAUGUCAACUUGAUCACUUACCUCUUCAAUGGAGUUUAUGCUGGUUCAUUUAGGAACUGAUUUUUAUUGUUAUGUAUUAUAUGCUGAUGUUUAGGUCUCUCCAUCAUCACUAUAUACAAAAAUUCUAGGUUGAUACUAUAGGUUGAGAUUUAUUUUUUAAAUAAAAAAUAAUAAAAAUAAAAAUUAUGGUGAUGUUUAGUUGUUUUAUGGAAAAUUUUAACAAGUAAAAGUUAUUUUUGGGCAAGUUUUCAAACAAAAAGAAAAGUAAAAGUUGUUUUGACAAAAACAUAUAGAAAAAAAAAUCAUAGAAAAUAAAUAAUUUCCCCAUAUUCUAACUUUUUUGAAUUUUUCUCAAUGGGCAAAGGAAUAUCAAAUCAAGUUUGAGUAGGAUUUCUUAAUUUUUAAAAUAACUUACAAUUAAAAAAUUUUGGUGUUUUCAUUUUUGGACAAUUUUUUAUUAAGCAAAUGGACUCUGAGUCAUGCAAGAGAUAUGGUUCAUUAACCGGUCGAACAAUUUUUUUAAAUUAAUUUAAAAGUCAAAUACAUAAUCAAUUUCACAAAAUUUAUAAACAAAAAUAGGUUUAGAGAAGAUCUACACAUAAUUUUACUUUUCUAAUUUUAUUUUAUUUUAUUUUUUGUUGGAAAAUAGUCUUCAAAUCAUGUAAGAUUUAAUAGGUUAAAUUUGUUAACAAUAAAUUUUAAAUUAUAAAAUAUAAUCUGGAACUCAAAAAUCAAUUCAAGUAAUGCUAAAAAAAAAUCAAAUUUGGUAUAGAAUGACUUUGUAAAUUUUUUUACAAAACAAAUGAAUUUUAAAUCAAGUGAGAUUUAAUGCAUUAGAUUUUUAUCAAAUAUAGUAAUUUUAAAAAUAAAUUUGGAACUCAACAAUAGACACAAUAAAUACCAAAAAAUAAUGAACCAAAAUUGGUUUGGAAUAACUCCACAACCUUUUUUUUUUUUUUUUGGUGCACACGAAUUUUCUUACUAGGUAUAUUGCUUUCAAAUUGAGAAAGAUUUACCAUUUAGAUUUUUUUUUAAUGAGUUUAAUGGUAUUUUAAAAUAAUUCAAAAUUUAAAAAAUUGACUAAUUAAUAUUAUAAAUUGAUAAACCAAGACUAUUUCAAAAUGCAUUGGGGGCUAAGGGGGUUGAAAAUAGGGACAAUGGGAUGGGUUUGGGACAUGACACUCAUAUCUCAUUUCCAUUCCAAUUACACAGUUAUCUCCCAUCCUUAUCCCAAACUUGUGUUGGAGCAAGUUGAUUUGUUCCCAUCUUUGUUGACGAAAUGACUAAUAACCUCAUCCCCUCCUUAUCUUAGAUGUACAUUUUGUCAAAUUUGAUCAGGUAUGAUUGAUCCAAGCCCUAACCCUAAUUGGUAAUGAGUGAAUACUACACCUAAUUGCAUUCUUCUUUCAUUGCAAAAUAAUGAGAUUAUAAUAAUCUAGCAAAUAAGAAAAAAUAGUAUGGAAGUUCAAAUUAACACCAUAACUAUCAAUAAUUUUAAGCUUAUAGAUGACUUAAAUGAUUAAAAACUAAUGCAAAAUCCUAAAAAAAAUAAAAAUCAUAUAAAGAAUUCACAAGAGAACAGAAUGAACAAAAACCAAAUAUGAACAUGGGUCAACAUUAGUUAUGGAUUUGGAUUCCUUUCAAGGCCAAUCUUUGAACCAAGACUUCAUCAAAUCAACUACUUCAAAGGCUUUUGUGUUCUUCUUGGGUUGUGCUCUCAAACAAAGACUUCGAGGUGAUGUUCUAGAUGAUUGAAUUACACAUAUUUAGGGUGGAGAGAUUGGAGAAGCUUGAAGAUGCCAACGAUGGGUACAAUUGAGUGGUCAAUAAGAACAAUGUAGCCUAUGACUAGUUUGAUGUCAUGGUACAAGAGUUUUAGGCAUUGAGGUUAAAGCAAGAGCAACAUGGAAUUGAUUUCGGAGUCUUUCAGUUAGUGUAAAGGAGGAAGAAGUGGUGUUGAUUCUAGAAAUAGGGUUUUAAGUGGUGCGUGAUUACUACUCAAAAAGUGCUAUUUGAUAGCCUUUAAUUAAUCCUUUUUAACACUUUUGAGUAGUAGUUUAGGCCUUUUAACUCAAUUGGCAUGUUAAGGAUCCUUUAAAGCAAUUUUGAUCACUUUGUGCAAGUUUUGGUGUUUUUGUUAGUAUUUUGAUCACCAAAGCAAGUCAAGAAUGAGGAGAACUAUGAGGAAUCAUGGGCAAAGCUUAGAAUUCAAUUGCCAAGAGUGAAUCCGGAUUGCAAGGAGAAAAAGCAAAGAGAAUCUGUCAUGAAGCCUAUUCUUGAUGACAGUCGUAGCAGCCACUUUUGGAGCACUUUCUGAAGUCCAAAUGAUGCAAGCUAUAUACCAUUUCAAAGAUCAGGAAGUCAACAAUCCAAUGCUUCAAACGGUGCGCGAUUCGGAGUUGAAACGAAGAAGUUGCAGCCAUUACAAGCCAGUCACUCUAAAGUGUUGCGGAAUCAGCCUUUUGUUGCGAGAAUUUCGCAGCACUUUUGUACAGUAAGGUGUUUCUCCUUCUGACGAUGCACGAACCAUGCCGCGAGAGGGAAGCUAGGAACUUCAAGAUGGAAGCCAACUUUGCAGCCUGGUGAAGAUAGCUUGGUCUUGCGAAAUAAUUUCGCAGCCCUCUUGGGUGUCUGCGAAAUUUCGCAGGCACCACUUUUUUCCUGCGAAAUGGCUCCGGAAGCCUCCCGAAGCUUGCUACCGACAUUGGGAGAUAUUUUCCAUUAGAUUUUUGUUGUCUAAAUUCCAAAAUACUCCUUGUAAACCACCAAUUACAUGAUUCCUUAGUUUUUAAGUUAGUAAAAAGACCAAAUAUCUAUGUAAUAAUUAGUUUUAUAUUAGUUUGCUAUAAAUACCUCUCGGGAGCAUGUUCUCAGAGAGGAGUUCCUUCUGUAACCAUUUUGGUAAGCAAGUAAAGUCUUUUCUUUCUACUGCCUUACCUUCUCACUUUGUAUUUUCAUUUUAUUUCUAAGUUAUGAAUUCUCUGAGGAGCUUUCCCCAGAGAAUGAGUAACUAAACCUCCAAUUCCUUGGAGCUAAGGUUGCCGGGGAAGGUUCCAAGUGCAAGAAUGCAAAGCUCUGUGGUUUUAGCUAGUAAUGAAGAGGAAGUGAAAUCCUUUAGUGAUUUCAAUGUUUUUAGUUAACUUAAAACACCUUGGAGUCACCUGGGCCAACACUUGGUAAGGCAAGUGAUUUCCAACCGUGGAAAUGCACUAGUUUACCCCUUGCGAGCCUCUGGUAGGUGACUUCAAGGUAGGAUUUUCUGGAAUUACCAACACUUGGUAAGCUUUUGGACUCCUAGGAGACAUCCAUUAGUUAUCUCUUGCGAGUUUGUGAAGGGGAAUCCAAGGUUAAAGAUCACCUUGAAUGGUAAGUGCUCGUGAGAGGCAUGAACCAUUGCAAGUUGUAUCAGUGAGAGAAUUAAAGUGAAAUCUAAUUGAAGGAGUCUCUGUACAUCACCGGUUAGAGAAUUGACUAUAAGUUGAAUCUCUAAUGCGAGGAAAUGAACCAUCUGACCGGAGCUAUGUCUUUUGCAUGAGGAACCACCCCAGUGAACCUAAAUCUCCAAGGAAUGCUUUUCUUCCUAAAUUAUUCCAAACUUCUGUUAAGUUAGUUAGUUUAAGUCUAAACCUUUACCAAUCAAACUUUGUGUUUUAUUUCUUAAGCUAACCGUGAAAUGAAACAAAACCAAUUCACUUGGAAUUGGUAUCCUUGAUUGCUUGCAAAUCAUUCCCAGUGAACGAUCCUUAGAGCCACUAUACUAUAGUAGCUUUGUAUUUGCUACCCUAGUGUAUGGUGUUAUAGGUAUAAAUUUUGUUGAUCACUUCCUCAAUCAAGGAACACCAGCUGAACACAAAUCAGCUGAGACACCAAUUGGGCAUGAGUCAAAUGGCGCCGUUGCCGGGGAAUGAGUGUCAAGAUCAUUGUGAUACCAUUUUUGAGCACUUGUGAUUUUCAUCACAAGUUGGUAAAGUUUCUUUCACUUUACUAAUUUUCAUUCUCUCUUUGUUUAUUUACAAUCUAAGUUUAUCUUUUUAAAAUUUAGUCUAGUUUAAUUUUGCUAUUGUAGCCUUGUUUCUCUUGUUGUCCUCUGUUCUUGUUGUCCUCUGUUUUCAUUUUAGUUGCAGCUGAAUACUAGUUGUGUAUGCCAAAGUGGAUACGAGACAUUGGAGGUAGGCUUAUUAAGUGUGAUACACCUCAGAGAGGAGAAUUGGAAGUAAUCUUGAAUAUCAUGGAGGCUGCACCUGAAGAUCAGCAUAGUCACCAAGGUCGUCAAGACAAUCUCAAUGAAUUCAGAUCAAUGAGGGACCGUAUGCAUCCACCUCGUAUGAGUGCACCAUCAUGUAUAGUGCCCCCUACAGAGCAACUAGUGAUCAGACCAUAUCUUGUUCCACUUCUACCAACUUUCCAUGGGAUGGAAAGUGAGAAUCCGUAUGCACACAUCAAGGAAUUUGAAGAUGUUUGUAAUACAUUCCAAGAGGGAGGAGCUUCAAUUGAUUUGAUGAGGCUUAAGUUAUUUCCUUUUAAUUUAAAGGAUAAGGCCAAAAUUUGGCUUAAUUCUUUAAGGCCAAGGAGUAUCCGCUCUUGGACUGAUUUACAAGCUGAAUUCCUCAAGAAAUUUUUUCCUACUCAUAGAACAAAUGGCUUGAAAAGGCAAAUUUCAAACUUCUCAGCUAAAGAGAAUGAGAAAUUCUAUGAGUGUUGGGAAAGAUACAUGGAAGCUAUAAAUGCUUGUCCUCACCAUGGCUUUGAUACUUGGCUACUGGUGAGUUAUUUUUAUGAUGGUAUGUCCUCCUCAAUGAAGCAACUCCUCGAGAAAAUGUGUGGAGAAGAUUUCAUGAGCAAAAAUCCAGAGGAAGCUAUGGAUUUCUUGAGCUAUGUAGCUGAUGUUUCAAGGGGAUGGGAUGAACCAACUAAAGGAGAAGUGGGAAAGAUGAAGUCUCAGUUGAAUGCUUACAAUGCAAAGGCUGGGAUGUAUACUUUAAAAGAGGAUGAUGACAUGAAAGCAAAGUUGGCAGCUAUGACAAGAAGAUUGGAGGAGCUGGAGCUGAAAAGAAUGCAUGAAGUGCAAGCUGUUGCUGAAGCACCAGUGCAAGUGAAGUUGUGUCCCAAUUGUCAAUCGUUUGAACAUUUGGUAGAGGAAUGCCCUGCAAUUUCAGCUGAAAGGGAAAUGUAUAGAGAUCAAGCAAAUGUUGUUGGACAAUUCAGGCCCAAUAACAAUGCUCCUUAUGGAAAUACCUACAAUUCAAGUUGGAGGAAUCAUCCAAAUUUUUCAUGGAAGGCCAGAGCAACUCAAUACCAACAGCCGGAUCCACCAUCUCAACAAUCUUCAAGUAUUGAACAAAUAAUAGCUAAUCUCAGCAAGGUAGUGGGAGAUUUUGUGGGAAAGCAAGAAGCCACCAAUGCUCGAGUGGAUCAAAGAAUGGACAGAGUGGAUCAAAGAAUGGACAGAAUGGAGAGUAUGUUGAACAAAAGAAUGGAUGGAAUGCAAAAUGAUAUGAAUCAAAAAUUUGAUAACAUCCAAUAUUCAAUUUCAAGGCUUACAAAUUUGAAUACACUGCAAGAAAAGGGAAGAUUUCCUUCUCAACCUAACCAAAAUCCCAAAGGUGUCCAUGAAGUGGAAAGCCAUGAGGGAGAAUCAUCACAGGUGAAAGAUGUGAAAGCUUUGAUCACUCUAAGGAGUGGUAAGAAAAUUGAGCAGCCAACACCCAAGCCACAUGUUGAGAAAGAAGAAGAGAUGAAGAAAGGGAAGGAAAUGGAAGAUAAAGGCAGUGAGAUCAGUGAAGAAAAGAAGGACUCUGAUGCAACAAUGAAAGUAAUUCCAGAGAAGGAGCUUCUGAAGGAAGAAAUGCUGAAGAAAUCAACUUUUCCACCUUUUCCUCAAGCAUUACAGGGGAAAAAGGGGGUUAGAAAUGCAGCUGAAAUCCUAGAAGUAUUGAGGCAAGUGAAAGUUAAUAUUCCACUGCUGGAUAUGAUCAAACAAGUUCCAACGUAUGCAAAAUUCCUAAAGGACUUGUGUACUAUCAAAAGAGGGUUGACUGUAAACAAGAAAGCCUUCUUGACUGAGCAAGUAAGUGCAAUCUUACAGUGUAAGUCUCCUUUGAAGUACAAAGACCCUGGAAGUCCUACCAUUUCAGUCAUGAUUGGAGGAAAGGUAGUGGAGAAAGCCUUGCUAGACUUGGGAGCAAGUGUGAAUUUGCUUCCAUAUUCUGUCUACAAGCAACUGGGACUUGGAGAGUUGAAGCCAACAGCAAUCACUUUGUCUCUGGCAGAUAGAUCAGUGAAAAUUCCAAGAGGGGUAAUUGAGGAUGUAUUGGUUCAAGUAGAUAAUUUCUACUAUCCUGUAGAUUUUGUUGUUCUUGAUACAGAUCCUACUGUAAAGGAAGCUAAUUUAGUUCCUAUCAUCCUUGGAAGGCCAUUUCUUGCAACUUCAAAUGCAAUCAUCAACUGUAGAAAUGGGCUUAUGCAACUCACUUUUGGUAACAUGACACUGGAUCUAAAUAUUUUCUAUAUGUCUAAAAAGCAAAUCACUCCAGAAGAAGAAGAGGGUCCAGAAGAGCUAUGUAUUAUUGAUACUUUGGUGGAGGAGCACUGCAAUCAACAUAUGCAAGAUAAGUUGAAUGAAAGUUUUGUGGAUAUUGAGGAAGGUUUUUCUGAAUCUCCUAAUGGGCUUGCUACUCUACAAAGUUGGAGAAAGAUAGAAGGAAUUCUACCUUUGUUCAAUGAAGAAGAGGAGGCAGCUGUUGAAAAAGAAAUUCCAAAACUCAAUCUGAAGCCUUUACCUAUGGAGCUGAAAUAUACAUAUCUUGAAGAAAAUAAUCAAUGUCCUGUCGUAAUAUCUUCAUCUCAAACCAAGUCUCAAGUGAAGGAUGCAAGCUUCAAAUGGGAUCCGGGCAAACUGAAUCAGGAAGGGCAAAAAGUUUUGAUGUAUGACACAAGACUCCAUAUCUUUCCUGGGAAGCUCAAGUCAAGGUGGAUUGGUCCAUUUGUUAUUCACCGAGUAUAUUCCAAUGGAGUGGUGGACUUAUUGAAUUCCAAUGGCAAGGACAGCUUUAGAGUCAAUGGAUAUCGUCUUAAGCCGUUCAUGGAGUCAUUCAAAUCAGAAAAGGAGGCAAUCAACCUCCUUGAACCUCAAAAAGCCUAAGUGAAAUGGGUUUGCUGGACGUGGUUUUACCACAGUCCAAAAAUUUUUGUAAAUUUUGUAAAUUUUCAAGUUGUUUCCAUGCUUUUAAUCUUAGUUUUUGAUUUUAAAUCAUGUUUUUAGGUGUGUUUUAAUCGUUUUAUAUGAUCCCAGGCGGAAGAAAUUUCAAGGGGAUUGAAAAGAAAAAAAUCGGGUCGAAAUUGGAGCCGAAACAGAGCAAAAACAGGGGAAAAACAGAGCUCUGCGAAAUUUCGCAGGGUGAAGGAAACUUCUGCGAAAUUGGCAUUUUGCUGCCAAACCAUUCCGCAGCACUGUAGAAGCCUCUGCGAGUGUAUUUCGCAAUUGCGAAAGUGGAUUUGGCACACGAGUGCCACUUCGCAGCACAGUGACAUCAAUUUCGCAGCUGCGAAACUCACUGCGAAGUUGCUGCGAAAAUGGCAAGUUGCUGCGAAAUUGGCGUUUUGUUGCGAAACGUAAUCUGACCCCUGGGCUUCCGUUUUUCCUAUUUAUACCUGUCAAAAGUGCUGCGAAAAAGGUUUCAAAAAUUAGAGCACCAUUCUCGCAGCCCUUUCAUCUUCUUCGCCAAGCCACGCCGUCCGUUUCUCCGGUCGUCUUCUCCGUUUAGCAGCGCCGGCCAAAGAUCGAUAGCCCAAAAAUGGCACGAACGCGAGGGGCAAAGUCUUCAUCCCCUUCGAACCGCAAAAGGAGUCUGCGAAAGGAGCCAAGUUCAGGCUCUGUUCCAGAACCUGCUCCAAAGCCUUCGCCGUCGAGACCACAACCUUCUCCAGUGAAGCCGGCGCCACCAAAGCCGCCGGCAAGGCGAUAUUUAACCAGGUCAGGUGGUCAGCCAUUGAAGAAGAAAGCCAGAGUUGAGAGCUCUGAACCAAUCGAUUUGACUGAGCAAUCCCCUGAGAAAUCACCAAAUCCUUCACCGGUACAAAUUCCAGUGCCAUCACCGGUUCCCUCGCCAAUUCCCUCACCAGAAGCAACUCCAAUUCCAUCGCCGGUACCAUCUCCGGCACCCCAAGAAAAAGCUCAGGAGCCUCAAGCGCCAAUUCCAGAGCCCCAAAUUGCAGCUGAAGCACCUCUGGAAGAAGUGAUCCGAAGGCCAAUGCUGCCUCAGCCCCCAAUCGAAGGAAACCUGGAUUGCCGAACUCGGGCAUUCCAUUCUGAGCUUUGCUUCGAUUUAACAGCAUUCAGAGUGAGGCCAGAGCUUGCCCAAUCCUUCCAACUGCUGAGGAGAUAUCAUAUGGAGCAUCUGCUAGCUCCAAGGGAUUUUUUCUAUCCCCGGGUAGUCACGGAUUUCUACCAAACCAUGACAACCAAAGAAGUAAGAAAUCCAACUCUGAUUCAUUUCAUAAUUGAUGGAAGGCAUGGUAUUUUGGGAGCAAGACAUAUUGCUGAAGCCCUGCAAAUUCCUUUUGAGCCAACUCAAUUCGACAAUUUUAAAGCUUGGACAAAUCCUACUGAGUUAGAGAUGGUUAGCACACUAACCAGAGGAGCUGCAAAUCGAUCGCAUUUGUUGAGGGGGGAGCUACCUCCAGUUAUGUUUUUGAUUGAUGCCUUUUUGAGGCAUAAUAUCUAUCCCCUGCAGCAUUGGACCCAAAGAAGGGGAAUUCUCCUAGAAGCCUUGUACAAAAUGUCUGAAGGAUUCUUCUUUGGGCCUCAUCAUCUGAUCAUGGCAGCCCUUCUAUACUUUGAGGAGAAGGUUCACAAGAAGAAGCUUCAAAGAGCAGAUUGCAUUCCACUCCUCUUCCCAAGGCUGCUAUGCCAAGUUUUGGAGCAUCUCGGAUACCCCUCUGAGCCUCAGCAGGAAAGAAAGAGAAUAUGCCGUGAGCCUUUUACCCUUGAUAAAUGGAAUAAUAUGACGGCCUACAAAAUUGAUCAGCCUGGGCAGCCUCAGCCAGCAGCAAGGAGAGUCUCCCCAAGACAUAUACCUGAAGGUAUAACACUUGCUACUCCUGCCAUCCCUCGAGCUCCACCAGCUGCACCUGCUCCAUCACAGCCAUCCACAUCAGCUGAGCCGAGGAUGGCCAUCCCUAUAUCCGAAUAUCGAGAGCUGUGCCGUGCAUUGGAGACUCUUACAGCUUCUCAGAGCAAUCUUGCUCAGGAGUUGGCAGCCAUUAAAGCAUGCCAGGAGCAGAUGUUAGCCUCUCAGACUCAACAAGCUGCCAUCCUAAGGCAGCUUCAAGUCCAUUUCGAUCUGCCACAAGCUGUAGAGCCCUCUAUUCCUACUCCACCAGAGCCACACUCUCAGCCUUCAGAGUCUCAUCCUCCAGAACCCGAAGCACCAGCUGAUCCACCUACUGAGGAGGCAGAUCCUUCUGCCUAGCACCAUCACCCCCCUCAUCAGACAUUAUAUAUAUAUUUGCUGUUUAUGUUUUUAUGCAUGUUUGUUUUGUUUUAGUUGAAAAGAAAUCCCAGUAUUUUGGUACUAUAUAUGGGAUUCCUUGUGUUACUUGUCUUUAGUAUUGUAAUCACAUGAACUCAAAGUAAUACAAGUUGACUAUUUCUUGUUAAAAGUUAGCAUUAAAGUUUCCUUAUUUCCUUUUCUCACAUAUUCUAUUCUUUUUGAAACAUGUGGUUUUCCCCAAUCAAUAUUCGAAUUUGAUAUCAGCAUGGAGGUACCACUUCCUCCCUUUUAUUACAGUCACUCAAAUCACAUUGAGGACAAUGCUCAGUUCGGUUGGGGGGUAUGAGGAAGGAAGUAUUCUAAACCUUUUUGGUAUUGCAAUUAUAUUGGUUAAUUAGUUGUAGAUUUUACUUUUUACUAGUGUUACUCUAUUCUCCAUGAAUUUUGAGGAAAAAUUUUCAAAUUAAACCAAGAGAAAUUGAACUGUUGUUUUUCACUUGACUUAGAGUAUGGAUUAUGCUUACUAAAGUGGUUCAAUUGUUGAAACUUCUACUGAAAUUGAAUUGAGUUCUUCCACUUUAAGCUAUCCACACACUGUGCACAUUAGUUUCCGAUUAUAAGAUGAAAAGCUAUUUCCCUCUUGACUUAGUAUAUUUUUGGGACUUGGUAUAUUUGACCUCAUUUGAUAAAAAUUGAAACACCCUGCAAAAGGCCAAUGAGCCUUUGAAAUAAAGAAAGUUGUUUGCUUGCCUUGAAACCCGAGCAAGGUCUGAGGGGUAUAUGGUGAAAAUCUUUAAAGCCUGGUGCCCUAAGCCUUAAUUGGUUGGGAGUCACCGACCUCAAUGCUCGUUACAAGGGUGAAUAGGUAGAGUUAGCAUAUGGUAGAUGCUUGGGUAUUAGAAAUUCAUUCUUAAAAGUCCGGGGAAAAAUCCGAGGAGUUAGUGGUUGAAAGAUCCUUAAAACUUGGUGCCCUAAACCUUAAUUGGUUGGGAGUCAUCGAUGGACCCCCAUUACAUGGACAAGUCAGAAAGAGUACCCCAUAAAGCUACCUUAAAAAAAAAAAAAAAAAAAAAAAAAAAAAAAAAGAUGAAAGUGUGUUCUUUUCUUAUUGAUUUUGGUCAGUUUGCUAAAGUGUUGAAAAGAGAUAGGUUGGGGGGUGAGAUUAGUAGCAUAUUAUUCUCGGAACCUAAGGAACCAAUACACAUAGAUUUUUGUGGAAGAUUGAAGUUUAGUUCUUAGAAAAUGAAAUGAUUUUAAAACUUCAGUUUGCAUAAUGCACUCCCUUGAUUGACAGUGUUUAGCAUAGGUGUUAUGACUCUUGUUGAGAUUUGGGUUUGUAUUUCUUUAAUGAUUCAUGUGAGAAAUAGAUCAUCAUGCCACUUGAGAAUUAUUUUCCUUUUAGCAUGAUGUUGUAAAUUUUAGAUUAGUUUGCUAUUUAUUUUUUAUUUUCUCUCCUAUAUUGCUAAGGGACUAGCAAUAUGUCGGUUGGGGGGAGUGAUUACUACUCAAAAAGUGCUAUUUGAUAGCCUUUAAUUAAUCCUUUUUAACACUUUUGAGUAGUAGUUUAGGCCUUUUAACUCAAUUGGCAUGUUAAGGAUCCUUUAAAGCAAUUUUGAUCACUUUGUGCAAGUUUUGGUGUUUUUGUUAGUAUUUUGAUCACCAAAGCAAGUCAAGAAUGAGGAGAACUAUGAGGAAUCAUGGGCAAAGCUUAGAAUUCAAUUGCCAAGAGUGAAUCCGGAUUGCAAGGAGAAAAAGCAAAGAGAAUCUGUCAUGAAGCCUAUUCUUGAUGACAGUCGUAGCAGCCACUUUUGGAGCACUUUCUGAAGUCCAAAUGAUGCAAGCUAUAUACCAUUUCAAAGCUCAGGAAGUCAACAAUCCAAUGCUUCAAACGGUGCGCGAUUCGGAGUUGAAACGAAGAAGUUGCAGCCAUUACAAGCCAGUCACUCUAAAGUGUUGCGGAAUCAGCCUUUUGUUGCGAGAAUUUCGCAGCACUUUUGUACAGUAAGGUGUUUCUCCUUCUGACGAUGCACGAACCAUGCCGCGAGAGGGAAGCUAGGAACUUCAAGAUGGAAGCCAACUUUGCAGCCUGGUGAAGAUAGCUUGGUCUUGCGAAAUAAUUUCGCAGCCCUCUUGGGUGUCUGCGAAAUUUCGCAGGCACCACUUUUUUCCUGCGAAAUGGCUCCGGAAGCCUCCCGAAGCUUGCUACCGACAUUGGGAGAUAUUUUCCAUUAGAUUUUUGUUGUCUAAAUUCCAAAAUACUCCUUGUAAACCACCAAUUACAUGAUUCCUUAGUUUUUAAGUUAGUAAAAAGACCAAAUAUCUAUGUAAUAAUUAGUUUUAUAUUAGUUUGCUAUAAAUACCUCUCGGGAGCAUGUUCUCAGAGAGGAGUUCCUUCUGUAACCAUUUUGGUAAGCAAGUAAAGUCUUUUCUUUCUACUGCCUUACCUUCUCACUUUGUAUUUUCAUUUUAUUUCUAAGUUAUGAAUUCUCUGAGGAGCUUUCCCCAGAGAAUGAGUAACUAAACCUCCAAUUCCUUGGAGCUAAGGUUGCCGGGGAAGGUUCCAAGUGCAAGAAUGCAAAGCUCUGUGGUUUUAGCUAGUAAUGAAGAGGAAGUGAAAUCCUUUAGUGAUUUCAAUGUUUUUAGUUAACUUAAAACACCUUGGAGUCACCUGGGCCAACACUUGGUAAGGCAAGUGAUUUCCAACCGUGGAAAUGCACUAGUUUACCCCUUGCGAGCCUCUGGUAGGUGACUUCAAGGUAGGAUUUUCUGGAAUUACCAACACUUGGUAAGCUUUUGGACUCCUAGGAGACAUCCAUUAGUUAUCUCUUGCGAGUUUGUGAAGGGGAAUCCAAGGUUAAAGAUCACCUUGAAUGGUAAGUGCUCGUGAGAGGCAUGAACCAUUGCAAGUUGUAUCAGUGAGAGAAUUAAAGUGAAAUCUAAUUGAAGGAGUCUCUGUACAUCACCGGUUAGAGAAUUGACUAUAAGUUGAAUCUCUAAUGCGAGGAAAUGAACCAUCUGACCGGAGCUAUGUCUUUUGCAUGAGGAACCACCCCAGUGAACCUAAAUCUCCAAGGAAUGCUUUUCUUCCUAAAUUAUUCCAAACUUCUGUUAAGUUAGUUAGUUUAAGUCUAAACCUUUACCAAUCAAACUUUGUGUUUUAUUCCUUAAGCUAACCGUGAAAUGAAACAAAACCAAUUCACUUGGAAUUGGUAUCCUUGAUUGCUUGCAAAUCAUUCCCAGUGAACGAUCCUUAGAGCCACUAUACUAUAGUAGCUUUGUAUUUGCUACCCUAGUGUAUGGUGUUAUAGGUAUAAAUUUUGUUGAUCACUUCCUCAAUCAAGGAACACCAGCUGAACACAAAUCAGCUGAGACACCAAUUGGGCAUGAGUCAGUGCGUUAGAGGAUCAAGAAGAAGAAAAAGAAGGAACUGUUGGAAUUAGUAUGAGUGUGAAGAGAAAAGUAUAUAAAUAAGGGGAAGUAAAAGCAAAGUUCAAAAAGCUAUAUUUUUUUAUUGUUGGUGUAUGGUUGCAUGAUUAUCCCUAUAAAUAAUAGGAGUUUUUUGGUAUUCUACUAGUAGUUGAAGCAUAAUUUCAUAAAUUAAUAUUUAGAGCGGGGUGGGGUGAGUUGUGACAAAAUUCAUACCCGUCCCAAACCUUGGUUCAGAUUUUUAAAAUAUUCUCAAACUUAUCAUAUACCCAACUUUUAUAUUUCAUACUUGUCCUAAUAGAGGCACGUUAGGCCGGGUUACUUGAGUAACCUACAUAAUUGUCAUCCCUAGUUGAAAUACACUUUUUGGCAGUGGCCACCAACUGAGCUAGAAGCUUGAUUGAUUGACCUACAAGAUUAGUUCUCAUCAUUUUAAAAAAAGUUCUGGCUUUGGUUGUGAGUGCAAUUGAAUCUAAACUGGCAUUUGCUUAAUGCAUCUACUUCAAUCCUAAACUUCUUACUUCUUAAGCCUCAAUUGUUGUUAGGAUUUUGGAAAACCCAUUUCCUUAAAUUGUAAAUUUAAGAUAAAAUAAAAUAAAAGUGAGACAUUUCUUGAUUGAAUAUUGUUAAAGGUCCCUUGGCAUUAAGACUUGGUUGAAGCCUUGGAAGAUUAGUGGAACUCUCAACAUGUGUUUGAAUCUUGAGGAGAGUGGAUGUAAGCCAAAAUUUUGUCAAACCAUUAUACAAAUUGAGUUUGAAUCCUCAUUUCUUGAUUUCUUAUUUAUUUGCUUUUUCUUAUUAUUACUUGAAUUGUCAUUUGCAUUCAUUAAUGUUAAAAUUGGUUAUAAUUAACCAACACUAAUUCUCUUUCCCCUUCCCUUUCUUGGGUGUAAACCUAGGUUGGAUUAACUAGAUAAAUCUAUUAAGAUGGUAAAAGAAUAAUUAUUCUUAACAUACAUAAGAUCAUCUUCAAUCAAAUGACUCAUUGGCUAAUAUGUUGAAUUUGCUUAUUACUUGCAACUCAAAAUUGUGUUCUAGUUGUGUCAAGUCCCCAGUGUAUGGACAUUAAAUUUGUAGUACGUGAUGAGUAAUUAGAUGGUCCAACUCCAAGAAAGUGAUUGAAAAGUAGUUCAAGAAAGGUGCAAAAGGGAAUUGUUUUGGUAUUUUCGUUUUUAUUCUUGAAGGUGGCAGAGCUAAAAUUUGAGAAAUCAAGCAAAACAUACUGAAAUUACAUUGAAAGAAAGAAGAUGGGAGUUAAUGUCUUGCAGUACAUGAUAAGGACUUCAUGCAUGUAGUGUGACCCAUGUCUUGGACUGAUGCCAACUCACGGUUACACUUAUACCCUUGGUUCUCUCUUUACUACCUUGGCUAACCUAGAUCAGGCUAUGAGAUAGGCUCCUCACCACACCAUUACUUGCCCAUUAAUUAGAGACAUUUUCAAGCAAUGAGGUAACAUGGUGACACCAAGAGGGUCUAUUCCUCGCCCGGAACAAGUCUAGACUUGGUCUCAAAAAAAUGGAGAAAAAUGAGGUGUCGUUAUGUAGAAAUACAACAACCAUGCCUUCCUCAUUACUUAGAUUCAGAAUGUGAAGGUGAAAUUGAGAAACAGAAACUCUUGAAACCAAAAUGAAAAUUGAUACUUUUACGAAGAAUUACAACAACAUUAGAGGAAGACUACAUUCUUCCUCUUUAUUCCUACAUUUCUACACUACUUCUACUCCACUCCAUAUUUCUACAUACAUCUUUAAUCAGUCUUCCCUCCUUUAUAUAGAGCCAUCUUCACACAAAUUUCGCAAGGUAGAAAAGAGGAAUGAAACUUGGAGCAAGGUUCGACUACUGGUUGUAGCUUGUCAAGGCUGGAAGUGAACUUUUCUUGGCUUUCUGGGCAUGGGUAGUAACUUGUGGGUUCCUGUUUGGCAUAAAAAUGGCUAGAACAUGUGGCACUAUCUUGUUGGAUGAUGUGUCAAGCAUGUGGCAGCCAUCUAGUGGCGAUUAUGUCAAUUUUGGGAUGGAGAGUUGGCAUCCAAUUGCAAAGAAAUAUGACGUCUACCAACAUGCAAUGUAAACCUAUGUAGAUCAUAUGAAGAUAGAGAGGAAAAAUAUAGAAAUGGAUAUAUACCUAGAACUAGCUUUUUAUUAAAUGAAACGGAGAGACAACAAUGAAGGAAAAUAAAAUUUUUUGGCUUAUAUCAAAGAGUUCACAUUGUGUUACCCUAGGUUUUCUUAAAACUUACUUUUAUGAUAACAAAAAAGAAAAAACCAUUAUUGUUUAAUCCUUUGUUUUAAACGCAUGUAAGGUGUAAUUAAGUUAGUUCAAUGCAUUAAUUUAAGAAACUUGACCUAUCAAAAGUACAAAAUUAGAUGAAAUCCAUUUCAAUGGUUAAAAUGAUCAAAAUCAAACUUUUUCUAAGUAUUUUUUAAAAGCAUCAAUAGUGAAAGACAAUUUUAUAUUUAGUCGGAGUUUGGACAAAACUGAAAAACACACAAAAUCCAAGCGACCAUCUCUAGCUUGGAUGGUCGCUUGAUCCCACCUAGAGAUGUGCAUGAGUAAAAGGAUUUGAAAAUGGAAAUUGACUAUGUAGUCGAUCAAUUAACUUUGCAACAUCAUAUGCAAUCCUAAUUGCUAGUCAUCUAAUCAAUUAGGUAGUCAAUCAACAGGCCAAAAAUAUGUUUAUAAUGACUAUUUUGUACAAAAACCACCUGUAUAGUUAAAUAUAAUGCAUUUCAUUUAUAAAUCUUCUAAUUCUUGAAUAACGAUCCUAUCAUCCUUUGAAAGUUUUUAUUACACUUUUUUUACUUUUGUUCUAAAACUUACACAUCACCCUUAAUUGUACCAUGAGAACCUAGCUAUUUUUUAUUUUUUUUUUUGUAAUUCAUCAAAGUUAGCUUUUGUAUUCAUUGUUGUAUUAUUUUUAGUAUAACUUAGAAAGCUAGUGUUUUCAAGUGAGUAAAAUUAACUUGUAAAUAUUGUAAAGAUUCAUCGACAUGUAUCUUAAACUAAGUGUACAAGUUAAAACAUUUGCUAGUAGAUUUUCUCAAAAUUUAGAAUAGAGCUUGAGACUAUUGAAAUAGGUGGGGUUGCACCAAACCACAUCACAUCGUUGUUUGCACCUUUUUUCACUCUCUUUUACUUAGUUGCUCUAUAUUUGUUGUCUAGUAAUAUCCUAUAGGCUUGAUGGGUUAGGGAGCAUCCCUUUGUGAAAAAAUUUUAUUCAAUCCUUAGUUGUAUCACGCAUAUAUAAAAUGCCUCAUUGUUUUAAUGGUAUUCAGUCGUGGCAUCACAGAUAUGGGCAUCUAAAUUUUAAAAGUUUGAAACUUUUAUCUAAAGAAAAUAUGGUGCUUUGCCUUUUUGUAAAGCAUGUUGAUGAAAUCCAUGAGAAUUGUGUACUUGGGAAGCAACACCGAGAUGACUUUUUUUUUUUUUUUAUAAUAUUGUUUGUCCAAAUUCCCUACAAAUUAGGCCACCAGAUGUUCAUAAUUCUCCCUUCUUGAAUUUGAAAACUCGGACAAUUGGACAAUGCGACACCUAAGUCCGGUUUCUAAAUGCUAAAGUGAAAGGGUAGGUAUGGACCAUUGAAAUGUGAUCACAACUUUUCUCUGUAGCCAUGUUGUCUCUUUUUUCUUUUGCAUGAUUUUCUUACCUUAACAGAAUCAUAGACUUGUUUAGUCUCUAAAUGGGAUUAAUUUCAUCCAGCUUUAAGCUACUAUAUUAUAUCUAGGUGGAGGACUUUUAAGAGUGCAACCGACAUAGAGCACAUGGAAGUGGGUAUAUGGGACAUGAAAUUUCUUCUUAUAAAGAUUGCAUGAUUUUUAUAUUAGAGUUGUUGAGGCGCUAUGUAUUUAGCUUGUUUUGCAGUUAAAUUAAUUGGAUAAGUAGACAUUGGCGUUUCUAAAUCUACUGUGAAGUGCUUCAUGUACGUGUGAAGUAUUAGAAAUUUCUUUCUUGGCAACUUGUUUUUCUUUGCGGUCUACUGAUAGGUUUGACUAAAAUUAUAUUCCCUGUCAUGCUAAUUAAUUUUCACGUGCAUGCUCAAAAGAAAAGUAUGACCUUAGUGCACCAAAAUCACUUUGAUUAAUUUGUGAUAGGUUUUUGUGCAUCAUGACAUUAGCCUUAUUCAUUUAGAUAAUGUUUAGUUUUUAGAAAGUAUUAAGAAAAGGAAAAUAAAUAUUAAGAAAAAUAUUCUUAUAUUUGAUUGUAUUAUGAAAAAUAUCAUAAAAAAAUCAAAUAUAAUUUAAAUUAAUUAAUAAUUUAUACAUUUUCAAAUUAUUUAAUCUUUAUAUUGAAGAUAUAAUAUAAAUGAAAUGAGUUUUAAGUAUUAUAUAAAAGUGAUUUAUUGAUCUUACAUAUAUAUAUUUCUUUUUUUUUUCCUUCUAUUUUUUCUCUUUAUUUUAUUUUCCUUAUGUUUUCCUCAACAUUUUCCGGAACCAAACAUAGCCUUAGGAAAUCCACAAUUACCUUCAACUGAGUAGAUUCUGUUGUUUUAGCAAUGUUAGGCUGCUAACUUGUGUUGGUACGAACCUAUUAAGCCUAAAGAUGUAAUUAGUUAGGAUAUUCUUUUCCCUCUAGUCUUGUAGCUCCACGUGUACAGUUGGUUAGGACCUCAUUGUAUAUAAUGCUUGCCCUGUUAUUGUAGAAGACAACAAAGAUAAAUAAUAUUAACAUUUUUCCUCUCAUCUCUCUCUGUUUCCCUCUGUUUUCAUCUCCUCUCUCAUCUUGGUAUCAGAGCCUCCAUGGCUUCUUUCAAAGAAACCUCCGAAUCACCUUCUGCUAGCAUUGUUAAUGUGCAAAACCCAUUAUCUCAAUCAAACAACCUUCCUUCACCAGUAGCCACACCCUCUUUUUCUUUCUCGUCUAUGAAUCAACCUCUCACAGUGAAGCUGGAUAAUGGGAACUACCUCAUAUGGAAGAAUUAGCUUCUAAAUGUCAUCAUUGCUAACGGACUCGAUGAUUUCAUUGACGGAUCUCGACCCUGCCCUCCUCGAUUUCUCGAUCUGCAACAACAAACCCUCAAUCCAGAGUACUCAGCUUGGCAGAGAUACAAUCGACUUCUGAUGAGUUGGCUGUACGCAUCCUUGUCCAAAGAUAUAAUGGCUCAGAUUGUUGGGUAUUCAACAGCUAUGGAGAUUUGGAAUGCCCUUAAUCAGAUUUACUCUGCCUCUUCUAUGGCGCGGUUUACUGAGCUUCGCACCAAGCUUCAAACGCUCAAGAAAGAUGGACUCUCAGUUGGUGAAUAUAUUCAAAGGCUCAAAUCCAUUUGCAAUAGUCUUGCAGCAAUAGGAGAACCAGUUUCUGAGAAAGACCAUCUUAUCUAUUUGUUCAAUGGAUUAGAUUGUGAGUAUUAUUCUUUUGUUACCUCCAUUCAAAAUCGAUCUGACCAACCAACUAUUGACAAAAUCCAUAGCCUAUUGCUUAGCUAUGACUUCCGGCUUGAACAACAAAACUCUGUUUCUCUCCAUUCUGCCCAAGUCCAUAUGGCUCAUCUGAACAAGAAACCUUAUAAAUCAACUCCUCAACCUACAUUCAAUCAUAUUCACAUUCAACCUAGAUACUCUUCUCCACCUUUUAAGCCAACCACUAGUCAAUAUCAACCCAACAUUUUGGGCAAACCACAACCACAACCAUGACAGCCUCAACCUCAAUGGAAACCACAUUUUUCAAUCUAAAAUCAAAAGCCUCAGCGCCAAAUUUGUGGUAAAUUUGGACACACUGCUCUUAUUUGCUUCCAUCACACAAAUUUGAACUAUUCACCCCAACCUUCUCCUAAAUCUUUCAAUACUGUUCUCACCACAAAUUCCCAGCUCCCUAAUCCUCCAAAAUUUUCUUACCCUACAAUGGCUCAUCCUGCUGCUACGCAUAACACGGUUCCCGAUACAAAUUGGUACAUGGACUCAGGUGCUACACAUCACUUUACUCUGGACAUCAACGUGCUUGACACUGUGACACCAUUUAGUGGUUCAGAACAGGUGACAGUUGGGAAUGGUAAGCAACUCUGUAUCUCACAUCUUGGUACUGCAAAACUACCAUCUUCGUAUUCUCCUCCUGUUCUACAUCAGGUAUAUCACACUCCAAAAAUUUCAAAUAAUCUUAUUAGUGUUAAAAAAUUGUGUUCUGAUAAUAAAGUUUUUGUUGAAUUUUAUGCCACUCAUUUUCUUGUCAAGGAUCAGGUUUCGAAGAGAGUUCUCCUUUAGGGUCAACUUGAUAAUGGCUUAUACAAAGUUCAGUCGUCAUGCUCUCCUUCUGCUGUUUCCUUUCCUCCUCAAGUUUUCAUAGCCAACAUCAAGUAUCCAAAUCUGUGGCACAAGAGACUAGGCCACCCAGCUUUAUCUGUUGUUAAUCAAAUCUUGGAUUCUUGUAACAUUGCUCGAACACAGAAAAUUUGUUUUAAUUUUUUAAAUUCUUGUCAAUUAGCAAAGAGCCACAGGCUUCCUUUUUCUCUGUCUCCAUCCAUUGCAGAAAAACCUUUUGAGUUAAUUCAUACAGACCUAUGGGGUCUUUCGCUCGUUCGCUCUAUUUCUGGUGCUCUUUAUUUUUUACUUUUCAUUGAUGAUCAUACUCGUUUUACUUGGUUUUAUUUGCUCAAAACAAAAGAUGAAGCAUAUCCUACUUUUCUCAAGUUUCAAGCUCUCAUUGAAAAUCAAUUUAAUACCAAGAUUAAGGCUGUCCAAUCUGAUUGGGGAGGUGAGUUUCGAUCUCUCUCCAUACCGUUUUCAAAUAUGGGCAUUGUCUAUUGUUUAUCGUGUCCAUACACCUCACAACAGAAUGGGCGAGUUGAGCGAAAAAAUCGCCAUGCGAUUGUCCUUUCUUGCUUGCUCUAUGCCCUUAUCUUAUUGGCCUUAUGCCUUUCAAACUGCCACUUACCUUAUUAAUCGUCUCUCUACCCCUGUGCUGCAUCAUCAAUCCUCUUACUUCGCACUCUAUCACAAACUCCCAACUUAUACUCAUCUUAAGGUCUUUGGUUCCUCUUGUUUUCCGUAUUUGCACCCUUAUAAUACCCAUAAACUCCAAUACAGGUCACUAGAGUGUGCUUUUCUUGGUUACAGUUCACACCACAAAGGUUAUCUAUGUCUUGACAUUCAUUCUAGCAGGGUGUAUAUUUCUCGCCAUGUGAUUUUUAAUGAAGAUUCUUUUCCAUUCAAGAAUUUGAAAUCUUCUCUCUCUCAGUCUAUUUCUUCUUCCUCUUCUUUAUAAGUUCCUCUGUUCAUUCUCUUGCCUCCCCUUUCCCCAUCUCCUCUUAUUUCUUCAUCUAUACCUCAUUCUUUUCCCUCUUCUUCUUCUACCUCUAGUACUUGUUCCCCUCUCGUUGCUCCUACCUCUCUUCCUUCCUCUUCACACUCUGUGUCUCCAUCUAUUCCACCUCCUUCUCCACCUUCUCCGAGUGUGGACCUGCUUGCACCUUGUGUGAAUACAAAUUUACAUACUUCUUCUCGCACUCACAAUAUUCAUCCUAUGGUGACUAGAUCUAAGGUUUGUAUCUAUAAACCUAAGUUGUUGUUGAGUGUCUCCAUAGGUUCUCUCACUAAGCCUACUUCCUUUCUUCAAGCUAUUAAAGAUCCUUCAUGGAAGCAAUCCAUGGAAUUCGAGUUUGCUACCCUUCAACACAACAAGACCUGGCAUUUGGUUCCUUCACCUUCCUCAGGCGAAGUAAUCGGUUGUAAAUGGGUCUAUAAGCUAAAGCUUCAGCCUGAUGGCUAAAUUGAGAGAUACAGCCUGCUUAGUAGCUAAGGGUAUCAUCAAAUUGAAGUAUGGACUACUUCGAAACAUUCAGCCUGAUNNNNNNNNNNNNNNNNNNNNNNNNNNNNNNNNNNNNNNNNNNNNNNNNNNNNNNNNNNNNNNNNNNNNNNNNNNNNNNNNNNNNNNNNNNNNNNNNNNNNAGCUUCAGCCUGAUGGCUAAAUUGAGAGAUACAAGGCCUGCUUAGUAGCUAAGGGUUAUCAUCAAAUUGAAGGUAUUGACUACUUCGAAACAUUCAGCCUGAUUGUCAAGCUUUCUACUAUCUGUAUUGUGCUCAGUCUUACUUUUUCCCAGAAUUGGUGUAUUAGACAGCUGGAUGUUCAUAAUGCCUUCUUACAUGGUGACUUAGCUAAAGACGUUUUCAUGGAACAACUGCCUGGAUUUGUUGAUCCUCUCUAUCCUACUCAUGUCUGCAAGUUGGAUAAGUCUCUCUACUGUCUUAAAUAGUCACCUCGGGCUUGGUAUACUAAGCUGAGUACUUCUCGCUACACUUGGGAUUUGUUACUUCUAAGAAUGACUCUUCCUUAUUUAUUUGUCAUUCGUCUCAUGGGUUACUUCUUGUUCUUGUCUAUGUGGAUGAUAUAAUCGUCAUUGGGAGCCACUCUCCUCAGGUUACUCACCUUAUCCAACAGUUGCAUCAUUAGCUUUCUUUAAAGGAUCUUGGUCCUUUACAUUAUUUUCUGGGCUUGGAGGUUCAUCACACCCCUACUGGUAUUCACCUCAGCCAAGCAAAGUAUAUCACUGAUCUCCUUACCCGGGCGGCUAUGUUGGAUGCCAAGCCAUGUCCCACUCCUAUGUCCUCCAACACAUAUCUCUCUUUUCAUGAUGGAGUGGCUCUUGAAAAUGGUUCAGAUUAUCGAAGUUUUGUUGGUGCCCUUUAGUAUUGUACCAUGACACGCCCAGAUAUAGCUUUUGCAAUAAAUAAAGUGUGUCAAUUCAUGCACCAUCCCUCUAAUGUUCACUGGCAGGCUAUAAAACGUAUUCUCCGGUACUUAAAGGGCACAUCUCAUUUUGGUCUCUUCCUACAGCCUUCCUAUGACUUCAACAUCACUUGCUAUACAAAUGCCGACUGGGCUUCCUGUCCUGAUGACAAGUGUAGCACCAGUGGCUACUGCCUCUUUCUUGCCUCUAAUCUGGUUUCUUGGUCAUCUUCCAAACAAAAAGUGGUCUCCCGCUCCAGCGCCGAAUCAGAGUACCGAGGGGUAGCAAAUGGGGCUGCUGAAAUUGCUUGGACUGAAUCUCUUCUUUGUGAACUUUCCAUUACUCCCCCUCCCCUCAUUCUCUGUGACAAUAUCAGUGCCACGUACUUAGCUGCCAAUCCUAUUUUGCAUGCCCGCACCAAACAUGUGGAAAUCGACUAUCACUUUGUCACGGAACGUGUUCUUCAAUGCUCUCUUUUUGUCCAGUUUACACCUUCUGAUGAUCAACUUGCUGAUUGCAUGACCAAGCCUCUCUCCACCCAACGUUUCAUCACUCUACGCUCCAAGCUCACUGUUCUCACUAGACCAAUGAGCUUGAGGGGGGAUGUUAAGCCUAAAGAUGUAAUUAGUUAGGAUAUUCUUUUCCCUCUAGUCUUGUAGCUCCACGUGUACAGUUGGUUAGGACCUCAUUGUAUAUAAUGCCUGCCCUGUUAUUGUAGAAGACAACAGAGAUAAAUAAUAUUAACAUUUUUCCUCUCAUCUCUCUCUCUGUUUCCCUCUGUUUUCAUCUCCUCUCUCAUCUGAACCAAAUGAUCCAUGUUAACCUUGGCUUGGUUUGAUUUGGCUCUAUCUUAGAGAGCUCAAGGAUCACGUCAACUCUGGUUUCUACUAUUCAGGUCCAUUCCCAUAUGAACUGGUUCAAAUUUGAGAAAAUGGUAACAGACCUUUAGUGAUGUUGGUUUGGAGCCAGUUGCCAAACCCGCCCUGAGCUUUACCACUAAUGUCAAGGGAGAAAGCCAUUUGAACAAAAACAAUAGCUUCAAGGGACUGAAUCGUGGAUGAAAUCUGAUCCACAUUUCUUCUCAUUUUGGAAACAAAUGAGAACUUAACUAAGAAGAUUCUACGGCCUCAUAGUGCUUUUCCUGAUCUAAGGUUGGUUCGUUUCCCAAACUGUGAGAUGCACGUGCCAGACUUCAGAACUCUCACGCUCAGGAGUGUAUCCACGUGGUGGACAUAAGAUGGUGGCUUAAGAUCUGGUGUCGGUGGCUUUACUUUACUAGGAGAGUAGUGUGUCUUCAUCUCAUUCACUGCCGGAGGGUGGCGUAAGCAGUGACGCUAAGGUGGGGCACAGUCAAUAUCAUUUGCAUUUGACCAUUAUAGUUUUCUCCCGGCUUUAAAGUAACCUUAUCGUGAUAAAGGAUUACUAGCACUAGUUCAGAUGAUAGUCAUGUUAAAUUCGGACCAUGUUUGUGUCACAUUAUCAGCAACCAUGUGUUUAUGGUUCAUGCUUUCUGCAACUAAAAUUGAUAUAUAACCAGGUGAACUUCAAUCUAAAUUCUGAAAGUACUCAUGUGAUAGAUGGUGCCCGUCUGCAGAGUCCAUCAAUUGAAAAAUGGAGUGAGUGUAUCUAUAAGAGGGAAGGCUUGGAAAAUGUUCAGUUUUCUGGGAAUUCAACAAGGAUCUAAAAUAGAUUGUUUUCUUUGCUGAUUUCAAUGGUUGAAAUUUGAGAAGAUUGUGUCCACAUAACACAACUAUUACUGGUCCUUCUGUUGCAAUUUAUCCUCUAAAGCUCUAGCAUGUCUUCCAAUUCCCACUUCCCUGUUACUCCAGGAAAGCUAUUUCUGUCAUUGUGAAGAAGAAAAGAGAAUGUACAUAUCGAUGCUUUUAAGUGACUGGAGCAUUUAUAUCAGGUGGUCUGCAGCCAUAUAUGCCACUUUGUGAAGAUUGGAACAGUCAAUCACUAGGCUAUAUAUUAGUGUGGCCCAGCCACUUUAAUCAAGGACAAGUCUUCAUACUUAAAGUCAAAUUCUGCCUUUAGUCUCAUUAUAAAUUUCUGUUUAAAUAUUAAGCAAACAUUUGUUUAAUGCGAUUAAGACAGUACUAACUCAAUACCUGUUCUAUUUUUGGAUGCAAAUGCUUGAUGGUUUCAUCAUUGGAUGGGAUAAAGGUGCAUUCAUGAUUAGGAAUACUAGUAGUUAUAUUUUAAUUCUCUUUUUUCUCAAUGAGACUUGUUGGCACAAUUUUGCUGUUGAGAAACCUACCUCUCCAUGGAAAAUAAGUUGUGAUUGAUAGUACUGGAUAUAUUCAAGAAAUCUAAAUAUAGAUAGCACAAAAUAUUAUCGACAUAAAUAGCAUUAACAGCGUACGUAUGUCUCAGUGCUCAUCAGCUAUAAGCAUGGGGCAAACACUUACUAUGAGCAACUUACGUCAAAAUUCCAGAAUAGGACAUAGAAGUGACAGAUAUAGAACAUUGCAUAUGAGUCACAAGAAAGGAAAUUACGGGUGCAUAGCAGCUCUUAUUUUACAUACUACUACUCAUACUGAUCAAAGUCACUCAGUUGGGAUGGGUGGGAGUAGGAGGUUUGUGGGGUGGCUUGUGCGGAGGAGUUGGCAGCUUCUUUCCAGGACCUGGUUGCUUCUCUGCUGGAGUUGAAGGAGGCUUAAUCUUCCGAGGUGGCUUGUAUGAGUCUUCAGCAUUCUCAGCUGGAGGGUGACCAGGGUUGUGACCAUAAUGUGGUGGCUUCUCUCCCUUAGGUGGUUUGCCAACUGGGGUUGGUGGCUUGUAUGAGUCUUCAGCAUUCUCAGCAGGAGGGUGACCAGGGUUGUGACCAUAAUGUGGUGGCUUCUCUCCCUUAGGUGGUUUGCCAACUGGGGUUGGUGGCUUGUGUUCUGGGAGUGGCUUCUCCCCCUUGGGAGGUUUUUCCAAUGGGGUUGGUUUGUGUUCAGGAGGUGGCUUCUCCACUGGAGGCUUGUGUUCAGGAGGUGGCUUCUCCACCGGAGGCUUGUGUUCAGGUGGUGGCUUCUCCACCGGAGGCUUAUGCUCUGGUGGUGGCUUCUCGAAUGGGGGAUGCUUAGGAUAAUCAGCAAGUGAGGGGGCGGUGAGAACCACCAGGCCAAGCAACACCACUAGCAAAUAUGUAGGAGACAUCUUUGGGUUUGGGCUCAGAUGGUGCAAAACUAGGAGAAUUGGCUAGCCUUUUAUAGCGGAUCGUACCCAAUAAUGAAAUGACACGUGUCAUUAUGACCCAUGUGUAAUGGGGUCGAUUUGGGUCCUACAGUGUUGAAAACUUCGACAUCCACUUUUGGCCUUUUGCUUUCUCUACAGCCGCCUUGCUUUUUCCCUCUUUCCUUUUGUUUUCCUCCUGCCCCAUUCUAUCAACUAAACACAAUUAUGUAGUUGUUUAAUUCUUAAAUGAGAUAUUAUCCGUCAAUCGUAUUAUAUUUUAUCAAGAGAGAACGGAGUGCAAUGUGGCUGUAAUUUUAUCGUUUAGUUUUAUCUCUUGGACCACUGCAUUUUUGUUAAGAGGUGCAAUAAUACACGUCUUUAUCUGCCAUUCAAUAUUUACAGUAAAGAGAGGGCACAAAACUCUUCACUUCGCACCAUAAUUAUUUUGUUUUCUGGACACCCCGGGGCCCUUUGGUUGGUUUGGGGGUCAGAAAGUGAACAUCAUAGGGGGUUUUUCCCUUAUGUGCAUUUGUAUCUGAUGGCUUUAACUCGCCUUGUUACUACAAAGAAACUGUCACAGAUAGGAACUUAUUCCAGGCUGAGUAUCUCCUCAUAGACCCUAUAAAAGAAGACAAGUCAUAAUGAACAUCUAACCUUUGUUCAAUUUGAUUCAAUGCCCCCAUUGUGUCCAUCUCACAAAUCUGAAUUAUUAUAUCCAUUGAAUACAUAAAUUAAUGAAGAAAAUAUGAAACCCAAGAUACAUCUCUGCACAACCUCAACCCUGGUUGCUAUGUUUCCCUUCUAUUCACAUGAUUUGAUGCUAAUUGCCAAACUUGCAACAAGCCCUGAGUUUGACACCUAGUAUCGAUGGGCGAAUUUAAAGUCUCCUCCAAACAUAUAUUCCACAGCUUGAAGCUCACAGAAGAUGUUACAGGCAGGGAAAAACCUUCAGAGUUCGCUACCAAAGAUAAUUAUUAAGGAGAUAUCACAAAGAGAAUUCCAAGGGGUCUGAAUCAAAGACAAAUUGGUCGUUCGUGGGGGUUCUUACUUUCUUUUGGGUAUAACUCACUGAGGGCACUGUCUUUGUUAUUUGCAUUUCACAUUUAGAGUUCUGUUCUGGAAACAUAUAAAAGGAGCAUCAUUUUGUUCUUGGGUAACCCAUAGUCGUGAGUGGGUCCAUUUGCAUGCUACUUAGUUGAAAAGUUGGACCAUUUGCUCCGACGCCUACCUCCCGGAUUCCAUGCUCGGAUAAAACAAGAAUAAAAAAAAUAUUUAUAAUUUACAAAUGGGGGAAAGAAAAAAAUGUCAACAACAAACCAGGAAAAAAGAGUAGUAAAAUUCAUGUCACAUGCUAGUGAGAGAAGGGGUUGUUACACUCACUCGAAGUUCUUUCCAAAAUAUCGCAUGGUAUUUUAUUUUAUGUGUCAGCGCAGUUGUGAAUGGAACGUGCAAAAGUCCAAAUUGGCGUUUUUCCUUUUCCCGUGUAGGAUGGCGACCUUUAAUAAAUAUUUAAAACAAAAAACGAAAAAAAGGAGGGAAAAGGGAUCAGAAAAGAUAAAACAAUGUGUACAAGAGCUCAAUUAGUUUGCAAAUUACUGUUUGGAUUUUGAUAGUAUUUUAUUUGUCCAUCUAUAUUUGAUGGAAAAGAGAAUUUAAGAUAUUUCUGAAACAAAAGCAUUAGUGUAAAACUAAAUUAAGGUAUAAUUAAGUUAGUUCAAUGCAUUAAUUUAAGAAACUUGAUCUAUCCAAAGUACAAAAUUAGAUGAAAUCCAUUUCAAUGGUUAAAAUGAUCAAAAUCAAACUUUUUCUAAGUAUUUUUUAAAAGCAUCAAUAUUAAAAGACAAUUUUAUAUUUAGUCGGAGUUUGGACAAAACCAAAAAGCACACAAAAUCCAAGCGACCAUCUCUAGCUUGGAUAGUCACUUGAUCCCACCUAGAGAUGUGCAUGAGUAAAAGGAUUUGAAAAUGGAAAUUGACUAAAUAUUUAGUUGAUCAAUUAAAUUUGCAAUGUCAUAUGCAAUCCUAAUAGCUAGUCAUCUAAUCAAUUAGGUAGUCAAUCAAGUGUUUGUAAUGACUAUUUUGUACAAAAAACCACAUGUAUAGUUAAAUAUAAUGCAUUUCAUUUAUAAAUCUUCUAAUUCUUGAAUAACGAUCCUAUCAUCCUUUGAAAAUUUUUAUUACACCUUUUUUACUUUUGUUCUAAAACUUACAUAUCACCCUUAAUUGUACCAUGAGAACCUAGCUAUUUUUUUUUUUUUUGUAAUUCAUCAAAGUUAGCUUUUGUAUUCAUUGUUGUAUUAUUUUUAGUAUAACUUAGAAAGCUAGUGUUUUCAAGUGAGUAAAAUUAACUUGUAAAUAUUGUAAAGAUUCAUUGAUAUGUAUCUUAAACUAAGUGUACAAAUUAAAACAUUUGCUAGUAGAUUUUCUCAAAAUUUAGAAUAGAGCUUGAGGCUAUUGAAAUAGGUGGGGUUACACCAAACCACAUCACAUCGUUGUUUGCACCUUUUUUCACUCUCUUUUACUUAGUUUCUCUAUAUUUGUUGUCUAGUAAUAUCCUAUAGGCUUGAUGGGUUAGGGAGCAUCCCUUUGUGAAAAAAUUUCAUUCAAUUCUUAGUUGUAUUACGCAUAUAUAAAAUGCCUCAUUGUUUUAAUGGUAUUCAGUCGUGGCAUCACAGAUAUGGGCAUCUAAAUUUUAAAAGUUUGAAACUUUUGUAAAGCAUGUUGAUAAAAUCCAUGAGAGUUGUGUACUUGGGAAGCAACAUCGAGGUGACUUUAUUUUUUUUUCCUUUUAUAAUGCCACACCUAAGUCCGGUUUCUAAAUGCUAAAGUGAAAGGGUAGGUAUGGACCAUUGAAAUGUGAUCACAACUUUUGGCCUUUUCCUUUCUCUGCAGCCAUGUUGUCUCUUUUUUCUUUUGCAUGAUUUUCUUACCAAAACAGAAUCAUAGACUUGUUUAGUCUCUAAGCUACUAUAUUAUAUCUCGGUGGACUUUUAAGAGUGCAACCGACAUAGAGCACAUGCAAGUGGGCAUAUGGGACAUGAAAUUUCUUCUUACAAAGAUUGCAUGAUUUUUAUAUUAGAGUUGUUCACGUGCAAUGUAUUUAGCUUGUUUUGCAGUUAAAUUAAUUGGAUAAGUAAACAUUGGCAUUUCUAAAUCGACUGUGAAGUGCUUCAUGUACGUGUAAAGUAUUAGAAAUUUCUUUCUUGGCAACUUGUUUUUUCCUUGCCAUCUACUGGUAGGUUUGACUAAAAUUAUAUUCCCUGUCAUGCUAAUUAAUUUUCAUGUGCAUGCUCAAAAGAAGAGUAUGACCUUAGUGCACCAAAAUCACUUUGAUUAAUUUGUGAUAGGUUUUUUUGCAUCAUUUAGAUAAUGUUUAGUUCUAAGAAAAAUUUAUAUAAAAAUGGUUUAUUUAUCUUACAUAUAUAUAUAUAUAUAUAUAUUUUUUUUUUUUUCAUUUUUUUUUCUUCUAUUUUAUUUAUUUAUUUUAUUUUCCUUAUGUUUUCCUCACAUUUUCCGGAACUAAACAUAGUCUUACGAAAUCAACAAUUGCCUUCAACUGAGUAGAUUCUGUUGUUUUAGCAAUGUUAGGCUGCUAACUUGUGGUGGUACGAACCAAAUGACCCAUGUUAAUCUUGGCUUGGUUUGAUUUGGCUCUAUCUCAGAGAGCUAAAGGAUCACGUCAACUCUGGUUUCUACUAUUCAGGUCCAUUCCCAGAUGAACUGGUUCAAAUUUGAGAAAAUGGUAACAGACCUUUAGUGAUGUUGGUUUGGAGCCAGUUGCCAAACCCGCCCUGAGCUUUACCACUAAUGUCAAGGGAGAAAGCCAUUUGAACAAAAACAAUAGCUUCAAGAGACUGAAUCGUGGAUGAAAUCUGAUCCACAUUUCUUCUCAUUUUGGGAAAAAAUGAGAACUUAACUACAAAGAUUCUACUGCCUCAUUCAUAGUGCUUUUCCUGAUCCAAGGUUGGUUCGUUUCCCAAAUUGUGAGGUGCACGUGCCACUCUCACGCUCAGGAGUGUAUCCACGUGGUGGACAUCAGAUGGUGGCUUAAUAUCUGGUGUCGGUGGCUUUACUUUACUAGGAGAGUAGUGUGUCUUCAUCUCAUUCACUGCCGGAGGGUGGCGUAAGCAGUGACGCUAAGGUGGGGCACAGUCAAUAUCAUUUGCAUUUGACCAUUAUAGUUUUCUCCCGGCUUGAAAGUAACCUUAUCGUGAUAAAGGAUUACUAGCACUAGUUCAGAUGACCGUCAUGUUAAUUCGGACCAUGUUUGUGUCACAUUAUCAGCAACCAUGUGUUUAUGGUUCAUGCUAUCUGCAACUAAACUUGAUAUAUAACCAGGUGAACUUCAAUCAAAAUUCUGGAAGUACUCUUGUGAUAGAUGGUGCCUGUCUGCAGAGUCCAUCAAUUGAAAAAUGGAGUGAGUGUAUCUAUAAGAGGGAAGGCUUGGCAAAUGUUCAGUUUUCUGGGAAUUCAACAAGGAUCUAAAAUAGAUUGUUUUCUUUGCCGACUUCAAUGGUUGAAAUUUGAGAAGAUUGUGUCCACAUAUCACAACUAUUACUGGUCCUUCUGUUGCAAUUUAUCCUGUAAGGCUCUAACAUGUCUUCCAAUUCCCACUUCCCUGUUACUCCAGGAAAGCUAUUUCUGUCAUUGUGAAGAAGAAAAGAGAAUGUACAUAUCGAUGCUUUUAAGUGACUGGAGCAUUCAUAUCAGGUGGUCUGCAGCCAUAUAUGCCACUUUGUGAAGGUUGGAACAGUCAAUCACUAGGCUAUAUAUUGGUGUGGCCCAGCCACUUCAAUCAAGGACAAGUCUUCAUACUUAAAGUCAAAUUCUGCCUUUAGUCUCAUUAUAAAUUGCUGUUUAAAUAUUAAGCAAACUUUUGUUUAAUGCGAUUAAGACAGUACUAACUCAAUACUUGUUCUAUUUUUGGAUGCAAAUGCUUGAUGGUUUCAUCAUUGGAUGGGAUAAAGGUGCAUUCAUGAUUAUGAAUACUUGUAGUUAUAUUUUCAUUCUCUUUUUUCUCAAUGAGACUUGUUGGCACAAUGUUGCUGUUCAGAAACCUACCUCUCCAUGGAAAAUAAGUUGCGAUUGAUAGUACUGGAUAUGUUCAAGAAAGCUAAAUAUAGAUAGCACAAAAUAUUAUCGAUAUAAAUAGCAUUAACAGCGUACGUAUGUCUCAAUGCUCAUCAGCUAUAAGCAUGGGACAAACACUUACUAUGAGCAACUUACGUCAAAAUUCCAGAAUAGGACAUAGAAGUGACAGAUCUAUAUAUAUAGAACACUGCAUAUGAGUCACAAGAAAGGAAAUUACGGGUGCAUAGCAGCUCUUAUUUUACAUACUACUACUCAUACUGAUCAAAGUCACUCAGUUGGGAUGGGUGGGAGUAGGAGGUUUGUGGGGUGGCUUGUGCGGAGGAGUUGGCAGCUUCUUUCCAGGACCUGGUUGCUUCUCUGCUGGAGUUGAAGGAGGCUUAAUCUUCCGAGGUGGCUUGUAUGAGUCUUCAGCAUUCUCAGCUGGAGGGUGACCAGGGUUGUGACCAUAAUGUGGUGGCUUCUCUCCCUUAGGUGGUUUGCCAACUGGGGUUGGUGGCUUGUAUGAGUCUUCAGCAUUCUCAGCAGGAGGGUGACCAGGGUUGUGACCAUAAUGUGGUGGCUUCUCUCCCUUAGGUGGUUUGCCAACUGGGGUUGGUGGCUUGUGUUCUGGGAGUGGCUUCUCCCCCUUGGGAGGUUUUUCCAAUGGGGUUGGUUUGUGUUCAGGAGGUGGCUUCUCCACUGGAGGCUUGUGUUCAGGAGGUGGCUUCUCCACCGGUGGCUUGUGUUCAGGAGGUGGCUUCUCCACCGGAGGCUUAUGCUCUGGUGGUGGCUUCUCCACCGGAGGCUUAUGCUCUGGUGGUGGCUUCUUGAAUGGGGGAUGCUGAGGGUAAUCAGCAAGUGAGGGGGCGGUGAGAACCACCAGGCCAAGCAACACCACUAGCAAAUAUGUAGGAGACAUCUUUGGGUUUGGGCUCAGAUGGUGCAAAACUAGGAGAAUUGGCUAGCCUUUUAUAGCGGAUCGUACUCAAUAAUGAAAUGACACGUGUCAUUAUGACCCAUGUGUAAUGGGGUCGAUUUGGGUCCUACAGUGUUGAAAACUUCGACAUCCAGUUUUGGCCUUUUGCUUUCUCUACAGCCGCCUUGCUUUUUCCCUCUUUCCUUUUGUUUUCCUCCUGCCCCAUUCUAUCAACUAAACACAAUUAUGUAGUUGUUUAAUUCUUAAAUGAGAUAUUAUCGGUCAAUCGUAUUAUAUUUUAUCAAGAGAGAACGGAGUGCAAUGCAGCUGUAAUUUUAUCGUUUACUUUUAUCUCUUGGACCACUGCAUUUUUGUUAAGAGGUGCAAUAAUACACGUCUUUAUCUGCCAUUCAAUGUUUACAGUAAAGAGAGGGCACAAAACUCUUCACUGCUCUGCAUGUGUCCCAAAAAUGCGAUUGGACAAAUUAUGAUUUGCAUGCUAAAAAGAGGCAAAUGAGGUUAAUUCGCACCAUAAUUAUUUGGUUUUCUGGACACCAUAAAAAGAUGUUAUACAGGCAGGGAAAAACCUUCAGAGUUAGCUACCAAAGAUAAUUAUCAAGCAGAUAUCACCAAGAGAAUUCCAUAGAGUCUGAAUCAAAGACAGAUUGCUCGCUCGUGGGGGUUCUUACUUUCUUUUGGGUAUAACUCACUGAGGUCACUGUCUUUUUUAUUUGCAUUUCACAGUUAGAGUUCUGCUCUGGAAGGUUUGUUCUGGAAACAUAUAAAAGGAGCAUCAUUUUGUUCUUGGGUAACCCAUAGUCGUGAGUGGGUCCAUUUGCAUGCUACUUAGUUGAAAAGUUGGACAAUUUGCUCCGACGCCUACCUCCUGGAUUCCAUGCUCGGUAAAACAAGAAUAAAAAAAAAUAUAUAAUUUACAAAUGGGGGAAAGAAAAAAUGUCGGAAAAAAUAGUAAAAUUCAUGUCACAUGCUAGUGAGAGAAGGGGUUGUUACACUCACUCGAAGUUCUUUUCAAAAUAUCGAAUGGUAUUUUACUUUAUGUGUCAGCGCAGUUGUGAAUGGAACGUGCAAAAGUCCAAAUUGGCGUUUUUAUUUUUCCCAUGUAGGAUGGUGACCUUUAAUAAAUAUUUAAAACAAAAGACGAAAAAAAAAAGGAGGGAAAAGGGAUCACAAAAGAUAAAAUAAUGUUUACAAAAGCUCAAUUAGUUUGCAAAUUACUGUUUGGAUUUUGAUAGUAUUUUAUUUGUCGUUCUAUAUUUGAUGUAAAAGAGAAUUUAAGAUAUUUCCGAAGCAAAAGCAUUAGUUUGCUCUGUGAUGUCCCACAUCGAAUAGGGGAGAAAGUUUCUGGCGCUAUAUAUGUAGAGGCUCCUCUUAACCAAGUAGAUGCGUUUUAAAACCAUGAGGGCCCCCUUAGGUCCAAAGCGGACAAUAUCUACAUGAUUGGGUGUAAGUCAUUACAAAUGGUAUCAGAGCCGAUCCCCGACCCCGGUGUGGGGGUUUGUUUGGCCCUGUAAGGGGUGUUUGUCUGUUUGACCCCACAAUCCCAUGGGACACAACGAGGACGUUGUGUCUGCAUGGGGGGGCGUUUGUGAUGUCCCACAUCGGAUAGGGGAGAAAGUUCCUAGUGCUAUAUAUGUAGAUGUUUCUCUUAACCAAGUAGAUGCAUUUUAAAAUUGUGAGGGCCUCUUUGGGCCCAAAGCGGACAAUAUCUACAUGGUUGAGUGUAAGUCAUUACAUGCUCCAUGUCAAUUUCAGCAUUUCUCAUAUGUUUCACACAUACACAGAAGAGCAUCGUUUUUUAAAGCAUGCAUUUAUGUUGGAUUAAUUUGGAUUUUGUGGGAACUGGGGCAAGGAUCACAUGGAAGAGAGGUUGACUUUUUUCAGUACUUCAAUGGUUGAAAUAUGUGAAGGCUUGAUUGAUACUAAAGCUUGAAAUUGCGACUCUGUCAUUUGUAAAAAAAUAUGACAGCUUCCAUGCUCUCGUUUGGUUGCAUUGUCCGGUCGAGAGGUGCAAAAAGCAUUCUCUCUCUUCUAAUAGUCUUUUCGUUUAAAUCAAGGGAUUUGCCUUCCCGGUCGAGGUCCAAUAGAGGGUAACGGUCACCUACUAAACAUUAAAUGCUCCAACAACUAGUGAACUGAUCGACCCCAGCUCGACUAGUUGAGGUUACUUUUUGGUUUUCUUGUCUCCCGAGGUUAGAAACCUAUAAAUAGAGAGCUUCACUUCAUUUAUGAGUAAGAGAACACCUAAAUUUAUUUGUUUACCUACUUGUUUUUGCCAUAAAAGCUCUCAUUUCUUUUCUUGGUGUAUUAAAUCUCCAUUUGCAUAUCCUUUAGUGCACCUUUGUGAUUCAUUCUAGCCUUGAGUUGUAUUUAAGCCUUUGUUGAGCUAGGUUGAGAGUUUCAUACUUGUUUAUUGAGUGUUAAAGCCUUCAAGUGAGUUAAAACUUGAAGAGAUUGUGUAAGAGCCCAUUGGAGUCGGAAUCCAAGUGUAAAGGUGAUUAAAAGCUUGGUUGAAGCUUCAAGUUAGUGGAACUCUCACUCGGUUAUGAGCUUGAGAAGAGUGGACAUAGACAAGGCAGUGUCGAACCACUAUAAAAUCUGAGUUUGAUUUCUCUAACCUUAUCUCUUUAUAUUUGCUUCUCUUGUGCUUAAAUUUUUUGUGUUUAAAAAGAAUUUUUAAAAACUCAAUUCACCCCCUUCUUGGGAGUUUUUCUCUUUUAAGAUCAGCUUUUAUUUUCUCAAUUGGUAUCAGAACUAUGCCUCUUGUUUAAGACUUAAUCGUCUAAGAGGAAAUGGCUAAUCCAUCAAGUUCAUCUCACAUUGAAAGUUUUGCAACCAAUAGACUUCUUUUUUUUUUUUUGCGGGAACUGAUUAUCCCUAUUGGAAAACUAAAAUGACUUGGUUUUUACAAUCAAUUGAUUUAGAUGUAUGAGAUGCCAUUGAAGAUGACCUAACUUUUCCUUCAAAACUAGUUGAUGGAGUCAUGGUUCCAAAACCUAAGCAAGAAUGGGAUGAGCGUGAUUGAAGAAAUUUUCAAUUAAAUGCUAAAGUCGUUUAUACUUUGCAAUGCUCUAUGGACAGAAAUGAAUAUAAUAGAAUAUGUCAAUGCAAAUCGGUUAAAGAAAUUUGGAGAUUGCUUGAAAUAACUCAUAAAGGAACAAAUCAAGUUAAAGAGUCAAAAAUCAAUUUACUUGUUCAUAGAUAUGAAUUGUUUUUUAUGAAAGAUAAUGAAACUAUUGUUAAGAUGAUCACUAGGUUCACCAACAUUGUUAAUGGUCUUAAAGCCUUGGGAAAGACCUACAAGGAAUCCGAAAACGUGAUGAAGAUCUUGAGGUCACUUCCAUCAAAGUGGCAUACCAAGGUCACCGCAAUUUAAGAAGCAAAAGACUUGAUCAAGCUACCUUUGGAGGAGUUCAUAGGGUCAUUGAUGACAUAUGAAAUCAAUUUGGCAAAGAAGUAACAAAAAGGUGAAGACAAAAAGAAGAAGAACAUAACUCUCAAAGCUACAACUAAGGAAGAAGAAGUUGAAGAAGAAAAACAAAUUGAAGAAGAUGAAGAUUUAGCCCUCAUCACAAGAAAGUUCAACAAAUUCAUGAGGGGUGAAAGGUUUAGAAGAAGAAGGUUCACUUCUAGAAGAGACUUUUCUAAAAAGGAAUCUUCAUCUAAUGGUGACAAAAAGAGAUGGGAAGAGAAAAGAGACUUGGUGUGUUUCAAGUGCAAGAAACCGGGACACAUUAAAUAUGAUUGUCCUCUCUACAAAAGUGAAGUCAAGAGGAAAAAGAAUAAGGCAAUGAUGGCCACUUAGAGUGAAAGUGAAGAUGAAUCAUCCGAAGAAGAAAAUGAGAAAGAAGUGGCAAACAUGUGUUUCAUGGCAAUAGAUGAACUUGAUGAGGUAAAAUCUAACCUUAGUGAUUAAGAUAUACAUGAUGCAUUUGAAGAAUUGUAUGAGGAUUUUUAAAAACUUAGUUUGAAAAAUAUUUCUCUUAAAAAGAAAGUUCAACAACUUGACAAAGAACUUAGAGAAGUAAAAGAAAAAUUUUCAAAUGUUAAAGUUUCUAAAACUCAUCUUGAAAAAGAAAAUGAGAUUCUAAGAAAGAAAAAUGAAUAGUUGAACUCCUCUCUUUCAAUCUUUUCUUCUAGACAAAAAUCUUUUGAAAUGAUUCUAACUAGCUAAAAAUGUGUUUUUGACAAACAAGGGUUAAGAUUUAAAUCUUCAAAAAAUCAAAAGUAUUUUAAAAACUAUUUUGUAAAGGAAUCCACAAGUGCAAGUCCUUCCACUACUUGCAACUUUUGUGGAAGAGAAUGGCACAUUAGUAGUACGCCCUUUAAGAAAUGGUUCUCAAAAGAAUUUAAAUGCAAAAACUAAAAAAGAUUUGGAUUGAGAAAUCCAAGGUCACUAACCCUCAAGGACCCAAAAAGAUAUAGGUACCUAAAUCAACUUGAGUUUUAUGUUGUAAGGUUCAAAGAAUGAUAAGUGGUUCUUAGAUAAUGGUUGCUCAAGACACAUGACCGGAGAUGAAUCCAAGUUUGCUUUUCUUAAAAAGAAAAAUGGAGGAUAUGUUACCUUUGGAGACAAUGCAAAAGAAAGGAUGAUUGGUCAAGGCAACAUUGGUAAUGGCACAUCCUCUCUCAUUGAAAGUGUUUUAUUAGUAGAUGGUUUCAAACAUAACCUUUUAAGCAUUAGUCAAUUUUGCGACAAAGGUUUUUAAGUGAUUUUUUAAGCAUCUCAUUGCAUCAUCAAGGAUAUUCAAAAUGAUAAAACCAUUUUCAUGGGCCAUAGAUGUGAUAAUGUUUAUGCUAUAAAUAUUUCAAAAUAUGAUGGCCAUGAUAGAUGUUUUUCAAGCAUGCAUGAUCAAAGUUGGUUGUGCCAUAGGAGAUUGAGACAUGCUAACAUAGACCUCAUUUCCCAACUCAACAAAGAUGAACUUGUUAGAGGCCUUCCCAAAAUAAUUUUUUAAAAAGAUAAAGUUUGUGAAGCUUGUCAAGUGGGAAAGUAAAUCAAAAACUCUUUUAAAAACAAAAACUUCAUUUCCACAUCUAGGCCACUUGAGUUGUUGCAUAUGGAUUUAUUUGGUCCCUCUAGGACACCAAGUCUUAGAGGAAAUUCUUAUGCAUAUGCUAUUGUGGACGACUUCUCUAGAUACACAUGAGUCUUGUUUUUUAGUCAAAAGAAUAAAGUUUUUUAUGAGUUUUCAAAGUUUUGCAAUAAGAUUCAAAAUGAAAAAGGUUUUUCAAUUACUUAUAUAAGAAGUGAUCAUGGGAGAGAAUUCGAAAAUAUUGAUUUUGAAGAGUAUUGCAAUGAGCAUGGAAUUGACCACAAUUUUUUGGCUCUUAGAACUCCUCAACAAAAUGGGGUAGUUGAAAGGAAAAAUAGAACUCUUCAAAAAAUGACAAGAACCAUACUAAAUGAAAACAACUUACCAAAAUAUUUUUAGGCCAAAACGGUUAACACUUCUUGUUAUGUUUUAAAUAGAGUAUUAUUGAGGCUCAUACUUAAGAAAACUCCCUAUGAGCUUUGGAAAAACAAAAAACCCAACAUUAGUUAUUCCAAAGUCUUUGGAUGCAAUAUUUUAUAAUAAACACCAAAGACAAUCUUGGAAAAUUUGAUGCAAAAUUGGAUGUUGGAAUUUUCCUUGGUUACUCAACUUCAAGUAAAGCUUUUCGAGUUUUAACAAAAGAACCAUGGUUGUAGAGGAGUCCAUCCAUGUUAUUUUUUAUGAAUCUCCAAGAAAGAGAGAGGAUUGAUGAUGAUUUAGGUUUGAAGACCUCUAUAGGAAGAUUGCAAAUCGAAGAUAGAAGACAACAAGAAGAAAAUGGAGAGAAUCCAAAGAAAGAAGGAUCACCAUUGGCACUACCCCCUCAUCAACAAGCGCAAGGUGAAUCAAGUCAAGAGCUUCCUAAAGAAUGGAAGUUUGUCAUCAAUCACCCACAAGAUCAAAUUAUAGGCAAUCCAUCUAGUGGGGUAAGAACUAGAUCCUCUCUUAGAAAUAUUUGCAAUAAUCUAGCUUUUAUCUCUCAAAUUGAGCCUAAAAAUAUAAAUGAUGUUUUAGAUGAUGAAAAUUGGAUAAUUGCAAUGCAAGAAGAGUUAAAUCCAUUUGAAAGAAGUGGAGUAUGGGAAUUAGUACCAAGACCUUCAAAUCAAAGUGUUAUUGGAACUAGAUGGAUCUUUAGAAAUAAAAUGGAUGAAAAUAGCAUAAUUGUUAGAAAUAAAGCAAGAUUGGUAGCCCAAGGUUUUAAUCAAGAAGAAAUGAUAGAUUAUGAAGAAACCUUUGCCCCCGUAGCUAGGUUGGAAGCCAUUAGGAUGCUACUUGCCUUUGCAUGUUUUAAAGACUUUGUUUUAUAUCAAAUGGAUGUGAAAAGUGCUUUUUUAAAUGGUUUUAUAAAUGAAGAAGUAUAUGUUGAACAACCACCCGGUUUUCAAAGUUUCAACUUUCCUAACCAUGUUUUUAAACUUAAAAAGACACUUUAUGGUUUGAAACAAGCACCUAGAUCAUGGUAUGAAAAAUUGAGUAAAUUUCUUUUGAAAAAAAUGUUUUAAAAUGGGAAAAAUUGACACAACUCUUUUUAUAAAAACCAAAGAAAAUGAUAUGCUCUUAGUUCAAAUAUAUAUUGAUGAUAUCAUUUUUGGUGCUACUAAUGUCUCUCUUUAUGAAGAAUUUUCUAAGUGCAUGCAUAGUGAGUUUGAAAUGAGCAUGAUAGGAGAACUCAACUUCUUCCUUGGACUUCAAAUCAAGCAACUAAAGGAAUGAACCUUCAUCAAUCAAGCAAAGUAUAUAAGAGAUCUUCUCAAAAGGUUCAACAUGGAAGAAGCCAAAACAAUGAAGACUCUAAUGAGCUCAUCCAUUAAGCUUGAUAAGGAUGAGAAAGGUAAAUCCAUUGACUCUAUUAUGUAUAGAGGCAUGAUAGGUUCUUUGCUCUAUUUGACCACUAGUAGACCUUACAUUAUGUAUAGUGUGUGUUUGUGUACUAGAUUUCAAUCUUGUCUUAAAAAAUCUCACUUAAGUGUCGUGAAAAGAAUCCUCAAAUAUUUGAAAGGGACAAUGGACAUAGGCUUAUGGUAUCCUAAGAGUGAUAACUUUGAAUUAAUUGGUUUUUUGGAUGCUGAUUUUGUCAGUUGUAGGGUUGAAAAAUAAAACACUAGUGGCACUUUUCAUUUCUUAAGACACUUACUUGUCUCAUGGCAUAAUAAGAAGCAAAAUUUGGUAGCUUUGUCAACAGCAGAAGCUAAAUACAUAGCAACUGGUUUAUGUUGUGCACAAAUCCUUUGGAUGAAAUAAACACUUAGUGAUUUUGAUUUAUCUUUUGAGCAUAUUCCUAUUAAAUGUGAUAAUAGUAGUGCCAUAAGUAUAUCAAAAAAUCUCGUGCAACACUCUAGGACUAAGCAUAUAGAGAUUAGACAUAAUUUUCUUAGAUAUCAUACACAAAAGGAUGAUAUAACACUUGAAUUUGUAAGCAUAAAAGACCAACUUGCCGAUAUCUUUACAAAACCUCUAAGAACAUUUUGUUGAUAUUAGAGGACAAUUAGGAGUGAUUUCUUUAUGAUCUAAUGUGAUGAAUUCUUGAUGAAUAUACUUUUUGAUUGCAUGAAUUUCAUGUCAUAUAUGCAUCAUAUAGAAAUAUACUUAGAUAAUGGUCAAAUUUCGACCAAAAAUCAAAAUUCCCAUGGCAUUAGGCAUAAAAAUUUUGGAAUUUCAACUGAAAAUGGUAGGAGGAGGAUCACAAAAUGAGAAAGUAUGCAAAAAUUGAAAAAUCAAAACGUUGACCAAGCGGUCAAUCGGACUAGACCGAUCGACUAGUUUGUCGAGAUUUAGGAUUUUUAAGAGACUCCAACGCUUCAAUUUUUGCACCGUUCUCCUCUAUUUCUUCACGGUUUCUCUGAUUUUGUCUUUUAGAGACUAAUUUGAGUGCGUUUUGGAUCAAUUGAAGCAUUUUGGAUUGGAUUUUAGGAAGAUUGAAAGUUAAGGUUUCGGAUUUGGGUCGCCUUCUCUUCCUCUCGCGUGUCACAAUCAGCUUUAGCAUUGUUCUCUUUCCAUUUUCACACACCUAGGGUUUCAGUUGUGAGCAUCUCUCUCUCUUUACCAACCACUACUCCCUUGCUUCUUCCAUAUGGCUCCUAGGCGAGAGUCCGCUACUUCUAGGGCACAAGGCAAGCACCCAACUGAGUCGUCUCAGUCAAAGGCACGUCGAAAAGUGAGAUUUGACAUUGCCUUGUUCAGUUCCAUGGAGGACUACCAACUAUACAAGCAACACUUUGCUUAGAGACGAGUAGUUCCCAAGAGAAAUAUUAAUUUUCCUCAACUUCAGCAUUUCGAAUUUAAGGGUCUAUUUACUAGGAUGGUUGGUUGUCUAUUGUCACAAUUUCGGAGCCGGUUUUCCUGACCUUAGUGCGAGUUUUUUACUCGAGGGCGACUUAUGGCAUGGGUGGCAUGAUCAUUUCUACUGUUGGAGGAGUUGAGAUCUGUCUGGACCCAGAGAGCAUCUGCCAUAUUUUCGAUAUUGCUCUGGUUGGACUCAAAGUAUACAAGUCCAAAAUGUGGCCCAUUGUGCCAGGAUUUGAGCUUAGAGAGGUCAUUCAGAGGAUUUGUGAACUUCCAGACGCCCAGGAGAUGGGCAAACCAUUGCCACACAGUUUGACGGUCAUCAACAGGGUGCUACACCAUAUAUUGUGCUCUAUCUUUCUACCACGAAGUGGACAUUGAGAUGAGGUCUCUUAUUAUGAGGCAUUCCUUAUUGACUCCAUUCUAACGGAGAGACGAAUUCAUCUACUAUGUCAUCAUUCACUAAGCCUCCUCACAGUGACAUACCACCUCAUCAGGCACCUCUUGCUCCUGACCAUGCUCCAUUGAUGGAUUUAUUUACUCAUAUUAGCUCUCUAGGCACUCGCAUGAAGGAGUUUGUUGUAGUUAGUGAUACAUGGUUCUACUCCAUAGAGGAUCGCAUGGAUCAGUAUCAGACUGGCUUCACGUCACAGUUUGAGUAUCUCCAAUAGAGGAUUGAGCAUAUUGAGGAUCACUUGAGCAUGAGAAGAUGAUGGCUUUUCUAUGCUCUGUGUUUCCACCUCCACCUCGUCAACCUUGAUUUCUUAGAGACCCAUUGUUUUCAUUUUGUAAUGUUGCCAAAAGGGGGAGAUAUUUAGGAUCUAGGACUCUAUAGGAGACUUACAUGCAUAUCAUUUUCAUAUCAUUGUUUGGAUCGUACAUAUUGGAUAGUGAUACUUUUUACUUAUAUAUGAUAUGCCUAUAUGUUUCAUGUCUUACAUUGUUUCUUAUUGCAAAUUAUCUCUAACAUGUCUUGAUUAUCUUUUUUUUAACUUCAUAAAUUUUGAUUGUUAACCCAUGAUUGGUUUGAGGGGAAGAUUCUUCUUCUCCUAGAUAACCAAGGUUUGUCAUCAUAAAAAAAUUGGAGAUUGUUAGCCCAAGGGUUCUCCUAAUCAUGUUUUGAUGAUAACAAACCAUGCUUAAGUUACUAAUUGGUUUGAAUUAUAAAGAAUUUCAAGUGUUAAUUUGAAAAUUCAUCAAAGAACCUAAUGGAUGCAAGAUCAAGAUUUUUGGAAGACCUUUAAUCAUAAGAAACAUAUGUAAGAUGAAUGCAUGGGUGCACUUAAGAUUUGCAUAUCAUUUCAUGCAUAUUUGGAAAACACGGUUUAUGCUUUAAAGUUACAUUUCCAUCAAAAUUUGAGAUCCAUCAAAUGAACCUUAGGAAAAAUGUUUUAAAAUUGGCAUAUAAUUUUACCUAAAGACCUUGCCUAAGUGUUAGAAGCAAAAGGACAAAAAAAAUAUAGGUUUUCUGGUCAAAAAUGGUGAACCAGUCAAGGCAUUGUCUAAAUCAGCUCAAUCGGCCAAGGUACCGGUCGAUCGGUUUCCCUUUCCCUGUCGAGAUCUAGUCAAGAGGUACAAAAAUCACAAUCUCUGUCUCUUUCUCUCUUUGUCUAUCUUCCAGUAGUCUUUCCUUCCCGGUCGAGGGAUUUGCCUUCCCGAUUGAGGUCCGAUUGAGAGUAAUAGUCACUUGCCAAAUAUUAAAUGCUCCAACAGUUAGUGAACUGGUCGACCCCCACCUUGCCCAGUUGAGGUUACUUUUUGGUUUUCUUGGCUCCCGAUGUUAGAAACCUAUAAAUAGAGAGUUCCACUUCAUUUAUGAGCAAGAGAACACUUGCAUUUAUUUGUUUACCUACUUGUUCUUGCCUUAAAAGCUCUCAUUUCUUUUCUUGGUGCAUUAAAUCUCCAUUUUGAUAUCCUUUAGUGCACCUUUGUGAUUCAUCUUAGCCUUGAGUUGUAUUUGAGCCCUUUUUUUAGCUAGGUUGAGAGUUUCAUACUUGUUAAUUGAGUGUUAAAGCCUUCAAGUGAGUUGAAACUUGUAGAGAUUAUGUGAGAGUCGAUUGGAGCCGAAAUCCAAGUGUAAAGGUGAUUAGAAGCUUGGUUGAAGCUUCAAGUUAGUGGAAUCCUCACUCAAUUAGGAGCUUGAGGAGAGUGGACGUAGCCAAGGAAGUGUCGAACCACUAUAAAAUUUGAGUUUGAUUUCUCUAACAUUGUCUCUUUAUAUUUGUUUAUCUUGUGCUUAAAUUUAUUGUGUUUAAAAAGAAUUUUUAAAUACCCAAUUCACCCCCCUCUUGGGUGUUUUUCUCUUUUAAAAUUAGCCUUUAUUUUCUCACAAACUAUUGUAGUAUAGUGGUUUUUAGGUGUCAUCCAUUAGGAUGAAUUGUUCUCGGUAAUUAAGGCGUGAAUGAGAGGAGAAUUAAUGAUUGUGAUUAAGUAAAAUUGAUUUGAAAAUUCAUGGUGAAAAAUCAAUUUAACAAUGGUUUCUAAUUGAGAAAAACAAUGAAAUGUGAAAUAAAAUAAAAUUAAUAGGAAAUGAAAUUCUCGAAGUUAGAAUUUUCUAAAAAACAAAUUCCAUGGUGAAUGGAUGUUGAGAUCUAAUUUUCAUCAAGUUAGAUUGAAAACCGAAAUUUUCAUAUAAACUGAUUUUUUAUUUAGUUUUAGGUCUAGAUUUAAUUUCCCUUAAAAUUAGGUUAUUUAAUCCAAGAAAUCAAUUCAAAUCAUAUAUUCAAUUCAUCUUAAAUUAUCUUCCAAUUAUUCACACAAUGCAACUAUUCAAUCUCAUCAAAUCUAGCUUUUAAGAAUUUAAUGAAUCUACCUAGUUUGCAUUGUAAUAGUCAUCCAUGACAAUUUGAAGAGAAAAAUAAUUCAAUUAAUCAAUCACUUGGAUCAAAUUACCUUUGCAAUUAAAGUUCAUUUCUCUAAUUCACCACAGAUUUUGUCUCUAGAUCCUCCUUUCUCAAAGAAAAAUGAGAUUUAGCCACACAUGAUUGGAGAUUUGGUCUCAUAAGGCAUGUUUAGCUAGUGAUAAAAUGAGAGAAAAUAAAGAAAAAUAGAGAAUUCGAUUAAGAAAGAAAAUCUAAAAAAUUCUACAAUUAGAAAUGUCCAAAAAGCUUUUUCAUGAGAAAAUCAAGUUUCUAUUUAUAGGCCAAGGUCAAGUGGACACUUGACAUCAUCUAAGAGGUCUUCCGGAAGCUUCUUCAUCAAGAAAUCUGGAGUUUAAUAAUAAAAUGGUCAUUUCACAAGAGCUCAAACAAUUUCGCAUGAUUAUGUGAAAUAAAAAAUGCAACAACAGCAAUUUACAUCUUCUUGGAGCAUUUCGCAUGACUGUGUGAAAUUUUCACAUGAUCAUGUGGAAUCGACUUGACAACUCUCAUUUAGCCUACAACAUAAUUCCACCUUUUGGUCCAUUUUUCAUAGUCAUGCGAAAUGGAAAUAUUUGAUUUUUAAGUUUUCUUUUGUCAUUUCUUUCAUUUCCUUCUCUUGAUUCCACUUCAACUACCUCCGAAUCCUGGUCCAAACCAAUUGCAUUACUUCUUUCAUUAUGCAUUUGGAUCAUCAUCAACAUUAUUUGUUCUCUUCAAUUUGAUUCAUCUCUUUUGUCACCAAUUUAUCAAAAUCAUACCUUGAAAUGACUCCAAAACUUCAUAAAACUUGUUAGUAACUCUUGCAAGGGCAACAACAUAUUAAUUAAGUGUUUUAGGCAUAGUUACUACUCAAAAGAUGCGAAACUCAUGAUAAUUAUUAUAUAAAAUAUGCUCUUUUUGAGUAGUAAUCAACUUUCUUGCAUAAGCAGACCUUUUAGGGUGGAGUACUAAAGACCAAUAUGCUUGUCCUUGUUGUAAUAAAGAAACUUGCUCUUAUUGAUUGCACCAUGGGAGAAAAUUUUGCUACAUGAGUUAUCAUCAAUUUCUUCCCACCAAUCAUAGAUUUAGACGUGACAAGAGGCCUCUUAAUGGCAAGGAGGAACUGACACUCACACUUAUACAAUUAUCGGGCAUUGAUGUGUUGCAACAAUUAGAAUAACUUACACCAAUUAUGUUGGGGAAGUCACAAAAGGCAAACAUGAAAACUAAAAGGAAAAAAGAAAAAUGUUACAUAUCACCACAACUGGAAAGAAAAAAGUAUUUACUUUCAUUUGCCAUAUUGGAAAGCACUUAUUUUACAUCAUAAUAAUUUAGACAUAAUGCAUAUUGAGAAAAAUGUGUGACAAUAUAAUUGAGACAUUGUUCAGUAUUGACGAAGAAACAAGGACAACCUAAAUAGUCAUCUCGAUUUACAAGCUCUAACUAUUAGAAAUGAGAUUCACCCAAUAGAAAGCAGGACCAAAUUUAUUUUGCUUGCAACAUGCUACUCACUCACCCCAAAUGAGAUUAAGGAAUUUUGCAAGUUUUUGAAAUCAAUAAAGGUCCCCAAUGGCUAUUCUUUCAAUAUCUCUCGUUAUGUGCAACUCAAUGAAAGGAAGAUAUAUGAGCUCAAAUUGUAUGAUUGUCAUGUCCUAAUGCAACAACUUCUCUCACUUGUAGUUCGUGGAGUUCUACAUAAGAAUGUUUGUGGAGUUAUCAUAGAAUUGCGUAAUUUUUUCAAGCAAUUGUGCUCAAAGGUGUUAGAAACAAAUCACUUACACCAACUUGAGAACAAUAUUAUUGUCAUACUAUGUAAAAUGGAGCAAAUAUUUCUUCCAUCAUUCUUUGAUAUUAUGGUGCAUUUACUUGUGCAUCUAGUAAGGCAAAGGUUGCAAGACUUGUGCAAUAUUGUUGGAUGUACCUAAUUGAACGAUAUUGUUAUAAUUUCAUAUGAAUCAUUUAAUUUUAUUUUAUAUUAUGUUCAGUUCAUUAACAUGUACAUUGGUCUACAUAUGGAUGAUGAUAGGUACCUAAGCACUUUAAAGUCAUAUGUGCGUAAUAGAACUUUUCUAGAAGGUUCUAUUGUAGAAAGGUACCUUGCAAAAGAAUGUACAACAUUUUAUUCUAGGUACUUGAAUGAUGUGGAAAUAAAGUAUAAUCACAAUGAUAGAAACUUUGUUGGUUUCAACACUAGAGGAGAUGAAAGGGGUUAUCUUUAAACAUAUUGGACAUGCAUUGGGAAAGCCCAUAUUUCAUUAACUUAGUUCAAAAGAGUGGUCACAAGCACAUUUAUAUGUGUUGACAAAUUGCGAAGAUGUCAUACCAUUCAUUGAGUAAAAAAUUUAUUUGAAUUUUAAUUAAAGCUCUAGUUUAUAUCCUUAAUCAAUGUUUUUUAAAUUCACAAGGAGCACAAGCAAACCAUCAAGGCUAGACCACAUAUACGUGUUUGAGACGUAGAUUUAAUUCAUAACAAGGAAUUUAUCAAGUGGUUUGAAAGACAUGUAAGUAUAUUCCUUAUUAUAAGGGAUUUAUUUCACAUUAUGUUUAUAUUGAAUCCAAACCUAUUAUUGAAUUGUAGGUUGAACAAUUACAUAAUGAAGGUCAUAUAUCUGAACACCUUCUCACAUUAUCAUGUGUUCCAAAUUCAUUAGUUACAUGCUUCAAAUGAUAUAUUGUCAAUGGAUUUAGAUCCCACAUUAAAGAACGUGAUAAAAAAGUUUUUAAAAAAAGACUCAGAAUAAUGGAAUUGUUGUAGUUGCAAAAACGUCAAGCUUUACAAGUGCAUGUGAUAUGAGUCCAAUUAUUAGUGAUGCUCUCUACUAUGGUGUUCUAACUAAAGUUGUUGAGUUACAUUAUCUUGGUGAAAAUAAGGUUGUUUUAUUCGAGUUUGAUUGGUGGGAUGUUACAAAUAUUGGAAAAUUGAUAAAAGAUGAUGAGUACAAUUACACAUUUGUUAACUUUGCAUGAAUUCUAACCACGAACGAACGAUUUGUACUUGCAUCUCCAGCAAAGUAAGUGUUCUAUGUGAAGAAUGCGAAUGAAUCAGAUUGGCAUACUAUCAUGGAGAUGCAACCUCAAGACCUCUAUAAGAUGAACGGGAUAGGAUCCAAUGGUGAUUUUGAACCAUUUCAACAAAGUGAACUACAUGAUCACUAAUAUAUCUCAGAUUUAGUUGAUGAAGAUAUAAUCAAGUGGAACAAAAGUGAUGUUUUAGGACUAAUCAUCCUAAAAAAUAUUGUAGUUUCUUAAAAAAAAAAUGAAAAUGAAGAAGAUAAUUGAACCUUUGUCAUACUUUAAAAAGCAACUAUGCAUUGUUCAUUUUGUAUGUUUUGGUUUUCUUCAUUUAAUUUCCUGAUUUUUGUGAUUCAAUGUCAUAUUAUUGAUCUUGAAAUAUUUUUCUAAUUUUUCAUUCUACGAUGGUUUCAACAAGGAUGACAUCAAGUCAAAAAAGGAAAUGUGGUCCCACACACAAUAUUGCAUUACAGGGAUUAAGGUCAGGGAAGAAGGUAAAAGUUGCAUUUAAUGAGUACAAUCAAUUGGUUAAACAGAAAAAUGGAAAACACUUAUCGAGCUACAUAGGGACACUUGUAUCUAACCAACACAAUGUACCUCUCCAAGCUAGUGAUUGGAAAAAUGUUCCAAAUGAUGCAAAAGAGAAAGUAUGGCCUUUGUUUUGGUAUGUUGUAUUUCUCACUAUAUGAUGUCAUUUCACUGUUAUUCUAUUUUGUGACUAACGUUUGAAUCAUAUGUAAGAAAAAUUUGAAGUAGAUAAAGACUGAAAAGAUUACAUGUUGGGUAUAGCCUCAAAUAAAUAUAGAAGCUAUAAAAAUAUGAUGAAUGCAAAAUACUAUGACCCUUGGCAUAAGGAUGCAUGAGGAGAGGUUAAUACAUAAAUCACCAUUUGUCUCUGAUGUUGAUUGGAAGUGGCUUGUCUCUGAUGCAUAAACCAAAUCCCCCACUGAAUGUUUGAUAUUUGAUAGCAGGAAAAACACACCCGCAGCUAUACACCUCCAUCAUUCAGAUAAUUAUAGUGGGGGAGAUGAUUCAUGGUUGCCCUUAUACCCUUUAUUUGCACCAUCUAUUGAGAUUCUUUAUCAUGGCCAGGUUUUACUGCAGCAAUAAGAUAUGGUGGCAACAAUUUUAUCUAUAGGUGCGGUUCCAGACCGCCUCCAUAGGUGCGGUUCCUGACUGCCUCCAUAGGUGCCUCUUCUUGUAAUGUUUGUUCUGGGAAUUACACUUGAAAGCCUUAUCGUGAUAAGGGAUUACAAACACUAGUUCAGAGGACAGCCAUGUUAAACUUCCACUAUGUUUGUGUCACAUUAUCAGCAGCCUAGUGUUUAUUGGUCAUGCUAUCUGCAACUAAUAUAACCCGGUGAACUUCAAUCUAAAUUCUGAAAGUACUCAUGUGACAGAUGGUGCCUUUCAGCAGAUAUCAUCAAUUUAAAAGUAGUGUGUGUGCCUAUAGGUGGGAAGGCCUUGGCAAAUGUUCAGUAUUCCGGUAAUUCAAGAAGGAUAUAUCUAAAAUAGAUUUUCUUCUUGCCCAUUUCAAUAGUUAAAAUUUGAGAAGAUUGUGUCCACAUCACACAAAUAUUAUUGGUCCUUCUGUUGCAAUUUACCUCUGAACAUGUCUUCCAAUUCCCACGGUCCUGUUACUCCAGGAAAACUAUUUCGGUCAUAUUGAAAAAAAAAAUAUUAAAGAAGGUACACAUGCUUUUAAGUGGACUGGGGCAUUCAUAUCAGGUGGUCUGUAUCCACAUAUGCCACUUCGUGAAAGGUGGAACAGCCUAAUCACUAGGCUAUUUAGUGUGGCCCAGCCACGUUAAUCAAGCACAAGUCUUCAUACUUAAAGUCAAAUGGUGUCUUUAGUCUCAUUACACAUCGCUAUUUGAAGAUUAACUCAUCACUAGUGUAAUGCGAUUAAGACAGUCCUAACUCAAUAUUUGUUCUAGUUUUGGAUGCAAAUGCUUGCUGGUUUCAUCAUUGGAUGGGAUAAAGGUGCAAUCAGGACUAUGAAUACGUGCAGUAAUACUUCAUUCUCUUUUUUCUCAAUGAGACUUCUUGGCACAAUUUUGCUGCUCAGCAACCUACCUUUCCAUGGAAAAUCAGUUGUGACUGAUAGUAAUGGAUAUAUUCUAGAAAGCUAAACAUAGAUAGCAUUCAAUAUUAUCGAUAUAACAUUAACAGCGUAUGUCUCAAUGCUCAUCAGCUACAAGCAAUGGACAAACACUUUGAGUAACUCACAGCAGUCAAAAUUCCUAAACAGGACAGACGUGACAGAUCUAUAUAUAGAACACUGCAUAUGAGUCACAGGAAAAGAUAAUACGGGUACAUAGAAGCUCUUAUUUUACAUAUUACUCAUACUGAUCAAAGUCGCUCAGUUGGGAUGGAUGGGAGAAGGAGGUUUGAGGGGUGGCUUGUGCGGGGAAGUUGGCAGCUUCUUUCCGGGAGCUGGUUGCUUCUUUGCUGGAGUUGAAGGAGGCUUAAUCUUCCGAGGUGGCUUGUAUGAGUCUUCAGCAUUCUCAGCAGGAGGGUGACCAGGGUUGUGACCAUAAUGUGGUGGCUUCUCUCCCUUAGGUGGUUUGCCAACUGGGGUUGGUGGCUUGUUUUCUGGGAGUGGCUUCUCUCCCUUGGGUGGUUUGCCAACUGGGGUUGGUGGCUUGUGUUCUGGGAGUGGCUUCUCCCCCUUGGGAGGUUUUUCGAAUGGGGUGGGUUUGUGUCCUGGUGGUGGCUUCUCUCCCUUGGGAGGUUUACCAAUUGGGGUCGGUGGCUUGUGUUCUGGGAGGGGCUUCUCUCCCUGGGGAGGUUUAGUGGGUGGCUUGUGUUCUGGAGGUGGCUUCUCCACCGGAGGCUUAUGCUCUGGUGGUGGCUUCUCGAAGGGGGGAUGCUCAGGGUAAUCACCAAGUGAGGGGGUGGUGAGAACCACCAUGCCAAGCAACAACACUAGCAAGUAUGUAGUAGACAUCUUUGGGUUUGGACUCAGACAGUGCAAAACUACGAGAAAUCGCUAGCCCUUUAUAGCGGCUCGGACCUAAUACUGACAUAAUAUAAAAUAAAUAUUAUAUUUUAUCAAGAGAGAACAGAGUGUAAUUUUAUCAUUAAUACCGAUCGAGGCCAAAGAAAGAAGACCCAUAAUCCAUUUCCCACAAGCAUACACAAUGCAGCUGUAAUUUUAUCAUUUACUUUUAUCCCUUGGACCACUGCAUUUUUGUUGAGAGACACAAUAACACAUUUUUAUCUGUCAUUCAACAUUUACAGUAAAGAGAGGGCACAAAACGCAAUUAGAUAAAUUAUGUUUUGCCUGCUAAAAAGAGGCAAAUAACUUUAUUUGCAACAUAAUUAUUUUGGUUUCUAGUGACCCCGGGGCCUUUCGGUUGGUUUGGGAUCGGAAAAUGAACAUCAUAGGGGGGGUUGUGCCCUUAUGGGCAUAUAUAUCUGAUAGCUUCAACUGGCCUUGUUCCUAGAAAGAAAUUGCCAAAGAUAUAAACUUAUUCCAGGCUGAAAGUAGAUGAGAGUCAUAAUGAACAUCAACCUUUGUUCAGUUUGAUUCAAUGCCCCCAUAGUGUUCAUUUCACAGAUCUGAAUGAUUAUAUCCGUUGAAUACAUAAAUUAAUGAAGACAAAUAUGAAACCCAAGAUACAUCUCUGCAUAACAACCCCAACCCUGGUUGCUAUGUUUCCCUUCUUCUAUUCACAUGAGGAUACUGGUUAUAAUUGUCAAACUUGCAACAAGCCCUUUGACACCUAACGUCAAUGGACGAAUUAAAAGUCUCCUUCAAACGUCUAUUUCACAGCAUGAAGCUUAUAAAGGAUGCUGACAACCUUCAGAGUUAGCGACAAAAGAUAAUUAUCAAGGAGAGAUAGUUCCAUGAGAAUUCCAAGGAGUCUGAAUCAAAGACAAAUUGCUCACUCAAGGGUUCUUAUUUUCUUUUAGGUACAAAUCUCUUGAGUGUUGUUAAAGAAACACGUCACUGUCAUUUUGAUUUGCAUUUAACAUUUCACUUUUGUUCUGGAAGGUUUGUUCCGGAAACAUAUCAAAUGAGCAUCAUUUUCUUCUUCGGUGACACAUGGUCGCGAGUACGUGGGUCCAUUUUCAUGCCACUUAGUUGAAAAGUUGGAAAGAAAAAACAUGCCAACAAGAAGAUAGUGAGAGAAGGGGCACUUCAAGCCUUUAACAUGAACAAACAGUAAAUAAAAGAUGUUUCUCCACUCAUAAAAGUGUGUUAGAUAGCAAUAUAACGAAUCACAUCCAAAAUCUUUACUAGGCUCAAACAUAAAGAAGACUCAUUUUUAAGAAAAGAUAAAAAUGGCAUUGUCUGAUAGUAUCCAAUACACGAGAUGGCACUUAAUUUGUACAAGAUCUGUCAAUGCUGACGCACAUUUUCUGAUUAAAAAAAAACUGAUCAGUCAAAAGCAAUGAAGAGAAGUGAUGACAAUGAAUGAUGCUUCCAAUAUUUUCACCCCUUAUAGUGUUCUUCAUGAUUCAGAUAUAUAAUUGGAAAUAGAACAACCCUAUGCCAUACAUUCGUCUAAGUAUGGUGUCUAAUUUUUUGUGUCAGCGGUUGCGAAUGGAGCGUGCAAAAGUCCAAAUUGGCGUCUCUCCAUUUCCACAUAGGAAGGUGACCUUUAUUGACAAAUACCCAAUAUUUGUAGACAUUCCUUAAAUAUCAUAACUUCUUGUUGAUUUGAAAAUCAUUUUUCAACUACCAUGUUUUAAUAAAUAUUUUUUAAAAUGUAUUUUUAUCAAAGUCCACCAUGAUGGAUAAUAUUCACCAUGCAAUAAUUAAUAAAGUACAAACUAAGCGAAAUGAAAAGCAUUUUCUUUGCUUUGAGUUGAUUUUGGUUGCAUUGAGUUGAUUUUGGUUUCAUGGUUUUUUCAACUCUUAUUUUGAUUGGAAGAUGUCAAGAAAAGAAAACAUAAAGAAAAAUUAAAAGGGAAAAAAGAAGAAAAAUAAAAAAAAAUAGAUUUAAAAGUUAAUAAAUUAUUUUUUAUAUUUAUUUUAAUUCAUUUCACUUAUUUUUCUUUUACUAUAUAAAAUUUAAAUAAUUUAAAUUUUAUAAUUAAUUUAAUUACAUUUCAUUUUCUUCUAUAUUUAAAUAUUGGAAAAAUAUUUUACUUAAUAUUUUUUUCUUUAAUUUCUUUGGCAUUUUGGGAACCAAACUUAGCCUUUAAAAUAAAAAACAAAAAAAAAAUGAAAAUAAGGAGGGAAAAGUGAGAAAAGAUAAAAACAAUAUGUAAAGGAUUUGAAAAGUAUUAGUUUGUAAUUACUAUUUGGAUUUCAAUAGUAUUUUAUUUGUCUUUCUAUAUUUCAUGUAAGAGAGAAUUUAAGAUAUUCCCCAAGGCAAAGCAUUAGUUACCUGCAAUCAGUGGUGAUAAGGCUCCAAGCCAAUUUUGGGCCCCAUAUCUUAAGACAGUACAAUUUCCAUUUCAACAUUUCUGAUUUCUCAGAUGUUUCACAUACCACAGAAGAACAUUGUUUGUGAAAAUAUGCAUUUAUGUUGGAUUUUGUAUGCUGUGGGGACUGGGGCAAGGAUCAUAUGGAAGAGUGGUUGACUUUUUCUGUACUUUAACGGUUGAAAUAGGAUAAGCACGGGCAUUUGUGAGGCUUAAUUGAUUUUGAAGCCUGAAAUUGCGUUUCUGUCAUUUUGUCAAAAAAAUGGCAGAUUCCAUACUCAUAUGUUUGGCCUGUGGCCAUGUACAGAUGCCAUUUAGUGACCAGUUUGUAACUGUCAAUCGUUGCGUUUUGACUCUGCCUCAACAACAUCUGCCAUUGACGGGUUUUCAUACUUGCAAAUCAAAUAGUCUUUCGUCCCAUCAGGAAUUUCGGUUUAAAUAUUAUUAAGCAUACGUUUGGCUGACAAUCAUUAUCCAGUUCAUGAUUUGGUUUCUUACCCUUAAUCAAUGGUUUCUAAGUGAAUAUAUGUAGAAGGAAAUCCGAAGUGUAGACAGUAGUAUCGAUAACUCUCAAUAUUCUCUAUAUAAUAGAAUAAACAGCGUCAUAGUGAUCGUCGCCUACAAGCAAGGUACAAAUACCAAAACGAGUGACUCACAUAGACAUCUCCCAACAAGAUGUAGUAGUGACUGACACAUGGACACAAUUAACUCGUAGAAAAGGAUAAGACCAUUGCACAGCAGCUCUUAUUUUACAUACUACUUAUGCUAACCAAAGUCAAUUAGUUGGGAUGGGUGGGAGAUGGAGGUUUGUGCGGUGGCUUGUGGGGCGGAGUUGAUGGCUUCUUUCCAGGAGCUUCUGGCUUUUUCAUCGGAGCUGAAGGAGGCUCAAUCUUAUGAGGCGGCUUGUAUGAGUCUUCUUUACUCUCGACAGGAGGGUGGCCAGGGUUGUGAUCAUAAUGUGGUGGCUUCUCUCCCUUAGGUGGCUUGCCAACUGGGGUUGGUGGCUUGUGUUCAGGAAGUGGUUUCUCUCCCAUGGGAGGUUUAGCAAUUGGGGUUGGUGGCUUGUGUUCUGGGAGUGGCUUCUCUCCCUUGGGAGGUUUAGUAGGUGACUUGUGUUCUGGAGGUGGCUUCUCCACCGGAGGCUUGUGCUCCGGUGGUGGCUUCUUGGUUGGAGGGGGCUUGGGGUAAUCAGCAAGAGAUGGGGUGGUGAGAACCACCAGUCCAAGGAACAACACUAGCAAGUAUGUGGGAGACAUUUUUGAGUUUGGGCUGAUCAGAUGAUGCAAAACUAAAGCAUUACGUGACCUUUUAUAGCAUGUAGCUCCCAAUACCCACUAAGUAUUGUGGGGUCCAUUUGUGCCCUACGGGGUUGAAAACUUAGACAAUUGGGCAAGGACCCACCUGACUAUGGAGGACUAGUGAGGUGUGAUCAUAGCUUUAGGAUUUUUCUUCCUCUGCAGCCGUCGUGCCGUUGGCAUGAUUUUCUUAAUCUUAAAUAAAGGCAUAGUUAUAGAGUUGUUUAAUCUCUAAAUGGGAUUUUAUAUAUAUCUUCAGAUAGCCAUUAAUAUAUUUGAUGAAGAAAGAAAGACAAGUGCAUACAACAUGUAUACGACUAGCUUUCAUGGAGUUCAUUUAUGAUCAGUUUUCCUGUACAUGUAAACCAGGAUCAUAUAUAUGUUUCUGUUCCACAACUAUUUUGGAAUCUUGUUUAUCAGUUUUUAUCAUUAUAAUGUCACAUAGGCUGCCAACUUGGGCGCUAAAAGAACCAGUUGGGCUAGUUCGUUUCAGAAUUUCAAUGUGGAUUCAGGAAUUGUUUUGUAAGAUAUGCGAAAUAGUAGAGGGAUGAAUAGUGUUUCAUUAAUAAAAGUGUCCUGUAAAUUAGAAGGUGUCAUAGAAACUAUAAUCAAUAAAUAACUUUUUUUCCCCACGGGUGGUGUUUCUUGUGGGGAUCAGUGACUGGUUUAGGUUCACCCAAAAUGAGUUCAGACUAAAAUUGGUUUGAGUCAAUGCCGUGUCUCUUUUUUCCAGAAAUCAACUAUUUUAUGCAUUGAAUAAAUCAUACAAAGAAAAUAUGAACGCCCGCAAAACCUAAACCCUGGUUGCUAACUUUCUAUGUUUCAGUUCUAUUCACGCAAGAAUAUUAGUUUAAGUUUGGGAAAAAUGGCAACUUACCUAGUGAUUACUUGGUUUUGGUUUGCGACUAUUUACGCAACCAACCAUGAGUUUGACUUUAACGUCAUGGGUUGAAGCCUCCUACAGGAAGGGAGAAAGCUCCACAGCUAGCUCCAAAAGAGAAUUAUCACAUUGAUAGCUCCAGAGAUUCCCAAGGGGACUGAAUCAAAGACAAGUUCCUCACUUUUUCUUCUUUUGAGGCCAAAUAUGAACCAAGGAUCACACAACCUCAUUCAACUUCAUAAGUUUGAUUUCAUGCAGUUGAACACUGGGUGAAGGCCAUGACAAGAAUUGAUUCAAAAAUUCUAUCACUCUUUUAAGUAAUGGAAGAUUAUUAUCUCUGAUUGGCAUCACAACAGCACAUGCUCCUAGAUCUUUCUAGACACUCCAUGCAAUGAAAGCACAAUGGAUCUUGUAACGAUAGAAACUAAGCCAUGCUACAGUACUAGAUGAUGAGGUAAAACUAGUAGACACGGGUGGCAGCCUAUAUGGGAGGGACACAAGUCUAAUUGAUUUGCAUUUCAGCAUUAUAGAUAGGUAUGUUUUGGAAGAUUUGUUCUGGAAAUACCGCACCAAGUAGGAUUCUUUUUCUCUUUAGUGGGUCCACUUGCAUGCCAAUUAACGAGUUGAAAAGUAUGAGCACCUACCUCGUGCUCGUGGAACCGAAGGUCAGUGAAGUGGGGCUCCUUUUGGCCUCGUGUAAACUUGAUUCAGAAGUGAAGUUAAUAGUCUUCCAUUCAGAUGGAUACAUGGGAAUUUUUCUCUUUUAUUUAUUUAUUUAUUUUUUUUUUGUGUGUGUAUGUCAAAGGAUAAUGAAUGAAGCGCGUUAGCUUGUUUUCUGACUGGAACCGCAGAUGUCCAAAUUGGAGUUCCUUCAUUUCUUACUUAGGAUUGUUACAUGUAUAAACAAGGUAUAAGAAAUAUGCCAACGUGUCUUGAGGAGUUAUUGAUUAGAAAUAACAAGUCACCCGACUGUAGAGUUCCAAGAUUUGAAUCUUCAGACCCUAUAGCAGCCUCUGGGGUACGUGGCAUCCUAUAGCAUAUUAAUGAAGGCUUUUUCGAUUUAGACUUCACAAUACCAAUUAAUAUGUAUGCACAAAAUGGAGAUGACCCCAAAAAAAACAGAAUCGCCAUAGUUUAUGAGGUUAAGGUGAUUCUCCACUUAAUAUCUACAUUAGCUAAUUAUGUAAAUCAAAUGAACUUCUAUUUUUCCUUUUUUUUUUUGGUUUAUGUCAAAUAGUAGCCCAUAAUUAACCCAACCAUUAGCCUGUUUGAAUUGAUUUCACAUGCACAAUGUUGUAGUAGUUCAUAUUUUGAAUUUUAUUUUUACAAAGGUAGUUAAGGAAAAUGAAGUAUAAUAAUUAUAAAAGCAGACUAUAUACACUACAAUAAUUGUUAGAAUGGUAUCUCAAAUUCUAAUUUAAAAUAUUAUUUUUUGUAAAAGAAAUAUUAUAUAGAAUAUUUCCUAAUUUUAUAAAUGAUUAUAAUUAGAUCUUUAUAAAAUAAGGAAAGUUGGUAAGAAUAUCUUUAUAAAUAUUUUAGGUCAUGAGAGAAAGAAAUGGGAUAAAAAUGUGAUGAAGAGGUGAAAUAAGAGAGUUGAUUAGGAUAUAGAUGUGAAGAAGAAAGGGAUUCAAUAUAUAUAUAUCUUUCAAUUACCACAUUAAAACCCUGUGAACCUUUUAUAUGGUUUACUUUAUUUUUAUAUUCCUCCUUUAAUAUAUUUACAUUAAUGCUUCCAUUGGCACAACAAUAACGAAUUACAAAUACAAGCAACAAGUCCCAUGUUUUAUUACCAAAAGCAGGUAAAAUCCACCUAAUAUAUUACAAUAUAUUCAUCCAAUAUUUUAGACCAAUUCUUCACCAUAAAUAUCAUAAUGUGGCUUUUGUUCUUUCUUAAAUUUAAAUUGAAUUGUCUUAUAUCAAUUUGUUUGUGAUUUUUUCAUUAACUUCACUUUCAUUUGGUUAUCUUUGGUUUUUGAAAAGUAUUAAGGAAUUAAUUAACAAAAUAAUGUUAAGAAAAAUAAUUUUCUCUCUUUUGAUUUUGAUUUUGUAGUAGAAAAAUAUAAUUAAAAUUAUUUAAAAAGUAUGUAAUUUUAAAUUAUUUAAUAUUUAGAUAAAAAAAAUAAGUCUAAUGAGUUUAAAAUAACAUAUAAAAAUAAUUUAUUUAUUUUAAAUUUAUUUUUUAUUUUCCAUUAUGUUCUCUUUCUCUUUUACUUUUUCAUAUUUUUUCUUACGAAGAAUCAAACACAACCUCAUAUUAUAUGUCAAGUGUUUGUCUAUAUUUGAGCAAUGUUAGAUACGGCCAUGGAUUCAUCAAACUAAACUGAUUUUAAUAGAUACUUCACAAAUUGAUUUAUACACUAAAUCAUUGGAUAGCAAUGAUGCAUUGGAAUUAAACGUAGGAUGAAGCUCGAAGAACACUGUUUGUGUAACAACAUAUUUAUGAAAUUAUGCAAAGGAUGAGCUUCGGGGUAGUAGUACAAGGUCAUUAAUGGAGAGCCGUGUUAAACCUUGAUUGUGAUUGGAUUCCGUUAUCAGCAACAGCAACCUUGUUUGUAACCUUGAAAGUCAUUCUGUCCACAUCGAAACUCCAAUUUGACGUUUGUAAUUACCAUUCCUGGAGUGUUCCUUGAUUGAAAUUUAAAUAAUAAUUGCGGCCCACAAGGAAUAUUUUCGAUUCUGUGGGAAUUUGACAAGGUUUGUUAGAGAAGACUGGUGACAUGUUGACUUCAAUGGUUCAAAUAGGAGACGUAUGUGGAUUUGGGGGGUUUAAUUGAAACUGAGUCCCUAUGGCUUUUUAAUAUUUGCAUUGAGCAGUCUCCAUGUGACUUCCUAAUUCCCACCAACCCUCCUGUCCAUGCUGUGAAACUAAAUUGUAAUUUAUCAGCCUUUGUCAAUGGUUUCUAAAUUAAAGAUAUAGACCAUGCAUGUACUUUAAUAAAAGCAAAUCUAAAGUGUAGAUAGCAGCAAUGGUGACACCCAAUAUUCUCCAUAAAAUAGAAUUAGAAUAAGCAGUGUUACAUUGUUCAUGAUCACCUACAAGCAUACAAGAACUUCCAUGAAUAACUCAUAGCAAUUGCCAACAGGGCGUCGUAGAGACUCAUACAUAGAACACUAUCCACCCAGAGGAAAGGACAAGACCAGUGCGCUGCAGCUCUUAUUUUUCACAUGUAUACCACCACUCGUAAUAACCAAAUUCACUCAGUUGGGAUAGGUGGGAGAUGGUGGUUUGUGGGGUGGCUUGUGGGGAGGAGUUGGAGGAGGCUUUAUUUUCUGAGGCGGCUUGUAUGAGUGUGCAGGAGGAUGCCCGGGAGUGUGACCAUAAUGUGGUGGCUUCUCUCCCGUAGGUGGUUUGCCAAAUGGGCUUGGUGGCUUCUCUCCCUUAGGAGGUUUACCAAUUGGGGUUGGUGGCUUGUGUUCUGGGAGUGGUUUCUCUCCCUUGGUAGGUUUGCCAAUUGGGGUUGGCGGCUUAUGUUCUGGGAGUGGCUUCUCUCCCUUGGGAGGUUUGCUAAUUGGGGUUGGCGGCUUAUGUUCUGGGGGCGGCUUCUCUCCCUUGGGAGGUUUGCCAAUUGGAGUUGGCGGCUUAUGUUCUGGGAGUGGCUUUUCUCCCUUGGGAGGCUUGCCAAUUGGGGUUGGCGGCUUAUGUUCUGGGGGUGGCUUCUCUCCUUUAGGAGGUUUGCCAAUUGGAGUCGGCGGCUUAUGUUCUGGAAGUGGCUUUUUUCCCUUGGGAGGUUUGCCAAUUGGGGUUGGCGGCUUAUGUUCUGGGGGUGGCUUCUCUCCCUUGGGAGGUUUGCCAAUUGGAGUCGGCGGCUUAUGUUCUGGGAGUGGCUUCUCUCCCUUGGGAGGUUUUGUUGGUGGCUUGUGUUCUGGAGAUGGCUUCUCCCCUGGAGGCUUGUGCUCCGGAGGUGGCUUCUGAAAUGGCGGGGGCUUGGGGUAAUGAGCAAGAGAUGGAGUACUG